UUAUAUUAGAAUCCUAGUAGGCUUUGAAUUUCUUAGAGAAGCCUAUAAAUAAAGCUAAUUGAUGUAAAUCAAAGUAAUGGAUUGAUAAUUAAUAAUAUAACGUUUUCUUGCAUACUUUGCAAUUUUGAAUGGUAAGACUCUUGAUUUUCUUCUAGGUGAGACUCUUAGAAGGCCUUAGUGAGACUCAAAGGUUUCUAGCUCUUCUUCUCCGUAUCUUCUUUCUCAAUGUUUUUUCAUUUUAUUUUUCUUUACCAUAAACUUUAUCCUUUAUUCCUCACCUUAAACGGUUAAACCCUAAAAAAUAAAAACCGUAGCCCACUUAUUUGAUUGUAGGCAACCAUCAUAGGGUUGUCCUACGUCAAUAUGUCCAACAGUUUAAUCAUCCCUUUUAAUCCAAUUUGAAAAUAGCACCUAUUCUUAACUGAAUUAUACUAAAGCAUAUUUGGGUCACUUUUCUAAAGCACAUAUCUGGUUUCCAAAAGUGGACACAAUUCUAGAAUUAUGCAAUUGGAGUAUGUGCAUCUAGGGCAUCCUGAAGAUAUGUGCAUUCUGAAAAUGAACACGUAUUCCUAUUUCUUCUCCCUCUUCUCCCUCUUCCCUAUAUUUAUUAUUCAUCAUAUCUUCACAUCACCUAGGUACCAUAUCAAAACCAUGCAACAAGCUGGCCCUUGAUCAGCAUCCAUCUGACCCUGAUCAAUGGACUUCAGAAACAAUGGCAUGCACCCAACAUUUAACUUCCAAGUCCUCUAGACCAAUUUGACAUAACUAUCGUAGCACACUUUUUGGGUCACCCUUUGUAUUAGUUCAAAGGAACAUUACAACCUGAGCUGUCCAUUGAUGCCAAAAAGCUGUAAUGUGGGUAAUACAUCCUCUGCUCAUAUACAAUAAUUGUUUUUAGCAAUGGAUACAAAAUGGAUGUCUAUCUAGGGCAUCCAAAAGCUAAGAUUUUAUCUACAACCAGAAGAGUACAACCCCUAAAGUUGAAUGGAUACAAAAUGCCCAUGAUUGUCCCUUAAUAAUAACCCCCAACCCACAACCGGCUCCGAUUUCCCAAAAAGCAACCUUCCCAGGAAGUGUUUCUAGGAGGAAAACAAACUUAUCUCUCAACUUAUCCCCUUCAUCACCCACACAGUUUUAAAAGGUGCAAGGCGCACCUAAGAUGCAAAGUUUCCUAUAGCUUAAGCGCAAGGCGCAACACAAGGUGUGUGUCUAAGUGAAGUGAAAUGUGACCUAGAAUACACAUCAAUUUUGUAAAAUAUGAUUCAAAAUCUAAUCCGAUCAAUAAAAAAUUUAAAAUUCGAAACAUUUAAAAGAAGCAUUCAAUAAAAAAGUAAUGAAAUUAUAUACGUUUCAGUAUAUAAUUAGAAAUUUAAAAAAUACAAGUGUUUACAAAGGAAGAGUAAAGCUGACAAGGCGCACUUUUUCAAUAAGGCACAUAUCUUGGCAAGCAAACACUAUAACUUGGGAGUGGUGGCGCCUUGAGCCUAGGCGCACUUAAAGCACACCUUUUAAAACUAUGAUCACCCAUUAGACAGAUGGUUAGACCAGGCAGCUCUUGCUUUUUUUUUUUUGAUAGGUAGACCAGGCAGCUCUUGCUAUUAAAUUUUGAGUGACAACUGCUUGUGUAACUGACACCAUUUGCCCUUUGUACCAAGUUUUAGAUUGACCAUCGGGUGGUACUAUACUCCUUUCCAAUUAUUUUCCCUCCCAUAUUUCAUUUGAGUCAUUCUGGAAUUUAGCAAUAUUCUAUCCCAAUGGAAUUUCUAGGAACAACAUUUUUCUGUCAAAAUUUGAAUACAUCUAAAUUAUCACCUUUUUGAAUUCUAAUUGUAGUCCAAUCAAUUUAACCGCAGUAAUUGAUUUUCCAAUAAAUUUUCUUAUGUGCAUUCAACUACUAACAAUUCAAGAAAACAUUUUUUUUUUGGAUAGGUAAAUCACAAUUAAAAAAACAAAUUAAACGAAGGGGCAAGCAAGAUUAAAAAACAAUUGUCUUUUAGAUUGCAAAGAAAAUACCAAAGAAGCUUUCGGUUACAACUUUAGUUUUCCUGGAGUGGCAUCCAUGCAAUAUAAUGGCCAUGCAAUUGUAUAUGCUACUGCUGGUAUUUUAGAAAUGGUAUUGCUAACAAAGUCAGACCACUAGGUAAAGAAGACCUGCUUUGAUUUGUUAUAUAGAUAGAUGGAUACAAAGAGAGAGAGAGAGAGAGAGAGAGAGAGAGAGAGCGAGAGAGAGUUUGGCCUUUUCUGAGAGUAGCAAAAAGAGGUUGAGUUAAUUUGUACUUCAGUUAAUUGCAUAUUCAAUAGGGGAUCAUUGGCUCCAACUAUGUGCCCACCCCCUCCAUCUGUAUCCUUAUGUAUGUGUCUGAGAAUUUUAUGGGUCUGUAAUUCUUUCCAAAAUUUUUAUGUGCUGAGGAGUUCUUCUUUCUUGUAACAUGAUCAAUCUUGUUAUUUGUACCAAAUAUAUUCAGGAAUGUCUUUGAGAAUUUUAUGAGUAGAGGAUUCAUCAUCCUCUCCAAAAUUUGUCUUCUGGAGUUAAUCUGUAUCUAACAUCACCAAUACUUUUACCCUUCUUUAAAAUUUUAAGGAAAACAAAGUGAAAAUCUGGCUGCUCCUGUUGACACCCUAAAAGCAUAUAAAAAAGGCAUAGUUUUUUAUUCUUCGUGAGAGGUAUAUAAAUGCAUAGCUGCUGAAUAAGAAAAAUGAGUUCUAAUUCACUUACUUCAUCACUACUAGUUUGAAGUGCAGCAAGACGAUUUCUUUUUGCUUCAAUUUUAGCAGCAUUUUCAACUGAUUGUUCCUGAAGAGAAAUCAACUCUUCCAACUUUAGCAUAGAGCAUUUUAUUUAUGUCAUCAGCAAAGGAGUCAAGUGCAGGCUUAAGCGUUGAUUUGUAAUCAAUUCCCAAAACCUCAGCAGGCAAAGACCCUUUGGCAUUCAAAACAUACUGCAAACCAUUUCCUAACUUUAACCUGGAAACCAUCCAAGAGAAAAUACUUCAAUCACACAAUAGAUUGUAGUUUAAUAGGUUGAAAGAGUUGCAUGAGGUGGCAUGCUAAUUUUUCAAUUCAAAGAUGCUCCUGAAAAUUAAGUAUUUAGUGUUGUCUCUUCAUGGCUAUUAGUUUACUUCAAAAAGUUAAAUAGAACAUGGUCCCAAGGGAAACAAUAGGCUCCUAAGGCAGGGCUCAGGAGGCAAAGGGUUGGGUGGGUAUGGGAAGGUUCCAAGUUGAAAUUCAUAUACCGAGAGAGAGAGAGAGAGGGGAGGCUACCUCAAAAAAAGAGGUUGCUAAGGGCAACUGUAUCACCUAUCUCUUUCUAAAUAAAUUAUUAGAAAACUUGUGAGGAUGGAAGUGUUAAAUGGAGAUUUUUUUUUUUAAAGCCAAAUCGAGAAUGAACAUUAACUAACCUUAAAAGCCUUUUUAUUUUUCUUACUUUGACAAAGCUCCAGAAUGGUUAGCAGUUUGAGAGUAACACUUAGCUCAAAAGGUUAAAGAAGAUGAACAAACAUGAAAUCAUAAACCAAUACAAAAGAUGUAAUGCACCCAAAAGAUAAAUGCACGUAAGGCAAAUUACAACUCAGAAACUACCCAUUGUUGGUGUUGAAUCACAACCCAAGUAAACAAAUGAAGUUUGAGUUGGCUACGUGGAAAUAAUGCAUGUGACUCAAGAAGACAUAAGCCAUUGAAUGAUUCAGCAACUACAUUCACCUGGUCUGAAUUUUUGUCUACUGAAAUUUUAUUUUUUUGUUAGGUAAAUUUUUUUAUCCCUAUUGGGAUUUGAACCUGAAACUUCCACAAACCCCCCCAAACCUUUACCUCUUGAGCCAGGCCUCAAGGGCAUGUUCACCGGAAUAAUUUAAGCAGAGAACAGCAGCUGGAUCCUUCUUAGGAAUCAUCAACUAGUCAUGCUGUAACUACAGAGCCAGAUCCUAUGUUCUCACUGAAGUUAUACUAAAAUGUUGUAUAUGUUAAUGUAUUUGCUAAGAACAGGAAAAUAUUUCAUAUCACCCAUAAAUGACAAAAAAAAUCUUGUAAUCUAAUUCAUGGAGGUAGAUAACCUAAUGUUGAUAAGAAUCACAGUAGACUUCAAUGGAAUAGAGAAAAUUAAUUCCAAGCAACACCAAACCUAAGAAAGAACACGAUUCUACCAUGUUCAUUAAUUAUCAGAAAGCAUACUGAAGAUUACUAGAAAGACUUUAAAGUAUGCAACUUAAGAAAUUAAGAAAAUCCUAGUGGAGUGGAUUAUAGAGGUACCAAAGCCAAACAAAGAGGAUAAGGAAAAGAAAACCUCCUGAGAGCCUGGUUGCAUUCAAUUGAAAGAGCUUCAAGCUCCUUAAACUUGUGCCCAAUUGUCGUGUCAACAUCCCAAGACUUCUCCUCCCAACCAUUCCUUGCAACCUCAGCCUCCGUGAUAUCUCUCUCAACUGCCUGCAACUCCCUCUUCAUCCUCUCUGCAUCUCUUGCAUUAAACGUCUGCAACUCAACCCUCUUCUUCAGCUCUUCAUUCUCCUCGCAAAUUCUAUUAUUCUCUUCAACCUUCACCCCCAACUCCUUCUCCUUCUCAUCCAAAAUCUUCUCCACAGAUGCAAUCCUUCCUGAAAAUUCUGCAAUUAUUGCAUGAAAUUUCUUCACAUCCUCCUCCAACACCCCCCUCUCCUUCUCCACAACCUCCUUAGCCGAAGGCCCCGACCUCAAUUCCUCCAACCUCCCCUCCCUCUCUGCCACCUCCUUCUCCAAUGCCUUCACACCUUUCGCCACUGCGUCCCUCUCCCUUUCCAACUUCCCCAUAAACUCCCUAUCCACCGCCUCCAUCCCAUCAUCAUCCCCGCGAAUAUAAUGCAAGUAACUAUCCAAUGCAUGCACAAAAGUAUUGUCAAAACACUCCAAAUUCGACACAAGAUGGUCAUUAUACAAUGCGAUUUGAACCAACCAAUGCAUUACGCCUAAAAGGGAAGGCCAAGCAUGCGGGGUUCCGGGGGCUUUGAGAGCGGACUUGUUGAGCUUGAUCGGGCAAUUGAGAUGCUUGAGGAGGAUAGGAAGAUCGUCUUCAAGUUUGGUUGUGGGGAAAUCGAGUUGGGAGAUGAGGAAUUUUAAGUUUCGGAAAUGUCUUCGGCGGAGGGGAGAGGGGGUUUGAGGGGGAGAGGAGAGGAAUGGGAGGCGAGAAAGGAGUUGAUGGUGCGGAUGGCGGAGAGUUGGUAGGACCGGUCGGUGAGGGCAUCGCCGGCGGAGGAGCGGUUGAUUCCAAGGGAGGAAGGGCGGCUGCUGGAGAAACUAGGGUCAGAGUUGCGGCUGAAUUGGCGGUGGUGGUCGACGGAGGGAGGUGGUGGCGGCGGCGGCCGGUGGCUUUCAUCCCCGGCUGUGAUGGGCGUCUCUCUCUCUUCUGAGUUCUUGUGAAUUCUGAAUCUCUCUUUCCCGCCUAUGGGCUACUGGGAAAAUGACACUGCUUUUUAAAUUUUAUUUUCGAAAACAUUUUUUUUAAAUGAAUUAUUUUUAAAAAUAUUAAGAUAUUAUUUCGUAUUUUAAUAAUAUAAAAUAUUUUCACCGAAAGGAAAAAACAAAUCAAAUUACCGAAAAAACAUUUUUGAGCUUUUUGUUGACUGAUCAAGGACGGGCGGGCAGCAAAGUAUUGAUGAACUUCAACAGGUUAGAAGGAUGAAAGGUGCUGAUUGUGUAUUAGUUCAAUUCUUCUUUAAAUCUAUUUUCCAUACAUCUUGAUUAACCUCUAAGUAAUUGCAUACUCAGAUUAUGCAGUCAAAAGCAAUUUCAUAUUGAUCCAGCCUGCAUACGUGAGGUUCAGGAGAUCUCUCUUUCAAGUCAGUUCCAACAUAAGCACAUUGUUCAAUAUUAUGGCACAUUCAAGGUAUUUUUCAAAUUUUUCUUGUUGGAUUGGCUUCUUGUUAUGUACCACUCUUGGAAUCAGGGCUACCGUUUGCAAAUUUGCAUUUUUUGUGGCAAUCUUAGAUUUUUUUUUCCCUUUUUUUUGUGUGUAUAUUCAUGAAAUCCUGUCAAUUUCAUACCUGAAUCUUUGGGAGAAUAUAUCGAUAUAUAUAUAUAUAAAAAACCCUACAUAAUGCUGCAUGCAAGACACAAAUUUAGGAACUUGAUCUGGGUCUUGUAGAGUUGUUGCAUGAGUCCUCUGGCAUCUUUGUACCUCAGAGGACUUAACUCGCUGCUAGUGCUGGGUUGGGCCUAAUUUAUAGGGAAGAAACAUUGGUGGAGGCAGUUGAUAAAGCCCAGAGUUGACGGCUGUUAACACUGGUGAAGAGGACGGGAAAAUUUUUAGCUUUGAAGAGUUACCUCAUUCUCUUAACUACAUCUGUGCUCAAGUGGCAGAUUACUAGUCCUAAUAUUCCUCAGAAUGCUCCUGGCUUUAGGAAGAAGACAUGAAUUAUGGCAUCAAUUUGGGCAUACGUCCCUCCUCUGCAGUAAAUCUAGAGUGCCAACUAAAACUUGGGACUGAUAAUUUGUUGUUCUCACUUGGGAACCCCCAUGCAGUAACAUUAGUUAGGUCUUUUCCUCAUAGAAUAACCAUGAAAGUCUUUGUGCUUAUUAGUAUAAUGGCUACUCUAGUGAAGGCCCAAUGUUCAAGAGGACUUAGAAAGGAUCUUAAUGUUAUGGGAUUCAAAAUCCUUAGAAGGCAUGAAUCUUUGGUGGUAUCUGUCUUAAGUUCAAUUAAAAUUCGAUUGAAACUUAUCUGGAAGAUCCAUAGGUGUUUGAGGUUUUGGACCAAAUCAAUUGCAGCUUAGGGAGAAGCUGAGUAACUGCUCAGGGUAGCUUUUGACUUGGUGCACUGAGGAGAGUUCAAUGUUAUUGGGUCUUUUAGGGAAAAGCUAUUUUGUCUAGAAUUCCCAGUAGCGUGAAUGACACUGAUGAGCUAAUCAAAAGUUGUGGCUUAGUUGAUUCAUCUCUUAGAGUGAGGCCUUUCCAUGGUCAAACAAGCAAGAAACCCCAGUUUGAAGAGGUUUGGUAGGUUCUUGAUCUCAACAGAGUGCAACAUCAUUCAAGAAUCUUACCUAGGCUAGUAUUUGAUUAUGGUUCCAUGAUAUGGAGGUUAACUAAUUAGAUGAUUCUCACCCUCUUUUCUAUUGAAAAUAUGUGGUUGCUGCACCCAAAAUUUGGUGAUAUUAUUAUGGAUGUUGCAUGAGAUUCAGGUCUCAGUAUGGGAAUGAUAGAUUUAUUGUGUAGCCUUAAGUCAAUCAAAGCUUUCUUUGAAAUAUUGAAGAAAGAAACUUUUGAUAUUUCUGGCAAGAGGAACGCUGUGAUAAUCACACUUGAAGGAAUGGGUCAUAUGACAGAAGAUCUUUGAUAUCUUAGAAUGAAAAGGAAAAUAAGGUUGGAGGAAUUAUGGGAGGGAAGAGCUAGAGACAAGAGUCUAGGUUGAAAUGGGUCAGGGAGGGUAAUUGCUACUCAAAAUUGUUUCACUGGGUGGAUAAAUUAUGGCAGGUAGAAGAAGCUAGAAAGGAAUGCCUGGGUAUUUGAAGAUAGGAAGAGUUAGUCUACUGAAUUUCAGGAGAAUUACUAUGGAUAUUAGUUACCAAGAAUUUAUCAGAAUUCCCUUCAACAUCAGUUACGUUCCCAAUUGGAAUAGUAGUGAGCUACUUUGACAGUUGGUGUUUUGAAGCUUAAUUUUGCUGAUGGUCCUUGGAAAUUGGGAUUGGAUGGCUAUUGGCAAUCUAAUAUGGGAUCACAGGCAAGUUUAUUCGAGGUUCUCAAAGAAAGCUGGUUUUGGGCUGACUAUUGAAGCAAAAAUUUCUUGCUCUAAUGGUGGAGGUGGAUUAACUAAUAGUUUUAUCUUGGGUGGCUAGUAGUCGGAGAGUGUUGUGCGAGAUACAAUCAUUGGGUGCUGAGGAUCAUGCAAUUUGAUAGUUGUGUUCUCUUUUUCCUGGAAGCCUAGAUCCCUUGAAUUAGAAAGGCUAUUGGUCGGCCAAAAAUGGAUCCUGUUCUUGGUUGGUUUAACUAGGGAUAUCAUGCCCCGCGUUUUGGUGGUUAAUUUCCUUAAGGUUGGGCAGCCAAAGGCUCUCUGGUGUGCGGACUUCUGUAUUUGUCUUUUUAUAAGCCUGUGCAAUUUUUUUGAUGGAUUUGUUUGCUUGUUCCUUUUUACAAAUUCUUUGUAUAUUUUCUUAAUUUCUUCAUAACUAAAAAUAAACAGUACUAAAGCUCUGUUUAGAUUGACUUUUUGGAAGCAAAAAGAUCCUUUUUAAGUCUAAUAAGAUCUUCAAUAUGUGUUUUUGGCUUCACUGAAGUACUUCUAACCUUAAAAGGAGUUCAACACAUACGUAUGGGCAAGCUGUUUUUCAGUUUAUGUGGGAAAUUGUUUUAUGUUUAGUGAAAUCACACCAAUGCCAAGAUUGCCCCUUUAAAAUAAUGGUUUUAGCUUUAGCUUCAGUUCCUCACCAAAGUUAAAAGGCAAAAUAAUAUCCUCAAACAAGACCUAAAUCUGAGGCCACAGCAGCACUAUUCCAAUCUUCAUGAGGUUGACUGAGUACAUGUCUCUGUUAGAGAGUUAAUAGGGAUUCUGAGUCUAUAUUGAGUAACCAAGGUUUUUAGAGUUGUUAUUAUUUUCAAUCAUAUUUUUGGAUGUUAAUCACAAAAUUUUAUUUCAGAGGCUAUAGAAGGAUUGCCCUGACUGGAUGACUCUUAAAGCGGCAUGUUCUGUUUUAGCUGCUUGAUGAGAACUAAACCUUAGACUAAAAUUCAUGAGGGGGUCUCUUGAGCUUCCCCAUCUGUUAUUUUUCAAGUUCACUUUUUCCUCUAAAGAACCUUUUUUUAAUCUCUCAUCUACUUAUCGUAUCAGCUAUUUUAUCAUGGUAUUUGGCCUUAUUAUUGUUUCAAGCUAUGUUCUUGCCUUGUAGGUCUGCUUCUGAAUGCAUGUUUCUAAACAUUCAUGCAUCAUAUGCAUCUUUUAUUUCCCUCGCAGGCUGUCUAAUUGACAGUCUAAAUACUCAGUAGUUACAUUUUUCUGUUCUUUGGGGUGAAUUAGUAUUUUUCAUGUUUUUGUUGUUGUCUGUUCCUUUAUGAUCUGGUUCUGGUACUGCAUCAAGAGGAUUGGAGUUCAUGUCAUAUUUUUUUUCUUGCUUACUCACAAAAUGUCUUGCCAUUCUAGGACAAGACCAAACUUUAUAUCUUUCUUGAGCUUGCAACUGAAGGUUCACUUUUAAAUCUCUAUCAAAAGCAUAAACUGUCAGACUCCCAAGCCUCUAAAUACACAAGGCAGAUUGUGAAAGGUUUGAAAUAUCUACAUGAGCAUAAUGUAGUUCACAGGUGAUUCAAAUGAUCUUACUACUACAUUUUUUGGUUAUAUUGCUUGUGCUUUAUUUGUUUAUUCCUUGCUCUAUCCACAUGCCAUCACUGCUUGAAACAUGUGCUGAUUAUUUCAAUUAUCUGCCUUUGCUACUAAGAGAAUUGCAUAUGCAUAAACUAAAUGGCCUUCUUACUCAGGGAAAAUUAGUUCACUCUGUUGAGAAAGUUCUUCAGUUUUUAUUUUAUUAUUUUAUUUUUGUUUUUAUCUUCUUGAAACCUUCAGUAUUAUUUGGAUUGCACCGGUUAGCCCACUUCAGAAUUCUGUGAUUACAGACUGCUUGGUGAAGUGAAAAGUUCAACACUCCCACCUACCCUCUUCCAAGAAAAGAAAAUUGGAAAAACCAAAAACAAAAAGAAGAGUUAGGAGCAUGGAUGUUAAACAUGGUCAUUAUCUGAUAACUAAGAUGAAACUACCCAAAGCCUUGGUAUAGAUAUAGAUAUCCCCAAUUUUCUGUGUACCUUACAUUGUGUCUUCACAUGUGGGGUUUACGUUGUUUGUUUUGAGAUUAUUGUGUAUCUUAAUAGUUUAAUCCUUUCAUAAAACUCCAUGUCAGUUAUGAUAUGAGGUGUGGUCCAUUUCCAUUUGACUUCAUGCAAUUAGCUGUAUUAUAUAUCACUUUGUAUAUUCUGCCUCAGUGCUUGAUCUUGCUAUAAUAUCAUUUUUUUUCUUUUUUUUUUCUUUUUUUUUUUUAUAAGUUGUAAGUCAAAAUUUUCUUUAAAAGCAACAUAUAAGAAAAAAUACAUAAUAAUGAUUCAAACUCUCUCUAUCUCUCUGAUUCACUUGAUUUGAGUGUCUCUUCAAGAGAGUUUUUGGGUCAUGAUUACAAAAUGGAAACCUGAAAAUUGAAAGAAUCCUAAUGCAAAAGCCAUUUACAAUGCAACAAACUCUCUCUCUCUCUCUCUCUCUCUCUCUCUCUCUCAUGUGAUUGAGAUGCUAAAUGGAAUAACUAGCAAGGCUAGAACCAUGGAGGGAUGUGAUCGUGGGACUCAGAAGUACCACAAGUAGGUCAUAAGGGAAAUUAGGUUUGUUAGAUAGUGUAUAGUUAUUUAGGUUAUUUACUUUUCUUUUUCCUUUUCUUUCCGUAUUGUAUUGUGGGUCCCACUAACAUGUAUAUAUAUACCUAAGUCCAAUGUGUAUUAUUAAUAGUUUUUCAAUAACAAUAAUUAGGGAUUCUCCCUUUUCUCUCUAUUCACAUGGUAUCAGAGCCCAGGGAGAAAAAACCUUAAUUAUUUCCGGUUUAUCCGUGAAUCCAUGUUGGGAAAUCUUUUAGUGAUCGUGUUUCAUUCCGAUCAUCUUUCCCAUUUCCUAAAGCUUUCCGAUCAACCGUAUCGCCGUUAGAAAACCCUCAACGCCGGCGACUUUUCCUACGACAUUUUUCCGGCGAAGUCCUUUUCCGACACCGACCAUACCAUCAGGUGCGCAAGGAGAAGAUUUUCAAGUUUUCUCAAGGCACCGGAGGGAGAUUCUCAACCAUGCGCCGGCCACGCACGUUCCUUCUCCGGCAGCCUAAACCUCACGCGCCGGUGCGUGAGGACGCGUAGAGCACUUUCCGGCCACGCGCUUCCACCUCCAGCCUUGCCUGACGCCAUCUAGCCACCCUCCAUCUGUGCUUGUGCCAUCUGAGCCCUACAAGUGCAUUUUUUGGGGGUUUUUUGUCUCCGUCAGCCCUCUAAACAGCCUUUCCGGCGACCUCCGGUGACUUCCUCUCCACCCCGAGCCUUACACAUGUCUUCGGAAGUGUUCUUCUACACUUCCAGUAGUGCCACAUUUGUUUUUCUUUACUAUUUGGUCUCUCACAACCGCGAAUCCUUGGUUUUUCUUCUUUCAGCCGUAUCAGGGCUCUCUUCAAUCUAAACAUAUUUCAUUCUCCAGAUAAGUAGAUAUGGUUACCAAAAGUUCCACUUUUUUCUCUGUCAUAUUUGGAUCUCCUAUGAUUACUUCGAAGAAAUUGGUUGGCAGUGAAAAUUAUUUGUCCUGGUCUGCCUCUGUGGAGCUUUGGUUUAUGGGUCAAGGUUAUGAGGAUCACCUUGUUACGCAGGAGGCGGAUAUCCCUGAGGUUGACAGGGUAUAAUGGAGGAAGAUAGAUGCACAGUUAUGUAUUGUGUUAUGGCAAUCAGUUGAUCCUAAGAUUCUGCUUCAUCUUCGGGCCUACAAAACAUGCUUUAAAUUUCGGAAUCAGGCGAAAGGGCUAUACAUGAAUGAUAUCCAACGUCUUUAUAAGGUGGCUUCUUCUAUUGUUAAUGUUAGACAACAAGACAUGGAUUUAUCUACUUAUAUUGGCCAGAUUGCCUCUCUUAAGGAGGAAUUCUUGAUUGUGAUGCCUCUUACUAUUGAUGUUGGGGAUCAACGAAUGCAGAUUGACAAGUUCUUCAUGGUUCUUACACUUAUUGGUCUCCGUCCAGAUCUUGAGACCGUCCGCGAUCAGAUUCUUGGCAGUUCCUUCGUUCCAUCCUUGGAUGAUGUGUUUGCUCGCCUCCUCCGUAUCUCCUCCACUCAAACUUUGCCAUCUGAUAACACUUCAGAUUCUUCUGUGUUAGUUUCUCAAACUAACUCUCGAGGAGGACGUAGUGGUAACCAAGGUAGAGGCCAACGUCCUCAUUGCACCUAUUGUAAGAAGCUUGGCCACACUCGUGAUCAGUGUUAUCAAUUACAUGGGCGGCCUCCCCGCACUGCCCACGUGGCCCAAUCAUCUGAUCCUCAACCUCCUCAGCCUCCCAAUUCCUCCACAUCUCAGGGUAUUUCCCUCACUAACAGUGAGUAUGAUGACUAUCUCCGCUAUCAGACCACCAAGUCAGCUUCUGUUGCUUCUGUUGCUCAGACUGGUAAUACUUCUGCUUGUCUUACCCACACAUCUUCUCUUGGACCUUGGAUUCUAGAUUCUGACACUUCUGAUCACAUAUCUGGUAAUAAGGAUUUUUUCUCUUCUAUUACUACUACCUCUGCCUUACUUACAAUUACUUUAGCUAAUGGUUCCCAAACUAUGGCUAAAGGUUUUGGUUUAGCUCAUCCUCUUCCUUCCCUACCUCUCCAUUCUGUCCUUUAUGUCCCUGAGUGUCCUUUUAAUCUUAUUUCCAUUAGCAAAAUAUCUCGCACUCUUAACUGUUCUAUCACUUUCUCUAAUAAAUUUGUAACCUUGCAGGACCGGAGUACGGGGAAGACGAUUAGCAUAGGACGUGAGUCUCAAGGCCUCUAUCACCUCACCUCGCCUUCAACUCAUGCAGUUUGCAUUUCCACUGAUGCUCCCUUCCUCAUCCACAGUCGCCUGGGCCACCCUAGUCUAUCCAAGUUCCAAAAAAUGGUCCCUCGUUUUUCAUUUUUGUCGUCGCUUGCGUGUGAGUCCUGUCAGCUUGGGAAACAUACUCAUGUCUCGUUCCCAAAGUGUUUGAAUAAUCGGGCAAAGUCUCCUUUUGAACUUGUCCACACUGAUGUUUGGGGUCCUUGUCGAACCGCGUCUACUUUAGGAUUUCAGUAUUUUGUCACUUUCAUUGAUGACUAUUCUCGAUAUACUUGAUUAUUUUUAAUGAAAAAUCGAGCUGAGUUAUUCUCUAUUUUCUAGAAAUUUUAUGCUGAAAUCCAAACCCAGUUCAAUAUUUCUAUUCGUGUGUUGCGCAGUGACAAUGCCAGGGAAUAUUUUUCUGCACCAUUUACUUCAUUUAUGUCCCAACAUGGGAUCCUUCAUCAGUCUUCUUGUGCUCAUACUCCUCAACAAAAUGGGAUAGCUAAACGUAAGAAUCGACAUCUUGUUGAGACAACUCGUACUCUCCUUCUCCAUGGUAAUGUUCCUUUUCGUUUUUCGGGGGACGUUGUUCUUACAGCAUGUUAUUUGAUUGAUCAUAUGCCCUCAUCUGUAUUACAUGAUUAGAUUCCUCAUUCCCUUCUUUUCCUUGACCAACCACUUUAUUUUCUUCCUCCUCGUGUUUUUGGUUGUACUUGCUUUGUUCAUAUUCUCACUCCUGGACAGGACAAACUCUCUGCCAAAGCCACAAAAUGCAUUUUCUUAGGAUAUUCCAGACUUCAAAAGGGUUAUCGUUGUUAUUUCUCUGAGACUCAUCGCUACUUUCUCUCCGCUGAUGUCACUUUCUUUGAGGACUCACCGUUCUUCUCCACCUUUGAAACUCUUCUUGUUUCUGAAGUCUUACCUUUUCCCCUAAUCUCCCCACUUGAUGCAGUGCCUUCUCGCCCACUUCAGGUUUAUCAUCGUCGUCAUCGUGUCGCUGUUCCUCCUUCUUUGGCCGAGGUACCUGCUGACUCACUUCCUAUCCCUUCGGCUUCUCCUGCCCCGACUCUACCUCCUUCUGCUGACUUACCCAUUGCUCUUCAGAAAGGUAAUCGAUCUACUCGUAAUCCUCAUCCCAUUUACAAUUUUUUGAGUUACCAUCGAUUAUCUUCACUCUAUUCUGCAUUUGUUUCUACUAUAUCUUUUGUUUCUCUUCCCAAGAGCACCCCUGACGCUUUUUCCCAUCCAGGCUGGCGACAGGCAAUGGUAGAUGAAAUGGUUGCUUUACACUCCAAUGGCACUUGGGAUCUUGUUGUUUUACCCUCUGGUAAAUCUACAGUUGGUUGUCGUUGGGUCUACACAAUUAAGGUUGGCCCUGAUGGUCAGGUUGAUCACUUUAAGGCCUGUUUAGUUGCUAAAGGCUAUACUCAGGUUUAUGGUUCUGAUUAUGGUGACAUUUUCUCUCCUGUUGCCAAGAUAGCUUCUGUUCGUCUAUUACUCUCCAUGGUUGCUAUGCGUUCUUGGCCUAUUUAUCAUUUAGAUAUUAAAAAUGUUUUCCUUCAUAGGGAUCUUGCUAAGGAAGUUUAUAUGGAGCAACCACCUGGUUUUGUUGCUCAGGGGGAGUCUGGUUUAGUGUGCAGGUUACGCCGUUCUUUAUAUGGCUUGAAACAAUCUCCUCGAGUAUGGUUUAGCCGUUUUAGUUCUGUUGUUAAGGAGUUUGGCAUGUUCCACAGUACAACAGACUAUUCCGUUUUCUAUCAUCAUAACUCUUCGGGGUAGUGUAUUUAUCUGGUAGUUUAUGUGGACGACAUCGUCAUUACAGGCAGUGAUCAGAAUGGUAUUCAGAAACUAAAGUAACACCUUUUCACCCACUUUCAGACUAAAGACUUGGGGAAACUCAAGUAUUUCUUAGGGAUUGAGAUAGCUCAAUCCAGUUCCGGUGUGGUUCUUUCCCAAAGGAAGUAUGCUUUAGACAUCUUGGAAGAAACCGGUAUGUUAGACUGUAAAACGGUAGUCACUCCUAUGGAUUUAAAUGUCAAACUUAUACUAGGACAGGGGGAGCCUUUAGGAGAUCCUGGGAGAUAUCGACGACUUGUAGGUAAACUGAACUACCUCACCAUUACUCGUUUAAACAUUUCUUUUCCUGUAAGUGUUGUUAGCCAAUUCCUACAGUCACCAUGUGAUAGCCAUUGGGAUGCUGUAAUCCGCAUUCUUCGAUAUAUCAAAAGCACACCAGGCCAAGGUGUGUUGCACGAGAACAGAGGUCAUACCCAGGUUGUUGGUUACACAGAUGCAGAUUAGGCUGGUUCACCCACAGAUAGACGUUCCACUUCCGGGUAUUGUGCUUUUAUUGGAGGUAACCUAAUAUCCUAGAAGAGUAAGAAACAAGAUGUAGUGGCCAGAUCUAGUGUUGAAGCCGAGUAUCGAGUUAUGACUCUAGUAACAUGUGAACUCAUAUGGCUAAAACAUUUUCUUCGGGAGUUGAGAUUUGGAAAGGAUGAACAAAUGAAACUCAUCUGUGACAACCAAGCCGCUUUACAUAUUGCAUCCAAUCCAGUCUUCCAUGAAAUGACCAAACACAUUGAAGUUGACUGUCACUUCAUUAGAGAGAAAAUCACAUCAAGAUGUGUGGCGACUAGUUUUGUCAAUUCAAAUGAUCAACUAGCAGAUAUUUUUACUAAAUCUCUCAGAGGUCCUAGAAUUAAAUACAUUUGUAACAAGCUUGGUGCAUAUAACAUAUAUGCUCUAGCUUGAGGGGGAGUGUUAGAUAGUGUACAGUUAUUUAGGUUAUUUACUUUUCCUUUUCCUUUUCUUUCCGUAUUUUAUUAUGGGUCCCACUAACAUGUAUAUAUAUACCCAAGUCCAAUGUGUAUUAUUAACAGUUUUUCAAUAACAAUAAUUAGGGAUUCUCCCUUUUCUCUCUUUUCACAAGGCUUAUAGAUUUGGUCAUACGCAACAAAGGCCAAUAAUUGCAUUGUUAAGAAGAGAUGGGUGGACAUUGGGAAUCAAUUGAGGUUACUUCAGGAAAUUAGACAUUUGGAAUGACAGUUGAAGCCACAAUGUUGUACGUUUACUUACACAUAAAUUGUUUCUGUUGUAAGACUAAUUGGUUCUGUAUCAUCUUCGAGGGAUAUCUGGUGGAUGUAAAUGGAACCGUGAAACUUGUGGAUUUUGGAUUGGCAAAGGUUAGUUUCUUUUUACUAGAGUUAUCUCUCUAUUGUUUCAAAAUGCUAGACUUCUAAAUAUUAUAUUUCUGGUUGUAUAUCUUUUCAGUUUUGCAAAUUGAACGACAUAAAAUCUUUUAAAGGGACUGCAUUCCGGAUGGCCCCUGAGAUAUCUUCCUCUCUUGCAUUCCUUCAUUCCUUGAUUUCUUAAAUUAACAAAUCAUGUUUGGUUUUGAAUUGAGAACUAUAUUUUAUGGAACUGUACUCGGUAGAAUCUUCUUAUACCAUGAAGAAGCAUGCUUAAAAUGUAGGCUCUGAAACCCUUGUCUUUUAGCAGGUGGUUGCAUCAGAAAAGGAAAUGACAUGAUUGAAUUGGGUUAUUGAAUAGCUCGAUUAUUGGACUGGAGAUAUCCCAACUAACAAAUUGAUAAGUUGUUGUUUUCCAAACUGUUGCUCUUUCUAAGAUUUUAUCCUACAAGGCAUUUAGUCAAUGCCAUGUCUUAUUACCAAUGCAUUUUGAUUUUGCAUGUCAUUAGUAUCUUUCUGUGCAACUGCCAAUAUACUGACACUAAUAGAUGCAUGGAACCACUGAAUGCUCAAUUGAUGAGGAUUUUCCAUUCAAAUCUGAGAAUUUAAGCAUCAAGCUUCCUUUUUCCAUUAACUCUCUCUACUUCUAAGGGUGGUUAAACCCUUGCUUCAUUAUUUGGUAACAAAAAUUAGUACAUCACCAGAAGAUUGGUAGAGGGAUCCUACAAUUAGGGAUGCAAUGAAGUGGAUUGGAACUGAGUGACCCAUCCUUCUUCCUGAGAAUCCGAUUUAGUACAUUUAGUACACUUCAUUCCAAAGCUGCUCCAUUGGAACAAAUUGUUUAACUUUCUGGACUGCAGGUUUGUGAAGAGAUGUUAAAGCCCUGGCUAAAAAUGAAAUAGUGGUCUGUUUUAUAAAACAAAAUAUGGUCACCAGCAAUCUAAAUUGUAGCUCGAUAUUGCCCUUCUGAAAUAAAUUUCUGACUCUUUGCCCCAGAGAAUGAAUUGUGGUUUUGCAACCGCCCAGGUCUGUGGAUUUGAAUCAGUUUUUACUUUGAAAUCAUGCUCAAACAUCCUAGUCUUACAACUGUGUUUAUUUAUAAAUCCUGCACCAGUUGGGAGUAGAACUCUUAAAUCCCUGUUCUAAAUCUUGUCCAAACAUGUUAUAAGUCUUUGUGUUAACCAUAUUUGAAAGUUUUUUACCAAGGACAUUUGUCAUUAUAUUAUGUGGCACAGGAUGCUCCAAGCAUUAUAGUUUCUUGUAAGUGUUGAUUUUACAAAUAAUUUGUGCCACUGUAGGUCAUUAAUGAGGACAAACGAGAGAACGAUGGUUAUGGGUUUGCAGCUGAUAUAUGGAGCCUCGGGUGCACUGUAUUAGAGAUGUUAACUCGGCAACAUCCAUAUCCCGAAUUGGAGCCGGUAUGUAUAAGCUUCAAUGGAAACAAAUAAUCAUUCCAAUAUUACAUUCUUAUAUGCAUCCAAACAUAAGAAUUGGAAUCACCAAAUCUAUUUCUAUUCAAGAAGAUAUAGGAAUGAAAACAAAGUUUUUAUUCUCAUUCCUCAUUCCCAUAUACUAAACAUGGCUUGAGGGCAAUGGACUGAUUUCAAUGGUGUGUAUACUUGUCUUAAAUAUUUGGUAUUAGCAACUUGCCCUAUGGUAAAAGUGUGGUUUGGGUUGAGAAUAGUAUAAAGAUGAGCCUAGGGUUGUCAAUGGAGCCUGCAAAUAGCUGUUGGAUUUGAAGGUUGAAUAGGAAUUUGCACAAUAAGGUUUUGGGAGGUGAGAAAAUGAAAAUGGAUGUUGGUGGAACUGAGAGUAUGAAUGCCUUAUGUACUAAUUUGACUCAUUCAUAUUGAGAUCAUGUAUAUAUGAAAUUCAUAUUAUGCAAGAAGACAUUGCUUUUACUAAUUCAAAUGGAAGGUGAACAACAGUGAGAAACAAUUGCUAGUACCCCAUAGGCAUCAUUAUAUCUUCGACAAAUUGACAUAGGAGUAAUAAUUUUGAAACAAUCUAUCAUUCAUUCAUAAAUUGUUGUUUGGUAACACUCUUUUAAAAUAUACAAUAUAAAAUUAAAAAAUAAAAUUUAAUUCAAUAUCUGUAAAACAAUAUUGGGAGACUGCAUAUUGGACGUUGUUUUCAUAAUCUUGCGUUUGUCCUAAGUCUUAACUCUUAAUAGGAAAAAACAUGUUUUUGAUGGAGUAUAUUCCCUGCAAUGAGAUGCACUUGUUCUUAACCACCUUUCACAGUCGAAUCAAAAAACAAUGUUAGGAAUCAAAAUCGAAUCAAAAAGAGGGAAGUGAUAUUGAAGAUACGGGUUCUUGGCGGGUUUAGAUAUUAUCUUGUCUGAUACCAUCCAACCUGGAUUAUAUAUAAAAUUAAUUUUAAAAAAUAAUUUUAUUGAUUUUUUUCUAUUACCAUUUUUAACACAUAUAAAAUAUUUAAAAAUUAUUUUUUAAAUAAAAUAAGUUAUAAAAACUAUAAUAUUUUACUUAUUUAUAAAAUAUAUUUAUUUUUAAUGUAAUUUAAAAAUUCUAAAAUUAUUACAUUUUUUUAAAAUAUAGAAAAUAUGAUGAGUAUGAUGGCCAUGAGAAUUACUUUGUAUAAACGUGAUAGGAUUGAUAUGGGCAAUCAUCGUCAACCCACCUGAUCAUCAUCCUUGCUCAAUUAAAAAUUUACUUAAAGGAAGGGUAUAAUUGGUAUUUUUAUUUGUUAUAAAGAAAGUAAUUGAAAUGGCUUUUGGAAACCCGAUGAUAUCCGAUUGGAGAUAAAUAAAAAAAAUAUUGGUAAACAUUUUUAGGAAUAAUGAAAUUAUUUUUAAUAAAAAUUCUUGAAGAAUUAACAUAAUACAUCAAAUAUUAAUUUUUAAAAUAUUAUUAUGUAAAUUAUAUAUACUUAUUUCCAUCUAUUGAAGAAAUUCUAAUGUUAGUCGAUGGGUGAAAAAAAUAUGAACCGAUAAAAAUAAAUAAAAAAUAAAAAUAAAAAAGUUGAUAAUAACAUUAUUCUGCUAGUUAAUUGUAUCAUAAUUUUUUUCCAAAAUUAUAAACUUGCAACUAUUUUUCUAUCUAGCUUGUUUUAUAUAGACAUAAUUGUUUAGAGAAAGUUAAAACCAUUAUGAAAAAAAAAAAUCUGUCUAAUUCACUAAUCAAAUAAGGUUAUAAUCUUAUAAUGUCAAUAAAACUACUUAAAGCUAUAAUAGUUAAAAUAAUUUUCUCUAAAUAGAAUAGCAAAUUGUUUAACUAAAAAAGGUAUUUGCAAUUUAGAAUCAAUCAUUUGAUGGUUGAAUUUUUUGAAAGAUAUUAUAAAGUUUAGUUUUGAAAAUUAUUGUGACUUAUUUUUCAAUUGUAUUUGUAGGUAUUCUACUUCGUAGUCUCCUUUCAUAAAAAGAAAAGUAUUUGUAAUUUAAAAUCAAUCAUUUGAUAGUCAAAUUUCCUUAAAGAUAUUAGAAAGUUUAAUUUUGAAGAUUACUAUGAUUCAUCUUUCAAUCGUAUUUGUAGUCUCCUUUUAAAAAAAUACUAAUAAUAAUUUUCUCUUAUUUAAAUUUCUUUGCUACAAAACAAUAAUUUGAUUUUUCUCUUAUUUUUAUUUCUCUAGUACAAAACAAUAUUAUAGUUUAUAUUUGGACCACAAAAUGUAAUAUGAUAUAGAAAAAGGUAAAAAGUUUUUUUAUAAAUUAAACUUGUAUUAUAUUGAUCAACAUUGUAAGUUCUAAAUUUGUUAUACUUCAAAUAUUUUUCUUAAAAAUGUAAUAUAUUGAUGAUAAGAAAUCAAGAUUAAAAACCUGAGAUCGUUACAAUGUGUUGCAUUGAUGUGUUGAAGUAGAAAGAGGAUUAUUGAGAAACAAUGACUUGACUUUUCCAUUGAUUAAGAAUGAAUAUAUAUACACAAAACCUAAAACACAAAAAUAUGAAACAAUCUUAGAAUUAGGGGAUUACAACAAAAAUAUGAAAUAAUCUUAGAAUUAGCCCAAAACACAAAAAUAGGAAACAAUUCUAGAAUUAGGGAAUUACAACAAAAAUAGGAAAUUAUAAAUAAUUACAAAAAUUUGAAAAUAGAAAGAAAAUCUAUUGUAAUGAAUUCUCUAAUAUGCCCCAUCAAGAUGGAGCUCCGAAGGAGAUGCCAAUCUUGACCCAUAAUUCUUGGAAGCGGCUUCGUGGAAGUAGUUUAGUAAGAGCGUCGACAAGUUGAUCUGCUGAGGAAACAUGAGUAACACGAAGAGCAACUGAUUGAACUUGAUCCCGAAUAAAGUGAUAGUCAAUUGUCACAUGUUUCAUGCGCGAAUGAAAGACUAUAUUAGAACAGAGAUAGGUGACACAACAUUGUCACAAUAGAUAACAGGCGUUGUAGGAAGAGUAACGCCAAGCUCUGUGAGAAGGGAACAAAUCCAAUUGAUUUCCGAAGUAGUAGUGGCAUAUUGGGAGACCGCAUAUUGGACGUUGUUUUCAUAAUCUUGUGUUUGUCCUAAGUCUUAACUCUUAAUAGGAAAAAACAUGUUUUUGAUGAAGUAUUCCCUACAAUGAGAUGCACUUGUCCUUAACCACCUUUCAAAGUCUAACCAUGAAUCAAAAAACAAUGUUAGGAAUCAAAAUCGAAUCAAAAAGAGGGAAGUGAUAUUGAAGAUACGGGUUCUUGGCGGGUUUGGAUAUUAUCUUGUCCAUUCCCAUCCAACCUCAAUUAUAUAUAAAAUUAAUUUUAAAAAAUAAUUUUAUUGAUUUUUUUUCUAAUACCAUUUUUAACACAUAAAAUAUUAAAAAAUUACCUUUUUUUUUAAUAAAAUAAGUUAUAAAAACUAUAAUAUUUUACUUAUUUAUAAAAUAUAUUUAUUUUUAAUGUAAUUUAAAAUUUCUAAGAUUAAUAAUUUUUUUUUAAAUAAAGAAAAUAUGAUGAGUAUGAUGGCCAUGAGAAUUACUUUGUAUAAAUGUGAUAGGUUUGAUAUGGUUAACUUGUCAACCCAUCCGAUCAUCAUCCUUACUCUCAAUUAAAAAUUUACGUAAAGGAAGGGUACAAUUGGUAUUUUUAUUUAUUAUAAAGAAAGUAACUGAAAUGGCUUUUGGAAACCCAAUGAUAUCCAAUUGGAGAUGAAUUCCCAACUUCAAAAUUAGUAAAGUUAAUUUUUUUUCUUGAACAAAUUUAGGAACUUUAUAAAUGUCAUGUUGUCGCAGGUGUUUAUACUAUAAAAAUAUUCUUAAAUAAUUUUAUUGGUAAGCAUUUUUAGGAAUAAUUAAAUUAUUUUAAAUAAAAAUUCUUGAAGUAAUAACAUAAUACAUCGACUAUUAAUUUUUGAAAUAUAUUUAUGUAAAUUAUAUAUACUUAUUUCCAUCUAUUGAAGAAAUUCUAAUGUUAGUGGAUGGGUGAAAAAAAUAUGAACUGAUAAAAAAAAUAAAAAAAAGUUGAUAAUAACAUUAUUCUUGCUAAUUAAUUUUGUCAUUUUUUUCUCCCAAAAUUAUAAACUUGCAACUAUUUUUCUAUCUAGCUUGUUUUAUAUAGACACAAUUGUUUAGAGAAAGUUAAAACCAUUAUGAAACAAAAAAAAAUGUCUAAUUCACCAAUCAAAUAAAAAUAAAAUCUUAUAAUGUCAAUAAAACUACUUAAAAUAAGUUUCUCUAAAUAGAACAACAAAUUGCAUAACUAAAAAAUGUAUUUGCAAUUUAGAAUCAAUCAUUUGAUGGUUGAAUUUUUUGAAAGAUAUUAGAAAGUUUUAUUUUGAAGAUUAUUGUGACUCAUUUUUCAAUUGUAUUUGUAGGUAUUCUACUUCGUAGUCUCCUUUCAUAAAAAGAAAAGUAUUUGUAAUUCAAAAUCAAUCAUUUGGUGGUCAAAUUUCCUUAAAGAUAUUAGAAAGUUUAGUUUUGAAGAUUACUAUGACUCAUCUUUCAAUCGUAUUUAUAGGUAUUCUACUUCAUAGUCUUCUUUUAAAAAAAUAAUAAUAAUUUUCUUUUAUUUUAAUUUCUUUGGUACAAAACAAUAAUUUGAUUUUUCUCUUAUUUUUAUUUCUCCAAGACAAAACAAUAUUAUAGUUUAUAUUUGGACCACCAAAAUGCAAUAUGAUAUAGAAAAAGGUAAAAAGUUUUUUUUUAUAUAAAUUAAAAUUUUAUUAUAUUUAUCAACAUUGUAAGUUCUAAAUUUGUUUUACUUCAAAUAUUUUUCUUAAAAAUUUAAUAUAUUGAUGAUAAGAAAUCAAGAUUAAAAAACCUAAGAUUAUUACAAUGUGUUGAAUUGAUGUUCUAUUUACCAUUAUGUUUGUCCAUGUUUCAUUUUUUUUUUUUUUUUUUAUGUUUUAGUAAUUGUCUUCUAAUUACUAAUAUUGGUUCAGGAGAUUCAAAAUUGUUACACAAUUUGUUGUCAAUUGUCCAUUUUAAUUAAGUAAUAACAUAAUCUAUUCAAUAAUUAAAAUUUUUAAAAUAUUAUUUUGAAUUCUACCUAAAAUGCGUUUGACAUUGAUUUUAGGAAGUACUUCUAGUUUUUUUAAUACUUAAAAUUUUUUAUUUUUCAAGCAUAAAAAAAAAAAAAAAAAGUUGUGCCAUCUAUCAAAUAAAUUAAAAUAAUGGUGGAUAGCAAGAAAGUACAAAAUAUUAUUGUGUACCCUCAUUUUAGGCAUUUUUGACAACUCUUUUUUUACCACUUUGGAGAGUUGGCAGCAUUUGGGAGGAGUAAGGGGCCGACUUAUUCAAGCGAGCUGCAUGCAUUGACGCAUGGCCAGGGACACCACCACCUCGCCAUGGUGGUGGUUGAGACCGGGGGGAAGGGGAGAAAGGGUAGAAAAAGGGGAAAAAGACGAGAGGGCUGGCAAGAUUUUUUUGAGGGAAAAAUCUGGAUAAUUCGAGUUGAGAGCAGAAAAAAAAAAACGGAGAGAGGAAGAUAUUUUCUAAGGGAGACAGAGAAGUGAGCUCCAGAGGGGGGCAGGCUGUCUCUGUUUCAGAGGAGCUCUUAGGUAAGUUAUUUGUGUAUUUCUUGUUCAUCUUCAUUACCACCGUUAUCCCAUCUUCUCCUCUUGCUGUUAGGAGUUUCGUUUGCUUGUUUGGUCAUGGAUAAUAGAAGCUACACAGGAGUUUUGUUGAUUUUUGGCUGGUUCAUAUGCUCAUUUUUAUUGUUUCAUUCACUGUUCUUUUAGUAUGGUAUAAACUCAGUGAAGCUCUAUUUCGUCUUGCUUUAUUUGAAGAUAUUAGUUGUUUUUUUUUCUUUUUUUUUUCUCAUUUGAAGAUGCUAGUACUCUUCCCACCAGUCCAUACCCAUUUCCUCUACCCUUCAUACUCACCUUACCAUCCUUCGUGCUCACCGUACCCACCGCCAACCGCUUAUUCCACCAUCAUACCCAUGCUUCCACCUCUCAACAUCUACUAAACCCGCUUUUCACAACAUUUCCAGCACCCAUUCCAUCAAUCGUUCUUUCUUACCCAUUUCUCUUACUACCUUACAAUAACCCAACCCUCCAAGGAUGACCCAUGCAAAUGCCUCACCAAUCUCCACCCUCCACACUUAUCCAACCGAGCCUUUUGAGAAUGAGUCGGAUUCAAAUUUCCAAUACCCGGAUAUUAGAAAUGAGGGUUUUCUGAUUGAGCAAGAGAAAGAUAACAUGGUUACAAUGCAUGAUGUUAUGUAGACUCAAUGGGUUUACAAUCAUUACAGAGGUGGGAGCUAUUUGAGAUUAUGCCUUUUGAAAUGGUCUUAACUAGUUAUAAGAGAUCGUUUGUGAAUGAAUCUGCUGCAAAUACAUGAAGGUUAACGAUUCAUAGUUCUUGUGCAUGAGAUCAAAGCAAUAAUAGGCAACCAGAGACCGCAUUUAAAUAUCCUGACUUUGGUAGGGAUGCUGAGUGCUUUAAGGCUGCAAGGGUACUUGCCCAAUAGGUUGAAAAGGCUACAUGAGCCCUAAGUGAUUAUCUUAAUGUGAGGGUUCAUGCUUGUGGUGUAAGUAUGACAUCACGGCAACGUGUAAAAUGGGUUUGUAGUGCUAGUGCCUGUACACGUUAUGAUGCUAAGGCUAUUUUUUUUAAUUAUUUAUUUAUUAUUUUCUUAGUUUUCUUCAACUAUUGAUGUCAAAAUGUUCAUUUUCAAAAUUUUAAUCUUAUUACAAUUUUCUAAAACUUUAGUUUUAAUUUAAUUUUACAAAGCUCUAAUUUUAAAUUAAUUUUUUUCAAAACUCCCAUUUUUUUAAAAAUUUAAUUUUCAAAACUUUGACUUCCCAAACUUCAAUUAUUUUCAAAUUUAUUUAAUUUAUUUAUUUAUUGUAUAUAUAUAUAUAUAUAUAUAUAUAUAUAUAUAUAUAUAUAUAUAUAUAUAUAUAUAUAUAUAUAUUUUAAUUCCAUCUUUAAUUAACUCUUCCAAUUUCCAAUUUCCAAAUUUAAUUCCUAAUUUCUGAAAUUCCAAUUUUCAUAUUUAUUUAUUUAAUCAUUUUUAUUUUCGUUAUUAUUAUUAUUCCAUUUAUCUAUUUAUUUUCAUUUAUUUAAAAAAAAAAAUCUUUCUUUACAUAAUUCUUCAAAAUUCCAAUUUCCAAAAUUCCAAUUUUCACAUUUAUUUAUUUAAUUAUUUUUAUUUUCAUUUUUAUUAUUAUUCUAUUUAUUUAUUAAUUUUUAAAAUUCCAUCCUUAAACAAUUUCUUUAAGAUUCAUAUUUCCAAAUAACUUUCAAAGUUCCAAUUUCUCCCAAAUUUAAUUUCCGAGAUUCCAAUUCUUAAAUUUAAUUUGAAAAUCUCCAAUUAUCGAAUAAACCUCGAAAUCCCAAUUCCUUUCAAAUUUAAUUUCUAAAAUUCUCAUUCUCAAAUUUAAUUUCCAAAAACUCCAAUUUUCAAAUAGUUUUCGAAACUCUAAUUUUCAUAUAAAUUUCAAAAAUCCAAUUUUCUCUCAAACCAUUUUAAUUCCACUCUAGUUUUCAAAUAAUCUUAUGUUUAUCUCGAUUUUACAUAAGUACGAAUGAAUUUUUCAUAAUUCUGAAAUAAUGAAAUUUGUCAAACCAUUUCAUGCAAGAUAAAUUGGGCUUUGGUGGGAGGCCCGACAUCAAAGAAGUUUCAUUUAAAAUAAAAAUGAACUUGAGGGAAAUGUCAUGUGUGUCAUAGAUGACUUCAUAUUCUGUUUGGUGAUGCAUGUGAUAUAUUUUACGUUCAUUCUUAUGCACUAACCCCAUUUCGUGAUAGCGCAUUAUUCGCUUGCUGCCAAGGUAUGUAUCUGCUCUCACUUUGACCAUUCUCUACGCUUUGUUUUGGCUCCCAGUGUAUGAUCAUCUUUUGGUAUUCACGUUUAAUAAACCAAUUGCCACAUGUGCUUCAUUUUAUUAGUAGAGACCCGUUUUUAGGGACUUAGAGGGAUGUUACGGUCUUUACCGUACCUUCCUAAUAAGGAAUCUGCCCCCGAACCCGAUCCGAUUUUUCACAGACCUGCUUUCCCAAAUAAAGAGUCACACUUAGGGUUUUUCUUUCUUAUUUUAUUUUCCCUUUAAAAAUAAAACAAAAAUAAAUGGCGACUCCAAGUCAUUUUCUUAAUAAAUAAAAUCAUUUUCAAUUAAAAAUCGAGCUCGCCAUCAAGUGGAAGCGCAUGAGCAGAAAUGCGGGGUCCACAAUUAUGAACAAAAUUGAAAACAACUUUAUUCUUUGACCUUGAAUGGCUGCAUGGUCUCAUCAUAAGAAAAUAAAAUAUUGUAAGCUUCUAACUAUUUUCCCAUAUGUGUUGCCCUUAAAAAAUGCAUAUUUUAUAAAGGAAGCACCCUAUUGUAAGGUUUUUUUAGGAAUAAGUAUCUUCAAUAAUUAUGUAAUUAAUUUCGUAUAGGAAUACGUAUCUUUCACAAUUAGACAAUUAAUAUCCUAUACGAAAUCUUUUCUAUGUAAUUAGGAAUAUAUAUCGAAAGAAGAGAUUUUGAAUAAAGGAGUUUAUAUAUGUAUACUUGCCUAUUGAUGUAGACUUUAAACAUAACCUCACAAAUCGUGGUGUUUACUUUUUUUGGUUCUCUUAUUUUCUUCACUAUUGUUAUUCCUUAUUGUGUUUUUUCACAAAAUUAUUUUAUAUAGACAUAAUUGUUUAGAGAAAAAUGAAAAUUAUUGUCAAAAAAAAAAAAAAAAAGAAACUUCCUAUUUCACCCCAAGAAAAUAAAAAUAUAAUAUUGCAAUGCACAAUAGAACAAUUUACAUCUAUAAUUUUUAAAUAUUAUUUUCUAUUAUCUUAAUAUCUUUAAUAUAAAACAAUAUUUUUAUUAAUAUUUAUCCAAGGAAAUGUUGUGUGGGUAGAAAAGGUCAAAAGAAAAAGAAUUUUUUUUCUUAAAUAUUUGUUGGUGACAAAAAAGAAACACAAGAAAUUUAAAAAAAAAAAAUGUGUUUUGUAUUAUUUUAUAUGAAAUAACUACCAUUCAUUAGCGCUAGUUCCAUUAAAUGCUUUAUUAUCACACACUUAAAAGAUGUUUAAAAUCACAUUAUUAAAAUAUAUAUUUUAUAUUAAUUUGAGACUAAAAUCCAUCUUUAUUUCAAGUACCUACAAACUAGGAUCCAUAUGUUUUAAAAUAUUUUUUAUUUAUUUAUUUUUAUUUUCUCUUUUAAAGAAAAUGAUGUAAACAAAACUAAAUGGUCAUAUCUUGAGGUUAUGUUUGAUAUGUGGGAAUGAAGAGUGAGAAUAGAUAUCUUAUUCAUUUUCACAUUUAUUUUUAUAUUUGGAUAACUCAAGUGUUGAUGAUAAUGAUAUAAAAAAUAAUUUCAAAGGAAAUGAAAUUUUACUUGUAAAUGAUAUUUCAAUUUAUCCUUAGUAUGAGGUAUUUUGAUUCUAUAAUACAAUUUAUUUUUAAAGAUGUUUUUCAAAAAUUUAGAAAUCUAAACCUUUUAUUGAUAAGUUAUUUUUAAAAAUAUUUUAUUUUGAUUUUAUAAGAAACGAAUUGUAAAUUCAAGUUAUAUAAUAUAAACUAAAUUUAAUUUGUGCCUUAUUAAAAAUAAAAAAUAAUUUUUUAUUUAUAAAUAAAUUAAAAAUAAAUAUUUUAAAUAAAAUAUUAAUAGUAAUAUUAUAAUAAAAUCAUAAAUUAUAUUUUCAUACCCCAAACCUAAUUUAGGGGUAAAAUCGAAAUUUAGAAAUUAAUAAUUAGUUAAAGUAAUUUAAUAAGGGUAAAAAGGUCUUUUCAUAUUUAAAAUCCUUAGAUAUAAAUUGGAUUUUUCCUAUCUUCUCUAUUCAAAAAACCCUUUUACACAUAGAUCAAAAAUAUCAAAGAGCAUAGGGCUGAAGAUUUGGAGGUUUAGGGUUUGAAGAUCAAUUUUUCAGGUAAGAUUUUAAUCCUUAAAUUAAUAUUUUAUAUUCGUUAAUUAGUUUUAAAAACUUUAGAUAUUCUUUGGAAGAUCUCAAUCUAGAUUAGGGUUUGUUAAAUUAAUUUUUAGAUCAAAAGACUGGAAAUUUGUGAAUGUGAAUUAAUUUGUGAUGAAAAUAGAAAAAUUUAGAAAUUUUCUAUUAAAUAGAAAACAAAAUCAAUGAAAAAUUAAUGAAAGAAAAGAAAUUUUAGAUUUAUAAAAUAAAUAAAUAAAUCGUUUGUGUAGGCUUCAGAUUUGAAAAUAAAAUAAAAUGGAGUACGCGUGUAUUGCCAACGUGUUGACUUAGGCAUUGGAAAAGAUCGUAUAUGUAAAUAUAUUUUAUAAUAAUAAAUAAUGGGAAGAAACAUGAGGCUUACUGUUUUAUUCUUAGGACUUUGCACAUAUAAUGAAGAUAUGAGGGUAAUGGGUUGGUUAUAUAUUGAAUUUGAAAAUUAAUAAAAAUUAUAAUAUUUUGUUUUAAGCUAACAAAGGAAAUAUUAAUAAUAAUAAUAGUUUCUUAUAUAGGUUUUAAUUUAAGUUAAGUAUAUAAAGAAAUAAAUAAUGAGGGUAAGAUUAGAAAAUAAAAUGAAUUUUAUAAUAAUUUGGAAACUCACUAAAUUAAUUUAUUAUUUUUUAGUAAGUUGAAAAAUAAUAUUGGGUAGUAAUAAUAUUAGCAUGAGAAAUUAAUUAGGAUCCUUAAUACUAAAUAAAAUAUUUUUAGGAUUUUCAAAUUUAUAAGUUUGGAUAAAUAAUCAAUAAUCAAUACAGUGUAUGAUAUUAUGUUAGGUGAGGAGAAAAUUCUUCAGAGUUAAAUACUUCAAGAUUUUGAGUGCUUUUUCAAUGUAAGAGAAAUUAAUGCAGAUUUUUAUAAAAGAAAAUAAUUUUCUUUUUAUGUUGUAUUUUGAAAUGUGUAAAAAUAUUAUUUUUAUCUUUUCGCAUGGAUCAAAUCUGUGUUUUGUAUGGAAAUUAUUUUUUUUGAGAAUUUUCUUUGUUUAUUUAUGAAAAGUGAAAAAUUUUGGAGAUAUGAUAUUUUGUUUUGCAAGUUUGAAUUUAUGAAAUAAUGUGUUUGACUUUGGAUUAUAUGGCCCUAGUCAACGGGUUAUAAUUGUUGACAUAUUCGACCCUAAUCAACGAGUUAUAAUAGUGGAUAUUAUAUGGCUCUAGUCAACGGGUUAUAAUAGUUGACCUUAUGGCCCUAGUCAAUGGGUUAUAAUUGUUGACAUUUGGAUUUAUUCACCUUAAAUGGAACAAAUUUGAAACUAGUCACUCAUUUGUGAAGUCCCACCUAAUUAGGCACCAUUUGUUAUUUGAUAACCAGAGUAAAGAUAUUUUGAAUGUAUUUGAUUUGGUUUUGAUGAGAAAUUGUUUUGAAAUGGAUAUGAGACAGUUUUGUUGAAAAGUUUGAAUGUAUUAGUAUUUUGAGCUCAAAAGUUUUUAUGAAAAUAAGUAUAUGUUAUAUCUCCUAUUUGCAAGCACGAUUGAAAAUGUUUGAUCAAUGAAACUGCAUUGAUGUUCCUUAUUGAGCUUUAAGCUCAUGCCCCUUUGUUGAUCAUUUUUUAGGUACUUUCAGUUCGGGCGAGGAGUGAUGGCUAGGCUUGGGAAUUUUUCUUUGUUAGGAUUUUGGUUCAAACUUUAUUUUGGACUUUGUUUAGAUGUUAAAAUUUAAUUCCCGUUUAAAUUAUUUGAAUUUGGAGUUAUUGGACAAUAACACUCUGGUUGAUGUAUUAGUUUUUUUUAUAGUUGAUACUUGGAGAUUUUAGAAUUUUGUCCUAUUACUCUUAAUAGGAAUUUGGUAAUUGGUAAAUUUUCAGUUACAAUACGAAUGUUUGUGUCAUUUCCACUUUGAGCCUUUGGGCUUGAGGUGUGAAAUGACUGUCAUGCCCUUGGAGUGAGUUUUGGGGCGUGACAUAUAUUUUUAUAAAUAUUAUAAAAAUAUGAUAACAUAAUUGAUUUUUUUUUGUUAAUAAAUAAUAAUAAUAUUAAUAAUAAUAAUUCAAAAUUAAUAAUUGCUAAUACUAAUUUAUUUUAAAUAAAGUUUAAUUUUUUUAAGUAUAAAUGAGUCAAAAUUUUCAUUACAUACAUACAUUUAAUACUCAGACAUGGUAUUCUUAAAUUUUUGAUUUAAUUUAUAAUUAAUAAAUCAGUUUUUUGAAUUUCAAAUUAUUAUUAAAAAUUAAAAUAUUUAUUAAAGAAUUCAAAAUAUUAAUUAUUUCCAUUAUUUUUUAUAGUCCUUAUUGAUUCAUGCCCGAUUGGUGUUCCAAUUGAUUCAACUCAAUUGAUGUGCUUUGAUCUCAAUCAUUAGACGGGAGUAAUCAACAAAAUUUAUAAACCUAUUUCACCAUAUACCGGGGUAGCAUUUAGCUAGCAUAGUAUAGUGGCUCUAGGAUCGUCCAUAGAGAUGGGUUUUCACUUCGCAAUUGAUAUUAGUUCAAAAACUGAAUUGGUGCUUUUUCUUUUCAAGGUUAGCUUUAAAAUAAAACAUAAAGAUGUUUGAACAAAGAUUGGUUUUAAGCUAACCAAAAAUAAUAGUAACUGAUUUUAAUUACAAAGAAAAGUGUUUCUUGGAGUUUCAUAUCACUAGGCUCAGAUUCCUCAUACAAAAAGGAGAGUUCCGGUCACUUGAUUCUUUUCCUCGCAUUAGAGAAUUAACAUAUAGUUAAUUCUCUAACCGGUGUGGUACAGAUGCUUGCCAUUAAUGGUUUCAACGGUAAAUCCCUCUCACUGAUACACCUUGCAAUGGCUCGUACCUCUCACCUAGUAUUUGCCAUUCAAGGUGAUCUUUAACCUUGGAUUUCCCUUCACAAACUCGCAAGAGAUAACUAAUGGAUGUCUCCUUAGAGUCCAAAAGCUUACCAAGUGUUGGCUAUUCUAGAAAAUCCUACCUUUAAACCACCUCCCAAAAGCUCGCAAGAGGUAAACCAGUGCAUCUCCAUGGACGGAGAUCACUUGCCUAACCAAGUGUUGGCUUAGGUGAUUAAAAGGAGUUUUAAGUUAACUAAAAAGAUAAAAAUCAUUAACGGGUCACACUUUCUCUUCAUUAAAAACUAAAACAACAAAACUUCCAAUUUAUGCAUGAGGAAACUUACCCGGCUUUCUUCACUCCAAGAGACAAAGAGCCUAGCCUCUCAUCCUCUGAGGAAAAAUCCUCAGAGUUUGAUUGACUAGAAAGAAAACUAACGAGAAAACAAAAAUAUGUAGGAAAAACAGAGCAAGUGCUCUGUUCGUCGAUUCUAUAAAUUUAUAUCUAUAUGAUGGAUCCCUUUUACAAUGGAUGCAAGGGAAUAUAUACAGAGAAGUUUUUCCAAUCUUCCUAGCUAAGAAAUCUUAUGGUUGGUGGAUUACAAGGAGAAGAAUGGAAAUUUAUACAAAAAUAUCUGAAGAAAAGAUCUAAAAGAGUCGGUGCACAAAUAUCCCAUUUCGCAUGUAGAUUUCGCACGUUGCAUGGUGACUUGCGAAAAUCUCGCAAGUUGAUUUCGCAACUUGGAAUCCAUUUUCGCAUGUUGAGCUCCAAGUUCACAAGUUGCAAAAUCACUUUCGCAAGUUGGGCUUCUCUGUGACUGUGCAGCUGUAUUCCAUUUCCAUUUCGUAAGGUAGGCUUUAAUUUCGCACGUUGGAGUUCCAAUUUCGCAAGGUGCGAAAUUGUCCCUCAACUUGAUGCAGUUGUCUUCCGAAGGCCAUAUCUUCCUCAUUUAAGCUCCAAAUUGUAUACGGUUUGAAGCGUUGGAUUCUUGACUUCUUGAGCUUUGAAAUGGUAUAUAGAAUGUAGAAAAUGAACUUCAGGAAGUGCUCCAAAAGUGCGAAAUAAGACUAUAGCUGCUGUCCUCUAUUUUCUUCACUCUGUUUUUCCUCUCUCCGUUGUUCUUUCCUUGCAUACUUUGAACGACUUUGGAAAAGGGCUAUGGAGCUCCAAAGCUUGGUUCUUCAUGAAUUUGAGCUUCCAAAAGCUUUGCCAUGAACUAUAUACAGCUCUCCCUCAUUCUUGGAUUGCUUUGGUGUAGCUAAAAGCUAUCAAAAACACCAAAACUUAACACAAUUUGAUUAGAAACGAUUGCAAGGGUCCUUAACAUGUCAACUGAGUUAAAAGGUAAUAAUUACUACUCAAGAGUGUUUAAAAGAGUUAAUUAUAAGCUACAAAAUAGCACUUUUUGAGUAGUAAUCACUUAUAUAUAUUUUUUGAGUUUCAAUUUUCUUUAAAAAAAUUAUUAAACUUAUUAAUAAAUUUAAUACAAAGUCUUCCUUAAUUUGACUUUCUAGUAAAAAAAAAAAUGGUUUUCUAUUUUGCUUUGUUUAUAGAGCACGAUAAUCAAAUAGUGGUACAAAUUUUUUAAAAACAAAUUUGUUUGUAAAUCAUAUGUUCAAAUAGUUUUUAUUAUUUAGCAAAAACACUAUAGACCCUCUAUUUUGGCCCUAACACACAUAUUUUUUUAAAUUAUUUUUUCUCACCCCACUCUUUUUUUAGCACGUAUUUAGAUCCAUUUUUGCUCAAUUUUUCAUCAUCCUGGUCCAUGUUUCACAUCAUUGAUUUUUGAGCUAUAUUUUGGAGACCAUUUAAAGGGUUAUUUCAGGUCCUAGCAUGAUUAUCGGACACCCAUUAGGAUUAGUUUUUUUUUAGGGUUUGCUUUUGGAAUUUUAGAGCCUUUGAGUAGCUGGGUUGGGAUGAGGACAUGUGUACUCAUUCUAGCCUUCCUUUGUCUCUUUUAAAGGCCUUUUUUGGCCUUUAGUGAAAGGUUCUUUUUUCAUGCUUUUGGCUCAAGUUUUCUUAAAGGGGGCUUGUUGGCCACCUUUUAAGGGUAGUGGAGAUGCUCUCAAUAGCUAAGGAACAAGGGGUAGAGAAUUGGUUUUUAUAGUGAGAGUGAGGUAGAGAGCAGGGGGUUUGGAGGAGUUUUUGGGAAAAGUAGCAGACGAAGAAAAGUUGUGGGUGAGGCAUUGUGGUGGUGAGUGGGCUGCAGAGUAAGACAUUGCAAAGGGGGCACCAUCUAUUCUGGUGGGGAGUCUUAGAAAAGAGGGACAUGAGCUACAAGCCAUCUUGGGGAGGCAUUAUUCUUCUUUCUUCUGGGUGAGAGUAAGAGAGGAGACUUUGGAGAGAGUAAAAGAUAUUUCUUAUGGUGGUUUUUGGUUUUGAGUAGAGGAGAAGAAUAACAUUAAGAGAAGAGAAGCAGGGGGGACCCUUCUAGGAAUGGAUAUUAUGAGUUCCCUAUUCAUCUUCAUUUAUCAUAAUUAUUAGGGUGAAUUCACAAUAUUCCAACAAACACCAGGAUUUUUCUACCAUUUCUUUGUGUAAAAUUAAAUAGGUAAUAGAAACUAGUAGUAAUAAAUAAAUAAACUCAUGCAAUGGAAAAAUAAAUCAGACACCAAAAUUUUUACUUGGAAAACCCCUCAAUGUGAAGGAAAAAACCACGAGACCUAGUCUAGUUCAAACUCCACUAUUAACAAUAAUGGGUUACACCUAUCUUCUCUAGAAUAAUCUUUAGAGGCUACCAAAUACAUCAAGAGCAUAUAUAGCCUUGGAUUAUAUAAUCUCUCUUGGUAAAAAAACAAGGAAAAUUAGAGAAAGAAUACCCAAAAACACAUUGUUACUGUUCACGGGCAGUAACACCAAUUCCCUAGCUCAAAAUCUGAUCUCCACCUUUUAGAUUGUAGUUACUCGAGUUUUGAACAUCUCCUCCAAAUUUCAACUUGAUCGAACCACAGAUGAAGCAGGAUCGACUCUUUGAUGAAAUCUAGGUAGUGAAAUGUGUUUUUUUCUUUCUUUUUUCUCUUAUCUCUGUUUUUUCCUUUUUUUUUUUUAAUCUCUUUCUCUUUUUGUUUAUUUAUUUAUUUUAUUGUGACUGACUUGGGCCUCAAGAAUAUGGGGCCCACUCCCUCACAUACGAGGGAGCCUAACAAAUCUCCAAUUGGAUCCUAAUUGAUUAAUUAACCUAAUAGGGUGUACUAAUUAAUCAAUUAGCUUAAUCCAAAGACCUUGUUCACUUACCUCUGUGUAACCUUAUGUUAUUACCAAAAUGCCUUUAUGCAUAAAAGUGAACCUAAAACCAAUCCCACCCUCAUAACCUAUGCCAACAAGGUAUAUGAGCUCAAACCGGGGGCCAUAACUCUAGUAUUUUAUGUAAAUAACAAUGAGACACGGUAUACUCGGGUCCGUGACUUGCUAUCCAUUGUGUUUAGUCUCCCUAUGUACUAAUGUCCGUAGUCUAACAAGGUAAAAUUUUUCAAUCUUUUAAGACUACCUCUAUUAUCAUUGAGUUACAGAUCCUUCUAUUAUGUGUUCAACUAACAUGUCUUAGCUCUUAAAGAGCCUAUGUCAAGUUCCACUUAAGGAACUACUAUAACCAUAUUUUCCAUUAACACACCUCCUUAGAACCACCCAAUGAGACACAUUGUCUCAAUCCUAUGAGAUAUCAUGAUGCUUCUAUUAAGAAUACCUAUUGCUACCAACUUCCAUCAAUAGUGACCCAAUCCAUAAGGAAUAUAUGAUCAACUUACGAUCUCACCCAUAGGUCAAAAUCAUUGCUAACUUUGGCACAAACUUCAAUAUUCUCUCAAGGUUGAGAGACAACACAAUGAAGUAGCUUGGUAAGGUCACAGAUACUUGAUAGCUUUAAGUCAUGACUCAUCAUAAGUCCUAUCUAAUGUGUAACCAUACACACCAGUGUACUCACCAUGGAAAACUCAUCUCGAUAUUCAAGACCAGUUAUCCCUCCAAUUAGAAGGUGGUGGUGCACUAUAGCCUCUAAUAAGUUGUCUAAACCCAUGAACCGACUUUGAACAAGUCAUCUAUUUACAAGGAACCCAUGACUUGGAUCUUCCUUAUAACUCAUAAAUGCACUCAAGUCACAUACACUGCAAAAGAUGCAAACAAGAAUACUCAUAAAGUGUAAUGCAUGGAAUAAGGAUAGAUAAAAGUGAAAUUGGAAUACCAUUAAAAUAAAUAAGGAAUUCCAAAUCUAUUACAUCAUGUCAUGCUUUUAAGAGCUCCAUCCUAACACAACCUUCACACUUCAUGGAUAGUACAAAGUGAUAAUUUAGUUAGGUUGAUAACAAUUUUUAGAGUGCCUUGUCUUUGAGUUUGAAACCUUUUCCUGUAUUUAAUGAUUCUAAUGUGAGCUCUAGCUUCCUUGGUCUUCAGUUGUCAGGCAUGCAAUUUUCAUUGGAAAGUAAGUGGAAAAGGUGUCUUGCAAAGUCUAGUAAUGUGUACAUUCAAGUUGAAAAGGCAUGAGGUACUCCCUCGAUGACAAUCAGGUUGUCAAAAAAUAGUACUUGGCUUGUCCAUGUGAUCUGCGCUCUUGAGAGAUGUGUGAUUGGAUUAUCCUAGAGCCUAAUGGAAGAAAAUGGGAAAUCAUGUUGCAAAGAGCAACUGCAAAGGGAAUGAAAGUGAGAGAUCAUGCUUAGUGUGGUCCUGAUCCCACAUAUGUUGCAGUCAUGACAAAGGAUGGCACUACAACUACUGGUCUUAAUAGUGUAGGAGCAUCGCUAAUCGUUGUACAUAUGACUAGGAAGUCCAGCCUGUGACCCAAUAAGUUCAAUUGUGGUGGAAAUUUAUGUAGAAUAGUAGCUAUAUUUCUCAUCCAAGGAGUUGUUCCAUUUGCGACGAUGAUAAAUGGGGAGUUAUAUGUGAGUGCCCUCUACCUGCAUAAAAUGAUAAUCAGAAAGACUAUCCAUGUUUUUCUUUGGCCAUUCCAUCAAAUUUGACAUGUGAUUUCAAACAUAAAAAGAUAUUCCAAUAAAUGGAACGAAGAACUAUUACCUGCUAUGCUCAUUUGGGAAAAAAAAAAUCCAAAUUUGGAAUUAGAAAUGAAAAGUUGCAAUGGUUUCUUGGUGCUUUGAAAGCACAUCCUAAUGAGCUGAAGCUUGUGGGGGUUUAUUGCCAUUUGGGGUCUGCCAUUACUAAGGUGGGCAUUUUCAGGGAUGCUAUAGUUCCAUUUGGGUUACAUCCACAUGGCUGAAUUUGAAAGCCCUAGAGUUGGGGCUUGAUCUUCCUGGAUCAUAAGCUCCUAAAAAAGAUUCAAACCUUUUUUUUUGCUGAAAUCAAGAAAAUUUAUUAAGAAGCAGUCUGGAAUGUACUUUUUUCCUUCUUUGCCAAAUUGCGGUAAACUAUUUAAUAAAAAUUAAUUAAAAUUUUAUAUUAAAAACUUUAGUUCAAAUUAAUUAGAAAAUGUGGUAAGAUAAAAUGAAAUAAAACGAACUUUAAAUGAUAUUUUAGACAUUUUAUUUAAUUCUUUUAACUAUGACAUCAUUAAUCAACCAUGAAAAUCUUUCAAGAUUCGAUAACAUCAUUUAAGGGAUUGUUAUGCUCUAUUAUGGUCAAGUGGUGUCAAUGUAAUUUCAAAAAUUUAAGGGUGGUUAAGUGUAAUUUUCAAAUAGCCGAGGGGGUAUCCAUGUAAUUUUCCUCAAAUAUAUGUAAAUUUUUUAGGGUUAUGCUAGGGUACUAAAAAUCAUUUUUCGGUACCAUACCCACUUUUUUUGGCUAAUAGGAUUAAGACACAUGACAUGUAAAAUUAAAAAAAAAAUUAAACAAAACCAAUUCUUCAAGUUACCCAACCGGUUGCCAUGGGAAUUAAUCCCAUGCAACACACAUUUUUAUACUUAUUACAAUAACCAAUUAUAAAAUCAUGUUUAAUGCAAUUAUUUCGUUUGGGGAAUUUCUUUUAUGAAACAGAAAAAUAAAGAAAAUUUUGGAAAAAGAUAAACAAUAUAAUUUGGUAAUAUAAUUUGAAAAUUAAGGAAAAGUAAAUUUAAUUUAUUUUAACAUCAAAUAAUUUGUUGAUAAAAUUUAAUGAAUAUUUGAAGUGUGAAAAGCAAUAUAAUUGGUUUAUGAAGUGAAAAAAUGGGAAGAAAUAGAAAGAAAUUUUAUAAAAUAUAUAUUAACUUAAAAUUUAAUUAGUUGUGUACUAAUUAUUAAUCGAGAAUAUAUGACUAAAUUAUUUCUUAACGUUUAAAUUGAAUUACACAACAAAAUUGGUUGAAAUAUUGAAAUACGAAAAAUGUAUAAUUACUAACAAUAUGGAAAUCCAAACCCUUCGCUGAUUUUUUUCGUAAAUUUCCAUUUUGAAAUUUUCAAGGAUCCAUUUAAGAUCCUCAAAAUGAACUGAACUUAUCUAAACAAUAUCUAAGUCAUAUGAAAUCCCAAAUUAAAAAAAAAAAAUCAAAGAAGUGGAUAGUAGGGAGGACACGAAGAAUGUGAGAUUCCCUAACUAAUUUGUUAGUAUUUACAAAUUUUGAUUUUUUUCGGGUAAAAUUUAAACACAUAAGUUUUUUAAAAGUUGAAAAACUUAACCCAAUUAAACUUAUAAGAGAGAACUAAGUUUUUUAAAUCAAUUAGUUCAUGUCUGAUAUUAGAAAUAAUCAAAGACAACCACAUAAGAAAAAUAAUUUUAUGUGGAAAACUCUCAUACUAACUGUGAAGAUAAAAAAACCAUGAGGUCUAGGACCUCUAAUAAAAAGUCCACUAUACAAGAUUAAGAUACAUGAAUUUACCUGACUGCUUAUCUUAAGACUUACUCUCCAAGACCUAUAUCGUGAUCCAUGUUUACAUCACAACACUUCCAAUGCUCUAGUGGAUUCAUCUCAACCUUUGAGAGAAUGCAAGUCUCUCUAAUAACCUAAAAUUUGAUAAACGAAUUCUUAAGAGCUUUUGAGAAUGGUAGGGGAAGUUUAGGAAGGGUUUAGAAAGCAUAAAUCCCUAAAAUAAGUUUAAGAAGGGUUAAUAUAUGUCUAAAGACGUAGAGGAUUGAUAACCUAAUUUUUUAUAAAGAAUAAAUCCUUAAUUUCCAAAAAUGAGAUUUGCUAGAAUAUGGUAGAUUCAAAGUGACAGCUCAAGCGGACCUAUCCAUUGCUUGACGCCUUGGGUCUUUAAUAACUUAGAUAAGGGCUUGAGCGGUAUAAGCACUUGAGCCUUGAUACUAGACUUGAUACCAAUGCUUGAGCGCCCUAUUUUUUAAAAAAAAUUUAAAAUUUAGCUCAGAAUUAAAUAAUCGAUCCAAUCCAAACCUUUUUAAAAGGGCUAAUUUCCACAACUUAAACCUUUUUAGACUUACUUGUGACUUUCCGGUUGAAUGAAUAGCAACCUCGAAUCUUCAAGGGAAAGUAAGUCAUUAUCUUAAAAGUAUUCUAUGCCAAAAUGAAAUGAACAGAAUUGUAAACAAAAUAAUGCAAGAACUCAAUGCCCUAACAAUCUCCUUAUUUGACAAUUUUGUGACAAAACAAAAACAAAGUUAUAUAAACCCCCAAAACUCUCAAACAAAGUUUACAUAACACUUAAUCACACUCGUCUAAACCUAAUCAUCCAAUCACAUGCAGAGAAUCAAAUGAUGCAUCCAAAUCCAAUAAGGUAUCUCAAUACUUGUAACUUGCACACAUAACACAUAAAUAUCCAAGGUAAAGCAAUGUGUAGGAAAAAAUAUAACUAAGUAAUCAAAAUAGGGUAAUAGGGAAAAAUCAAGAUCAAUAUGCAACCCUGCAAGUGAACAUGUAUCAAGCAUAUGAAUCAAUCCAUGGAAAAAUAUUAAUGCUAUCAUAACUAUGAAUCCAAAUCAAUCAAUCAUUUCUUCCCCAUUUUGUAGCAAAAUAGACAAAGAUAAAGAAUAGAACAAGAUAAACAUGUAAGUAAAGUGAGAAACAUGAUAUCUAUAUAGAUAAGAAAGGUUUUAGAUAAUAACAAAAUGUAGGAAACUAAAAGCAUACAUUUAGACCAAAGCUAAAUAAUAAAAAAUAUAUAAAACUUGAGCCAAAUCGGUUUCAGUCUACAAAAAGUGGGUCAAAACACAAACAAACAACUAAUAAUCCUGAUCCAAAGACGACGAUAGAAUACAACCCAAGGCACCCUGGGGUUGAGUCCAGGAGAUGAUGUAGGAAGGUUGAAUCUCGAUGCCUUUGAAACUAGUAUCCAACUCUCAUUUGUGCACAUCCAGGCGGGUGGCUAGCUUGAUAGUCCAAGUGCCUACUGUAUUGACCUGAAGGUGAAGUUGGGCUACGAAAUCCAUCACCCUUUGUAAAAGAAGUGCAAAAGACGGAAGAGCGAGGCAAGAUGAAUAACAAGAAGAGCCUCUAUAUCCCUGACUAUGACGCCCACGCAGAGUAAGCUCAAGGAAAUCAGUCUCCUAAAUAGGUAGAUCCUGCUCCAUAAUAUGGAUCUCCUCCUCCUUGGCGACUACCUCCUGUGUAGCCUCCUAAGUUGUAGUUGUUGGAAAUUUUUUAUAUAGGCUAACAUUAAUUGAAUAAUUUGUAUUUACAAAAACGGGUUAAUGAUUAGUCUAUUAUAUAAUGAGCCCAAUUAACUAGUGAUCAUAUUUUGGAUUGGGUUUUGCAUCUUUUGAGUAGAAGCUCAGUUGAGUGGCAAGUGUAGGCUACGGGUCUCAUUGAAGCCCAUUAUGAUGAGAACCUAAUAUUGAGUUAUGCUAAGUCCCCUCUCUAAUCUAGAAAAAAAGGGUCUUUCUAUUUUCCCAUUGAGCCACCAUAAGAGUUAUCAAGAUCAUAAAGAGGAAGACUUGGUUGCAACAAUCAAUCACCUGUUUUUUUUGUGAUGGCUGAGACAGGUAUGUUCUUUAUAACGAUUUUCUGUUGUCAAUAUCCUUUAAUCAUGUAUGAUUAAUCUAUGUGAUUAUGUAAAUAUUUUUACAUGUGGUAUCAGAGCCUGAUUUACAUGAUUUAGGAUCUACAAUUGGAAAUUGAAAAUAAAAUUUUUAGUUUCUUAUUUUAUUUUAUUUUCGGAUCCGAAUCUGUGAUCCAUGAAUGUGUAUGGUUUUUUUUUUUUAGUUUCUUUUGCUUGUGAAACUUUAGGCUUUUUGUUCCUCUUGUCGCAAGCUUCAAAUUGAUAUAUCAUAUGUGCAAUUUUGUUGUUUAAAUUGGGAGUAAUUAAGUUUUUAAAUUUUCGGAAUUUUCUUGUUUAAAGAUUCAAGAAAAAAUUUAUUUGUUCAAAUUAUUGUGUUUUACUCAAAUUAAACUCUUAGAUUUUGUUGUUUACAUAUAUUAUCGUUGAUAUGUAGCAUCAAUUUCAGUUUUUUGGUUCAAUUUGGUGAAAAUUGAAAAUUCGAAAAUAUGGGUAUGAACGCUAGAAAAUUCGUUUUAUAUUUUUUAAAAAAUUGAGUAAGAUUGAGAAGUUUUUUGUUUAAUUAAUUGUUGUAGAGAGAUUUCUUAUAUUGUUAAAGUAAAAAUACAUGUAAAAUGAGGUCGAAAUAGGUGUUAAAAUAGAGUUUUUCGAUCUUGGCUAUGGAUGUAUGAAAAAUCGAAUUUUGUUAAUCAAUUAUAGAGAUCUUUAAGUUGUUGUUGUUAUUGUUGUUGUUGUUGUUUUUAUGAUUAAAUGUCUUAAAAUUGUUAGAAACAACCUAAAGUUUAAAACCCCUCAAGAUUCCGAUUGAAAAACCUUUUUUUUUCAAUUGUUUGUAAUUCGGGUUGCAAUCGGGUCAUUUGACCCAUAUUGCAGAAUUUUUGACUCACUGCUGGAGGUUGAAGAUGACCUUCAACACAUGCUGCACAUGCCACACGUGCCACACGUUCCCCACUCAUGGGUCAAGUGUAGGAGGCUCGUGUAACCUCAUCCGGUGUCCGAUUUGAGCCCUGUUUUUUCCUGUGCGCUCGUUUUUUUUGUAAUCUAUUUUUUUGGAUAUAUUAUUUUAUUUAUUGGGGGUAAAAAAUAUUUAUUAAAUAAUUAUUACUUAUUUAUGUGAUUUAAUUAGCUUAAAAUUAUUUUUUUGGUAUAAUUUUCUGUUGAGAAUUUACCAGAAAUUAUGCUAAUAUAUAUGGAAUAGGAUUGUAGUACUCACUUUCUUUAGAUUGAAACUUUUUCAAGCAUACUCUCCUACUUGGUCUAAAUCACAUAAACUAGUUAAAUAAUUAGUUUAAAGUGUAAUAAAAAAAAUAGUUAUUCAAAUUCUUGCAACUGUAAUUGAUCAUUGAUCAUUGAAAGUACAUUUUGUGAUGUACUUCAUCUUGUUUGAUCAUAUACAUAUAUAUAUCGCUAAUAUGCACUAUUGUUGUUGGGCAAUAUUGUUUUUAAUUUACCCAAUUUUGGAACAUUGCAUGUAAAUUGUUGAGGUUAUUUCACCAAAGUGAUUUAACCAUCAAAAUUUGCAAGUUUAUAAGUUCCUAUUUUGUUGAUGGGGAAAAUUUUAGAUUAAUUUGUACAAUCGUCUGCCCAAAGGGGGUUAUUGUGCAAAUUAAUGUAACAACAUGAGGAUAUUGAAUGACAUAAAUAAUUUGAUAAAUUUAUUUGCCCAAAAGAAAUAAAUUUUAAUGAAUUAUUUGUUGAUUUUCAUGCUUAGAGAAUAGUUGUUUAUUGUGGACUCUGCCCAAAGGGGAGUUUAUAAUAGAACAAUUAAUUCUUGUAUUGUAUUGUUUAUACUUAUUUAAGCAUUUUACCUAUUGCCCAUAAUUGAUCUAGUUGCAAAAUUUUGUCAAUCAGUUUCCUUUGCUGUGAACAACAAUAAUGCUACAAUUGAAAUUCUAAGUGGGUCAAACUAUAAGAGAUGGAGAUCAGACAUAGAGUUUGUUUUAGGAAUGAUGGACUUGGACAUGGCUCUACGUGAAGAUGAACCUUCUAAGCCUACUAAUGAAAGCACUGAAGCUAUGAGAGCUCAUUAUGCGAAAUGGGAAAGAUUGAACUGUUUGAGUCUCAUUUCCAUUGUUGAGCAUCUCCUUGGAGGAAUACCUGAGAAUAACAAUGCUAAGGAAUUUCUCAUUGCUGUGGCAAAUAGAUACCAAACACCAGACAAUGCUGAAACUGGGCAUUUUAUGGAUGAAUUGAUGAAUAUGAGGUAUGAUGAUAUGAAAGGGGUUCGUGAGUAUAUCCUAAAAAUGGUGCAUCUUCAGACUAAAUUGAAAGCACUAGACAUUCCCAUUCCCGAUAAGUUUAUUGUUCAUCAAGCCCUCAAUACUCUACCAUCUUCUUUAAGCCAAAUCAAGACUGCAUACAACACCCUGAAUCAGUUUUGGAGUGUGAAUGACCUGAUCACUAAGUGUGUGGUUGAGGAAGAAAAGCUGAAAAGAGAAAAGAAUGAAUCUGCUCAUCUCAUUGCUCUUGGGAAAUUGAAUAAUCAGAAGAGAGUUGAAAAAGCUAGAAAGCCCAACUUCCACAGUCAUAAGAAAAACAAGAAUUUCAAGAAAAGUGGGAGUGAGAAGCAGAAGAAUGGAAAUGCCAAGAACACAGACCUUAAGUGCUAUCACUACAACAAAAAGAGUCACAAGAGGGUUGAUUGCUUUAAGUUUAAGAAUUGGCUAGAGAAUAAAAGAAAAGAAUAGGGUAUGUUAUCUGCCUAUGUCUGUUUUGAAUCUAAUUUAGUUAAUGUUCCUUUAGAUUCAUGGUGGCUUGAAAGUGGUGCUAUUGUUCAUGUUGCAACUUCUUUACAGGGGAUAAGAAAUCUGAGAAAGCCAAGUGAAAAAGAGUCAGAGCUUAAAGUUGGCAGUGACAUCGGGAUUGAUGUUGAGCAUAUUGGGAUUGUUGUUCUAGAAUUAGAUUCUGGUUUUCAGCUUGUUUUGGACAAUGUUUUUUGUGUACCUUCGUUUAGAAGGAAUUUAAUUUCCCUUUCAGUACUUGACAAAGCUGGAUAUAGUUUCGCUUUUGUAAAUAAAAGAGUUGAUGUGAUUUAUGACUCUAAAGUGAUUGGCAAUUGUGUUUUGUCUGACGGGAUUUAUAGAUUGUCGUUGUUAUCUACUUGUUCUUACAAUGUUGAAAACAGUGUUGCUAAAAGACCUUUGACUAAGGACAGAUCUUCAUUGUUAUGGCGUAAGCAUUUGGGGCACAUUUCUAAAAAAUGAGUAAAACGCUUAAUUAGUUUUGGGAUUCUUCCCCACCUUGAUUCUGAUGACUUAUAAAUUUGUGUUGAUUGUGUGAAAGGAAAAUUGACAAAGAUUAAGAAAAAAGGUGCAACUCGUAGUCAAAAUUUGUUAGAGAUUGUUCAUAUAGACAUUAGAGGGCCUUACUCCACUACCUUGUGUGGCAACAAGUACUUCAUUACAUUCAUUGAUGAUUUCUCCCGAUAUGGCUAUGUAUAUUUGAUCAAAGAAAAGACAGAUGCUCUUGAAAUGUUCAAAGUCUUUCGAACUAAAGUUGAGAAACAAUUGGGGAAAGUCAUCAAGAUUGUAAGAUCAGAUCGAGGUGGUGAGUAUUAUGGGAAGCAUGGUGAUACUAGACAACAAAAGAGACUUUUUUCAAGGUACUUACAAGAUAAUGGUAUUGUUGCUCAGUAUACUAUGCCUGGUAGUCCUGAACAGAAUGGCGAGGCAGAAAGGCGCAACCGCACUCUUAUGGAAAUGAAAAGGAGCAUGAUGAGUAAAUCAAAUUUGCCAGAAUACUUAUGGAGUGAAGCCAUUAAAACAACAACCUACAUUCUGAACCAUGUUCAUAGUAAGUCUGUGCCUAAAACACCUUUUGAACUAUGGACAAACAAAAAACCCAGUUUGAAUCAUUUUAAAGUAUGGAGAUGUCCAGCUGAGGUGAAAAUCUAUGUUCCUUCUUUAAAGAAGACAUAUUCGAGAACUACUAGGUGUUAUUUUAUUGGGUAUCCUAGUCACUCAAAAGGAUACAAGUUUUAUUGUUCGACUCGUGGCACUCGAGUUGUUGAGUCUCAAGUGGCAAAGUUUUUAGAGUUGGAUGUUGCUGAUAGUAUACCGUCUCAAUCCAAUGAAAGAGUGGAACCCAUGGAUGUUAUUUAUUUAUCUUUGCCAGUCUCAGACGUUAACCUUGAUGUUGGAGCUUUUGAUUCUGGGAUUCAGCAAGGAGUUGCUACUAUCAAUUUUGCCACUAUCAAAAUAACCCUUAUUGUAGAUGAGAUUCCUCCUGUGGAAAUGAGGAGAUCGUAAAGAACUAGAAAGACUGCCUUAUCUAACGAUUAUUAUGUUUACCUUGGAGAGGGAGAGUAUGACAUUGGAGAAGAAGUGGACCCUACUACUUAUCGUGAAGCUCUCAAUAAUGAUAAGGCAAAUGAAUGGCUGAUUGCCAUGAGAGAUGAGAUGUAGUCUAUGUCAGACAAUGAUGUUUGGGAACUUGUUGAUCUUCCCAAAGGAUAUAAACCCAUUGGAUGCAAAUGGGUAUUCAAGACAAAAGAGACAAUAAAGGAAAUGUUGAAAGAUACAAGGCUCGGUUAGUUGCUAAAAGGCAUACACAGCGAGAGGACAUUGAUUUCAUAGAGACUUUCUCACCAGUCUCUACCAAACAUUCCUUUAGGCUAGUUAUGGCGUUGGUAGCUCAUUUUGACUUAGAGCUUCAUCAAAUGGAUGUCAAGACAGCUUUUCUCAAUGGUGAUUUGAGUGAGGAGGUCUACAUGUCACAACUUGAAGGAUUUAAGGAAAUUGGGAAAGAGAACAUGGUAUGCAGAUUGAAAAGGUCAAUUUAUGGUCUCAAGCAAGCUUCUCGUCAGUGGUACUUGAAAUUUGAAAAAAUUGUGUCGUCUUUUGGUUUUAUAGAGAACAAGCUUGAUCAAUGCGUUUACAUAAAAGUCAAUGGGAGCAAGUACAUUUUCAUGGUUCUCUAUAUCGAUGACAUUCUACUUGCUAGUAGCGAUGUGAAUCUCUUGAAUGAUACCAAGCGUAUUUUGUCUGCUAAUUUUAACAUGAAGGAUCUGGGAGAAGCAUUUUUUGUGCUAGGUAUUGAGAUUUAUCGUGAUAGAUCUCGAAACCUCCUUGGGCUAUCUCAGAGAGUCUAUAUCAAUUGCGUGCUUAAAAGAUUCAAUAUGCAGACGUGCAAAGCUGGUGAUGUACCAGUUGUGAAGGGAGAUAAACUCAGUAAUGAACAGUGUCCAAAGAAUGAUUUGGAAAAGAAUGCCAUGAAGACUAUUCCUUAUGCUAGUGCCAUUGGUAGCCUAAUGUAUGCACAAGUAUGUAUGAGACCUGAUAUUGCCUUCAUUGUUAAUGUUCUUGGUAGAUAUUUAUCGAACCCUGGACAUAAUCAUUGGGUUGCUGCAAAGAAAGUCAUGAGAUAUCUAUAAAGAACGAAGGAUUUUAUGCUUGUGUAUAGGAGGGUGGAUAAUCUCGAGGUAGUUGGAUACUCAGAUUCUGAUUUUGGUGGUUGUUUUGACGAUCGUAAAUCUACUUCAGGAUACAUUUUUAUGUUAGUUGGUGGAGCCAUUUCAUGGAAAAGUGUCAAACAUAGCCUAAUUGCAUCAUCGACCAUGUAUGCUAAGUUUGUAGCUUGUUGUGGUGCAUCAUCUCAAGCUGUUUGGCUAAGAAAUCUGAUUUUAGAGUUGCAAGUUGUUGAUUCCAUCUUUCGACCCAUUGUGAUUUAUUGUGACAAUAAUGCAGUCAUGUUCUACUCCAAGAACAAUAAGAUUAGUAUGGGUUCUAAGCAUAUGGAAAUCAAGUACCUUACAGUCAAGGACUUAGUGAAGAAAAGAGAUAUUGUGAUUGAGCACAUAAGAACUGAGUCCAUGCUAGUCGAUCCUCUAGCCAAAGUGUAGACCCUCAAUUUUGUCCUCCUAGCACAUGUCCUAUUAGAUACUUAUUCGAUACUUUAUAAUAGUUCCUUGGUGGCUCAUUACUACUCGUACAACUGACCUUUUUUCUGAGUCACCUCAGGGACUUUGGUUAGGGGAUUAUCUGACCCUUUAUUGUGACCCUUGGCAGCUCUAUUUUAGACUUAGACUUUUCGUUCAUUUUUAGGAUAGCUUUUAGGGUAACUCAUUUAGGCACCCUAAGCCCACUUAGGCACCCUAGGCCCAUUUAGGACACUUAGUUUGUUAGGCACCCACUUAGGUCCGUUUAAAUACUUCAUCGGGCUUAAUUUUUAUAUACAUAUAUAUAUAUAUAUAUAUAUAUAUAUAUAUAUAUAACUUUUAUUAGUAUUAUUAUUAUUACUGCAUGCAUUCGAUAAUUAUAUUUAUUUUGUUUAUUCAUUUUCAUUUUUCACCUUUUAUUUGUUCGUCAUUGUCAUUGUCAUUAUUAUUAUUAUUACUAUUUUUAUUUUUUACUUUUAUUUUUUAUUUUUUAUUUAUGCACUCAUGUAAUAGGAAAUUGCUCGAAUUGUUUAGACUCCAAAAUGUGCAAAUAAUCCUUGAUUGGAUGGUGGAAUUAUAUAACCUGGUUUCUCUUUCUUGGCUUUUGAAAAUCGUAUUUCAUUUUAUUAUCAAUCUCAUAAUUUUUAUCAGUUUCAGCUCUUUUCUUUUACCCUUUUUUUUUAAAUUUUAUUUUAUUAUGUUUUGCAUGAGGAGCACCGGAAUUUCUCAAGAAGGAUCCUAGGCACCAAGGUCUCAGAGACUGCUAGGAAGAAAUCUCCAUGCACAGUCGCACAUGGGAGGGAUGACACGAAGACUGUCGCUCAGGAAGAAUGAAACAUGUGGACUGCCACCGAAGAAGGAUCCACAGGCACGGCUACAAUCUUCCAUGGGCUGCAUCAUUUUUUGAAAAAGGUAUCAACACGUGGAGAAACAUGCACAACCCACAUAAAAGAACACCACGCAUCAUAAGUUUGCAAAAUCGAUCACGCUGCCAGAUUUUUGGAGCACACAACCAGCAGGCAUUCUGGACAUGUUCCAUGGAGAUUGGGGAAGAAACAGCUGCAUCAUCAAUAUAGAGAAGAGGGCUGCCACUUUGAGUCUUCAUUACGUAGCAGAUUUUGAUCCCAAGAGGAUCAUGCACAACCCGGAAAGAAUAUACAGACGCAUGAUAUGUGUGGGAUUUUCCAUCUUUUGGAGAGAACAUGCCUACAUAGCCCAUGCACAGCUUGCACCUCUUCACAACUGUCAUCCAUGAUUCAAAGUCACAGCCGGCUCCAAGCACCAUUGCUCCAUUCACACGCAGCCGUCAUGCUCCGUCCAUUGAAUGGUGAUCACUCCACCACGCACCAUGAGAGGCAUCAAUUGAUGGGGCAUCAAAGCUGAUCACUUAAGAGUCACCAGAUUUUUUUUAAGACUUUGUGGGCUGCAGUUUUGGAGAUCACAUAGUUGCAUAUUUGGAAGACGGAACAGACUUCCGUGGCAAGAUGCACAUGAAGGAAAGGUGAUGUCCAGAGAAUGAGGAGAAGAAUGCAUAAUCACACUUCCAACAAUGCAUUACUGUCAUUUGGUGUAUUCCUCGAACCCAAAACCCUCUCUCAAUUCCAAACGCGUUCGAGAUUCGCUGUUUCUGCAAGUCUCGGUGCAUUUCGGUUUAUUAGAGGUCAUCCUUCCGUACAAUUGCACCCUGAGAUUGACCGACAGUGGAGUGCACGUCUUGGAGCCCUUGAAAUCAGAAGAUAGAUGGGAUCCCUGCCACUUAAAGAUGGCGCACUUCGGAUUGGACCCCAAGCCCACUCUCGCAUGGCUGCAAAUGCCAAUCCCCUUUAGCUCCAUUGCAAGUCAGGUUUGGGAAAGUUUAAACCGGUGAAGGCUGACAUUACUUUUGCCUCUGCCAUUCAGAUUGGAGAUCUUGUUUCUAUAGUGGGUUGUAAAGGAAAUUGUUUAAAAAGAGAAGUCAACGUGCUGAGAAUUGGAUGACUUACCAAACAAGGUACGAUUGCAUCUUUAAGGAAAUCUCCCACCGAGCCACCAUGUAUGCGCUUUACAUAUUCAUGCUCAUUAAAAAAAAAAGAAAAGGAAAGAGAGUAUUUUCAUAAAGGAAAGUGCUGUCAUAUAAAUUGAAGGGAGGAUUUUUUUUUAGAGAUCCACACGGAGAUAUAUUAUUUUGAGGGAACAAAGAGAGGCCGGUGAAGGAAGAGAGCAGCAGCCGCACCACCAUAGAGGAAUUCUGGAAAAGGUAAGUUAGAAUUUCUAAGGAUUUUAGUUUUAAUAUUUUUAUUGGGUUGAAAGUUAGAGUUUUUAUGUAUUAAUUUUGAUUUUUUUUAAUCGGAUGAAAAAGUUAGAAUGUAGUUAGUUUGAUUUUGAUUCAUUGUCUUGGUUUCAAAAGUUAGGUUUUGUUUAGUUUAAUUUUAAUUCAUUAUGUUUGUCUCGAAAAAUUAGAAUUUUUGUUUGAUUCAAUUUUUUAUUCAUUGAACUAGAUUGAAAGGUUAAAAUUUUAUUUAAUUUAUUUUUUAUUCCUUGCGUUAUUUUGAAAUGUUUGAAUUUUGUUUAAUCUAGUUUUGAUUUUUUUUAUAUUAGAUUGAAAAGUAAAUUUUUGUUUGCUUAGUUUUGAUUCAUUACUUUGGUUUAAAAGGUGAGAAUUUUUUGUUUUAUUUUAAUUUUGAUUCAUUAUAUUACAUUGAAAAAUUAGAAUCUUUGUGUAGUUUGGAUUUCAUUCCUUGCUUAGUUCGAAAAGUUAGAAUUUCGCUUAGAUCGGUUUUAAUAGAUUUAAUUUUAAAAGUCAGUUUUUUUAUGAGUCAGCUUUUUAUUUAGUUCAAGUGUUUUAUAAUUUUUAGUCUAUUAUUCUAAUUGAUCCUAUGUAAUAAAGUUUAUGUUUUUUAAGUUUAUUUUGAUCAUGUUUUGGUUCAUCUUAUUUAGUUUAGGUAUUUUAGUUAGGAUUUAAGUUGGUUAGUUUAAGAAAUAUUUGGUUAAUUCUUGGUUGAUCCACUUUUAGUUUGUAUGUUUUCCAAAGUUUUAGACAACUAAUUUAAUUAACCCUAAGUCAUAUUAUUCAUGUUUUGAGUAUACUAAUCUUCAUUCUUGGUUUAUCAAUAUUUAGUUCAUGCUCUUUUUUAAUAGGUUAAUUAGUCUAACUAAUCUUAUGUUAUUUUGCUCACGUUCUAAAAUUGAUGAUUCUAGUUUUUGAUUAGUUAAUAUGUUUUAGAAUUCUAUGUGCUUGUGUUACUAUAUUCACAUUAUUAUAAUUACAUGUUUAGGUGUUUGGUUGAUUUUAAAUUAGUUCUAGAUUGUUUAUCUCAAUUUAUGUGUUUGAUUGAUCCUUAUAAAUUCCCGAUUAAUAUUUCAUUAGUUUUAUUUGAUCUAAGGUCGUUUGGUUUGUUGCUUUGGUGAAUAUUUAUUAAAUUUGAUUUUUAGAGGCCAUUGGAAAAUUAUGAAGAUUGGCCUCUACCAUCACCAUUAUCAUUUUUGUUAAUUACUAAAAAAAUUUACUUUGAGGUUUCAUUUUUGUUUUGUUUGGUAUUUUAUUUCUUAUAUUUUAUUUUUUCCAAAUUAAUUCCUUUUAUUUUAAAAUAAAAUACUUUUCUCAAAAAAAUCAUUUUAAAAAUCUAUUUCAAAAACUCAUUUAGAGUCCUCAGGAUCAAAAUCUUUUUUUUUAUUUUAAAAAAUAAUGUGCAACCAUAUUUUGUUCGGUUUGCAUCCUUCUCGGUUUCUAACAAAAAGUUUGGUUUUGAACAAAAACACGAAUCAAAGCUUGUGGUCCCAAAUAAUGGGAUAAUUCUGGGCUAAAUUUGUGUAUAUUAAUUUGGGGAAUUGGUGAAACCCCUACAUAAGAAAAUCUUUUCAAAAAUUAUUUUUGUUGCCAUUUUUGUCACUUUUUGAAAUUAUAUCUAUCUUUUUUUUUUUUUUAGAAAUUGUAUACAAGAUGAGUGUGAUAAUUAUUGUUUUCAUAUAUUUUGACAAUCUCUGCUAUGAUAAUUAGAUAACGAGCAUGCUAGGACUUCUUAUUUUAUUGUUUGUUAUCUAACUUCUCAUGUUUUGUGGAAGCGCAUUAGGAGUUAAAUAUGCUAUCCAGGUACGUUCCCUAAUACCCACUUUCUAAACCCUAUGAAUAUGUAUGCCCAUGCUUGCUAUCCUCUUUAAUUGCCUUGAUAUACAUUUGAUGAUUGUUUGAUUAUCUUUGAUAAAACAAAUGUUGUGUGAUGUAUCUCCAAACUAAUCUCUUAUGUUUUAUGAUAGCGCUUGGGAAGCCGUCCAGGUACGCAUUUUUAACUCUCCUUAAUUGUGAUUUGAUUUUGUUUGAUAUGUUAUGUUUUUUUGGAAUCACCUAGCCUACUUAGGUAUCCGAGAUCUACCAUUUAAUUGCCACGCUUCCCUUAACUUAGUUAGUAGAGACCUCUUUAGGGCUUAGAGGGGUGCUACCUCCUAGAGGUACCUUCCCAAUAAGUAACCUGAUCCCCGGACCAAGACUUGGGUUUUCAAAGACACGCUUUUCCAAAAAUUAUGGAGUCAUUUUUUUUAGGGUUUUAUUUCUUGUUUUAUUUUCCCUUCAAAAAUAAAAAUAAAAUAAGUGGUGACUCCAACUUUUUUUAAAAUUAAUUUUUCACAAUAAAAAGCGAGUCUCGCCGAUCGAGUGGGGACACACGUGAAAAAUGCGGGUCCACACAAAGGUUUAAAGCCCAUAACGUUCAAUGAACAUGUUGUGAAUAUGGGUGUCAUUAAGUCUUUUGAUUCUUUGGUUUAGUGGGAGCUUUUGUGAUUUCCCUUAUUUCAAUUAUUGUUUUGUGCAAACAUUGAUAUUGUGGUGCACUAUUGGUGACAUAUGACUUGUUAAAGUCAAACAAUUUCAUAUUGUUUAGAAAUUGCAGAAAUUUCAUUUUGUUGAGAAAUUGCAAUUACAAUUUCAUUUUGCUAGUAAAUUGUAAUGAGGACGGAUAAGAAACAAUGCAUAUAGAUGAUGAUCACAUGUUGGCAUUGAUUUCUUACUACACUACUGGGUUUACGAUCCAUGUCGAUAUGGUUAUAAAUAUUUGUGACUAUAAGGGGCAUUAUGUUUGUUGAGAUUAACAUAUAGACCAUCAUAGUUCAAUAUUAAGACCAUGUUGGACUGGAUAAGUUUAUCAAAAUGCUACUUAUAAACUAUCAUUUCUUUAUAAAAAAAAAGGUGUGGCUACACAAAUUAAACUUUUCUGUACUUAACCCGAGAGUCUUAUUUUCAAAAUGAAUUUAAUGAAUCCUCAAAAACAAUUAAUGUACCCCAAGUGGGAGAAUGUUGGAAAUUUUUUAUAUGGGCUAACAUUAAUUGAAUAAUUUGUAUUUGCAAAAAUGGGUUAAUGGAUAGUCUAUUAUAUAAUGAGCCCAAUUAACUAGUGAUCACAUUUUGGAUUGGGUUUUGCAUCUUUUGAGUAGAAGCUCAAUUGAGUGGCAAGUGUAGGCUAUGGGUCUCAUUGAAGCCCAUUAUGGGAGGUCCAAAAGAGAACCCAAUAUUGAGUUAUGCUAAGUCCCCUCUGUAAUCUAGAAACAAAGGGUCUUUUUGUUUUCCCAUCGAGCCACCAUAGCCGUUAUCAAGAUCAUAGAGAGGAAGACUUGGUUGCAACAAUCAAUCACCUGUUUUUUUUUUUUUUUUUUUGGUGAUGGCUCAAACAGGUAUGUUCUUUAUAAAGAUUUUAUAUUGUCAGUAUCCUUUAAUCAUGUAUGAUUAAUCUAUGUGAUUAUGUAAAUAUUUUUAUAGUAGUAGCCUAGAGAGCAGGGUUCGGAGGAGUGGCAACCUACUAUGCAAGAUCAAGUGGGAUAAGAAGUUCAUAAACAUGAUUGUAAUGUUUGGACUAAGAGCUCAUGUCAAUAAGAGCUUAGGGUCCAAGUGUAACAAGGGUUGAAUCCAAAUCAAAGCCCACAUCCUUAAGAAUCCUAUCGAUAAUGAGGGAAAAUGGAAGGCCACCAGUGCGAGCAGCAAGAUCACAAAAAGGAGUCAUGAUAUAUAAAAUCACAUGGGCAAUGUCGAACUAUUGCUAAGACAAUAUGGUGUGAAUGAAACGAGUGACAAUGUGCCAAAUCAUAGUAUGAUUGGUCAUAGGAUAGAAUGACUAAGAAGUGUAGGAUAAGAGAACCCAAGCUAACUUAGUAAAGUCAACGACUAGAAUAUAGACUAGCAAAUGACAUGGCUCGCCAUAGAGAGAGAUCGGGACUGAGGUGAGCUCACCCUAAGUAAGUGCCUACACCUCGAGAAAGAAUACGAGAAGUUGAAUAGAGACCCGAGACACACCAAGUGCUUGACAGAUGGAACUAGUCGACACAAGAAAAGUCUGACCAUACAUGGCGAUGCCAAACAUCAUAUCAUUCACCGUAGAAUGGAUGUUUACAUAGAACAUCAAAACAUAGUGUGGGUAGGUUAGCCCACGGAGAGAAGCAAGAGGCUCUCAACCUCAUGCUUGGAAGAUACGUGGAAGGUCAAUAUUGAAAAAAACAAGAGCAUAUUAAUGGUGUACUCGACCUCAACACAAUGGCCUAUGAAAGAAGCGUAAUAAUGGUCAUGAGCCUCCUUAGAAUGAAAACACUCCAUUGGGAGGUCACUUAGGUCAAAAAGACCCUAGACCACUAGACCUUGGACCCCUUGGAAAUGAGACGUAGAGGGUGACUCCCUAGGUUGCCUAUGAACAUUGGCCAUCCUACAAUGAAUAAGAAUAUAAAGAGACAUAUAUCAUGAUGUGGACCCAAAUUUCUCACGUGCGCCCCCACUCGAUCGGCGAGACUCGUUUUUUAUUUGUGAAAAUUUUAUUUUAGAAAAGUCAGAGUCGCCACUUAUUUUAUUGUAUUUUAAAAUGGAAAAUAAAACAAGAAAAAAACCCUAAAAAAAUGACUCCAUAGUUUUUGGAAAAGCGUGUCUUUGAAAAACCCGAGUCUAGGUCCAGGAAUCAGGUUACCUAUUGGGAAGGUACCUGUAGACCCUCAAUUUUGUCCCUUUAGCACAUGUCUUUAAAAUUCAUUUUCAAUGCUCCACAAUAGUUCCUUGGUGGCCCAUGGUUACUCAUACCACUUACCUUUUUCUGAGUCACCUCGGAGAUUUUGGUUGAGGGAUUAUUUGAUCCCUUAUUGUGACCCUUGGCAGCCCUAACUUAGACUUAGGCUUUUCUUGUUUUUUUAGGAUAGCUUUUAGAUACACUUGGCCCAUUAGGCACUACCCUAGGCCCACUUAGUCUCACCUUAGGCCCGUUUAGGCACACUAGGCCUACGAAGACUUUUAUUUUAUUUUAUUUUAUUUUAUUUAUUUAUUUUGUUUUUAAUUUUAAUUUUAUGAUUAUCAUUCACUUUUUAUUGGUUAUCUUCCUCUUUAUAUUAUUUUCCUUAACUUAUUUAUUUAUUUAUUAUUUUUACCAUUUUUUAAUUUAUUUACUUAUUUAUCUAUACAUGCAAUUAUUUAACUUCAAAAAUUUCAUGUUUUUGCAAGGAAACUUACCAUUGGAGUUUAAGGAAGAUGGGACUCUCCUUGGAAGGUUUUGGAGGGGAAUUUGAAAUUGGGAAGAUUGCUUUUGAUUGGAGGAUUUAAAAAAAGAAGAGAAGAAGAAAGGAAGGAGGAGAAUUUUCCUUUUUGGAAACAAAUUUAGGUCUUGAGGGGUGAUAUAUAUAGGUGAGAAAAGGAAAAGAAUGGGGAGAUUUUUUUUGGGGGGCAGAGCACACGGAAUUUUGGAAAAAAGCAAGGGACUUCGAACGGAGAUCGGGCUGUCAUUUAAUCAUCAAGAGAGGAUUUUCUCUUUGACUUCAAAGGUUAGUUUUCUAUAUAGUACUUUUAUUUAGCUUAAUUCUUUAGUUUAAAUAAUCAUAUCGAAUAAAGUUUGUAUUUUUAAUCCCAAUUAGUUUGAUUUUAAUUUGUUUUUUAGUUUAAAUGUAUUUUGUUGAUCUUAAUUAUUGACUUUAAAUAAUCACGUUAAAUAAAGUUUAUGUUUUUAAUCUCAAUUAGUUUGAUUCCAAUUCGUUUUUAGUUUAAAUACAUUUUAUUGAUCUUAAUUCUUAAGUUUAAAUAAUCAUAUCGAAUAAAGUUUGUAUUUUUAAUCCCAAUUAGUUUGAUUUUAACUUGUUUUUUUAGUUUAAAUGUAUUUUGUUGAUUUUAAUUCUUAAGUUUAAAUAAUUGUAUUGAAUAAAGUUUGUAUUUUUUAAUCCCAAUUAGUUUGAUUUCAAUUCAUUUUUAAUCUAAAUGCAUUAGUUGAUUUUAAUUCUUAAGUUUAAAUAAUUGUAUUGAAUAAAGUUUGUAUUUUUAAUCCCAAUUAGUUUGAUUUCAAUUCAUUUUUAAUUUAAAUGCAUUAGUUGAUCUUAAUUCUUUGUUUUAAAUAAUCACGUUAAAUAAAGUUUGUAUUUUUAAUCCCAAUUAAUUUGAUUUCAAUUCGUUUUUUAGUUUAAAUGUAUUUUGUUGAUCUUAAUUCUUUAGUUUAAAUAAUCAUAUCGAAUAAAGUUUGUAUUUUUAAUCCCGAUUAGUUUGAUUUUAAUUCGUUUUUUAGUUUAAAUGUAUUUUGUUGAUUUUAAUUCUUUACUUUAAAUAAUCACGUUAAAUAAAGUUUGUAUUUUUAAUCUCAAUUAGUUUGAUUUUAAUUCGUUUUUAGUUUAAAUGCAUUAGUUGAUCUUAAUUCUUAAGUUUAAAUAAUUAUGUUAGAUAAAGUUCAUGUUUUUAAUCCCAAAAUAGUUUAUUUUUAAUUUAUUUGUUAGUUUAAAUAUGUAUGUGAUUUUAAUUUAUUAGUUUAAAUAAUCAUGUUAGAUAAAGUUUAUAUUUUUUUUAAUUCUAAAUUAGUUCAGUUUUAACCUAUCUUUUAGUUUAAGUAUAUUUGUGAUUUUAAUUCAUUAGUUUAAAUAAUCUUGUUAGAUAAAGUUCAUAUUUGAAAUUCCGAUUUAGUUUAGCUUUUAUUUAUUUUUAAUUUGGAUGUGUUUGUAAUUGUAAUUUAGUAGUUUAAUUAAUCUUAUUAAAUAAAGUUCAUGUUUUUAAUUACAAUUUAAUUCAGUUUUAAUUUGUUCUUCACUUGUAUGUGUUUGUGAUUUGAAUACAUUAGUUUAAUUAAUCCCGUUAGAUAAAGUUUAAUCUUGAUUUAAUUUAUUUUUUUAGUCUAGAGGCAUUUAUGUGUUUAGUUAAUCUUAUGUUAAUUAUGGAUUGUUAUUCUCAAUUUAUGCGCUUCUUGAAUCCUUGUUGCUAAUUCUUGAUGGAUAUUUCAUUAGCUUAUUUGAUCUAAAUAUUAAUAAUUUAUUGCUUUGAUAGUUUCCUUUUUGUUCAAAGGCCAUUGGAAAAUCAUGAAGAUUGGCCUCUACCAUCACCAUUAUCAUUUUUGUUAAUUACUAAAAAAAAUUUUACUUUGAGGUUUCAUUUUUGUUUUGUUGGGUAUUUUAUUUCUUAUAUUUUAUUUUUUCCAAAUUAAUUCCUUUUAUUUUAAAAUAAAAUACUUUUCUCAAAAAAAAUCAUUUUAAAAAUCUAUUUCAAAAACUCAUUUAGAGUCCUCAGGAUCAAAAUCUUUUUUUUUUAUUAUUUAAAAAUAAUAUGCAACCAUAUCUUGUUCGGUUUGCAUCCUUCUCGGUUUUCAACAAAAAUUUUGGUUUUGAACAAAAACACGAAUCAAAGCUUGUGGUCCCAAAUAAUGGGAUGAUUCUGAGCUAAAUUCGUGUAUAUCAAUUGGGGAAUUGGUGAAACCCCUACAUAAGAAAAUCUUUUCAAAAAUUAUUUUUGUUGCCAUUUUUGUCACUUGUUGAAAUUAUGUCUAUCUUUUUUAGGAAUUGUAUACAGGAUGAGUGUGAUAAUUAUUGUUUUCAUAUACUUUGAUAAUUUUUGUUAUGCUAAUUAGAUAACAAGCAUGCUAGGGUUUCUUUAUUUUAUUAUUAUCUAAUCCCUCAUGUCUUAUGGAAGCGCAUUGUAAGUUAUCUAUGCUAUCCAGGUACGCCCCCCCUAUCACCUACUUUUCUAAAUUUUGUAAACAAUCAUGUCACUGUGAAGUAUGCAUAUGUUUGAUAAUCCUUAGGUGUUUAGAUGUAUGCUUGAUUCACUAUGAUUAAAUACAUGUUGUGUGUUAUACUUCUAUACUAACUCUGAUGUUUUAUGAUAGCGCUUGAAGAGCGGUUCAGGUACGCACCCUAACUCUCCGUUUUUGUGAUUUGAUCUUGUUUAGCAUGCAAAUCUUUUGAAAUCACCUAGCCUACUUAGGUAUCCAUAAUUAACCGAUUAAUUGCCAUAUUCCCCUUAACUUAAUUAGUAGAGACCUCUUUAGGGCUUAGAGGGGUGCUACCUCCUAGAGGUACCUUCCCAAUAAGUAACCUGAUCCCCGGACCAAGACUUAGGUUUUCAAAGACACGCUUUUCCAAAAAUUAUGGAGUCAUUUUUUUUAGGGUUUUAUUUCUUGUUUUAUUUUCCCUUAAAAAAUAAAAAUAAAAUAAGUGGCGACUCCAACUUUUUUUCAAAAAAUCAAUUUUUCACAAAUAAAUAAAAAGCGAGUCUCGCCGAUCGAGUGGGGACGCACGUGAAAAAUGCGGGUCCACAGUACCUCUAAGAGGUAGCACCCCUCUAAGCCCUACAAAGGUUUCUAUUGACUAAAUUAAGGGAAAUAUUGCAAUUACUUGAUUAAUUGAGGAUACCUAGGUUGACUAAGAUGAUUUAAAAAAAAAAAAAAUAGCACGUCAAAUAAGAUCAAAUCACAAUAAAGGAGAGUUAGGAUGCAUACCCGAACUGAUUCUCAAGCGCUAUCAUAAAACAUCAAAGUUAGUAUAGAAAUAUAACACACGUCAUGUAUUUAAUCAUAGCGAAUCAAGCACACAUCUAAGCAACUAAGGAUCAUAUCAAGCAUAAAUAAGGUUCACGACAACAUGCAUGUUCAUGGAAUUCCGAAAAGUAAGUGAUAGAGAGUGUACCCGGAUAACAUGCAUAAUUUAUAAGAUUCCUCCAAAAUGUUAUAAUGGUUAGGACAAGUACAAAUUGUAUAACAUCUCUAUUAUGUCUAAUAUAGAGUACCUAAGCCAAAAGAGAGUCAAAAUAAGUCAAAUGACUCCAAAAGCAAGUAACAAAUUCAAAUAAAGUAUAAAACCAUCAGCAUGUAGUUAGAAAAGAAAGCAUCACAAAACAAUUUCUAAAAAAAAUGGCUUAUAGUGGAAUUUAACUAUGAAAAAUUUCAAGAAACAACUCCUACAUAUCUAGAUCAACAUACUAAAAUCCAAACACUCAUUCAAAGGACGGAUUGCAGUAAAAACACCUAAGGGUUCUGCAAAGUCCAGAUUAGAUAAGAAAAUUUGACAUGCAUAAACGAAUUUAAAAAAAAUAAUAAAUGAUCACUUAAAAUCAUACAAAAAAUUAUAAACAUAGCUCAAAGUGUCUAUUUCACAUAAAAAAAAUGAAUCUAGGGUUGGAUUGUACGUAAAAUUAUUUUUAAAACACUCAAGCUAAUCAGAUGUCUAGAAUCCAGCAUGCAUAGUAGGCAUGAAUUUGAAAAAUCAUAUCUCCCUCAAAAAGGAAUAUUUUUUAAUAUUUUAUGAAUCCAAGAUCAAUUUUAAGAAGCCUAAAAUGGAGUAAAAAUAUUGAAUCAAAAUUAAAAAUCGUCUAAUAUUUUAUUUUGAAAAAAGAUCUCGGGUGUCCAGAACUAGGUGAAAACAGAGCCCCCUAAAGACUCGUUUAUAUCUUUUAUUCCAGAAUGGCUUUCUAACUCAAACGAAACUUUAAAUUCAAUUUUAAGAAGUGAAGAAAGUCAUAUAAUUUUUUAAAAAAAUUUUAAAAACAUUCCAAAGUUUCUAAAACGAAUUUUAAAUCUAAAGGGUCAGUGGCAACUGGCAGCAAGAAAAAAAAGUUUUUGAAAAUUUUUGCACCACUGGAAUUUUCCUCCCAAGAUGGCUAUGUUGUUGUUUCUUUUCAGUAAUAUCUUCAAGCUUCUGGGUGUCCUCUGAUAGGUUGGUAACCCGAACAGAAUUCUCUUCAUUAAUGCAUCUCAUUUCAGUUCCACUUUUCUCUGCACCUGCUCUCAUGCCUGGAGGAACAUAUUUCCCUUUGCUUAUCAAUGAAUCCUUUAGAAGGUGGGACAAGUUCCUUGUAUGGGCACCUUGAAGUUCUAGUUGUGGAGGUUGAUGUUGUAGGCCAACGAAAUCGUCUGUAUAUUGAACCUGGGUAUCCAGGUCUAGUUGGCUCCUCCAAGGUGCUUGGUUUCUUUGAUAGCAUAACCACAACACGAAGCAUGUUGGGUCGUGACUGUGGAUCAACUUGAGUGCACAACAAACCAAUCUGUACACACAUCGCUACUUACUCAGCAACUGCAGAUGAUGCUAAUGAGGAAUCCAAAACCUCCAAGCUGCGGUUUUUCUUGUAAAAUUUCCAUGCCCACUCAAGUAGGCUCUAUGCAUCGAGAUUUACAUCAAAUGUGGAAUUCUUUUGACCACUUAUUAGCUCUAAAAUCAAAACCCCAAAACUGAAUACGUCUGCCUUCACUAAAAGAUGUCCAUGCAUGAGCCAUGUCCCCAUUGGUGCCAGCUACACGAGUGUUGACAUGAGUUUAGUCUUCUGGAAAGAGACGUGUCAUACCAAAAUCAGCAAUUUUUGGGGCCCAUUUAUCAUCUAGUAGAACAUUGUUAACCUUGAUGUCCCAAUGGAUUAUGCAACUAUGGGAGUCUUCAUGAAAGUAAAGCAAGCCUCGUGCGAUGCCUCCAAUUAUGUCAUACUUUCAUUUCCAAUCCAGUUCCUCUCGUCUACCUAUUUUGAAGAGAAACUUGUCAAGAUUUUCGUUGGAGAUGUACUCAUAGACAAGAAGUUUCUCUACACCACGUGUACAAUAUCCUAAUAGAUUUACAACAUUUUGAUGUUGUACACGAGACAACAACUUGGCCUCAUUCUCAAACUCUUUCUUCACUUGAUUCGGGUUCUAUGACAGCUUCUUUACAGCAAUCUCUAUAAUGACCGGGUGUUUUAGGCCACAUUGGAAAUUUUAGUUUGAAAAGUCUUUUUUUGAGUGGUGGUUGAAAAGUAAAAAAGAAAAGUGUUUAGAGAACAUGUGUAAAUUUUGGAUUGGCGAAAUUUGAUUUAUUGUGUUGGUCAAUUAGGCGAGUUGAAAAUUUUGUACCACGUCAGCCUUAUGGUAGAAAAUUUCUUAGGAUUUUAGAAAUUGAAAAUUUCCGAAAACGAAAACGAAAAUGAAAAGUGAAUUAAUUAAAAUUAAUUAAGUAAAAAUUAAAUGAAAUUGAUUAUUAAUAAAAUUGAGAAAAUUAAUUUUUGAUUUGUGUUUAAUAAAUUAAUUUGUGUAUUAUAAAAAAAAAUGAAAAAUGAAAGAAUUUGGAAAUGAAAAAUAAGCAAAUGGAAAUAAAUAAAGGAAAAAAAUAAAUCAAAAAGUUGGACAGUGGGCCAUGAGAUGUGGGUUGUUAAAAAAAAAAAAAGGAAUUGAUUUGGGCCUUGGAUGAAUUGGCCUUAAAAGGAAAAAAAAUAAAAAAUAAAAAGGUUGGUUGGGCUUUUGGGCCAUGGCUUGUGGUGGCUGGUGGAUAAAUAAAUUAAAGAAAAAAAAACGGAAAAAGGGAAAUUUUGAAAAGUGGCAGAACGGGGAGAGAGAGGGUCGCGACGGACUGUGGAGAAGUUGCACAUCACUGGAACUUUGACCUGUCGUUUGGAUGGCCGAAUGACGUUCGUUUCGGCCCAAUAUUUGAGGAGGUAUUCUACUCGACGAGAUGAACGAUUCUAUGGUGGCUGAUUGUGAUUUUAACGAUCGAAUUCUUAGAUCUAUGGUAGAGGAACUUAACCCUAAAACUUAAAUUUAAUGAUAUUUUCCUUUGAAAAAAAUUGUAAAUCUUAUUAUUUUGAGUUAAGUAGGUAAUAUUGGUGUUGUAUGAAUUUUUUUGGAUGAUUUGGAAUUUUUUUUUGAAUUUUUGAAAUUUCGGGAAUUUCUUUUUGGUUGAUAAAUAAUUGUUUUGAGUUGUUAAAAAUGAUUAGAAGUGUUGGAAAAUUUUAAAAUUAGGAUAUAAUUUUAAAUCUAGUGAUAUGUGAAUUUUUGGGAAUUGGUUGGAGUAUUUUCGGAAUUUUUAUGGUGGAAAAUUAGUUAUUUUAGAAUAUUGAAAAUCAUUAGAAUUGUUGGAAAUUUCCAAAACUAUAGUAUAAUUUCAAGUUUAUUGAUGUGUGAAUUUUCGAAAAUUUGUUGGGAUAUUUUCGAAAAUUUUAAUGUGGAGAAUUUAUUUUAUUGGAUUAUUGGGAAUGUUGAAAUUGUUGAAAUUAUUGAGAAAUUUUGGAAUUGUGGCAUUCAUCUACAUCAUGGUUGUGUGAAGAAAGGAUAAAAAUUGUGAAAAUUGUAUGAAAUGGAAAAAGAAAGGAAAAAAAAAUGAAAUUGUGAUGAAAAUUAAAAACCCGUGUGAGACGAAUUAAGAAGGGUGAGAGAUCCCUAAUGUGAAAGACCCAAAAGUUUACCCCGGGAAGACUCUGAGUGGGGAGUGUAUUUGGGUGCAGACGCGUAUCCUUCGGUGAAAGCCCGAGAACGAUAGUGCAUUGUAUGACUGUGUCACACGUUCAUAUGCAUUUCAUUUAAUUGUUGAAUGUUGUGGAAUUGUGUAUAAUAUUAAAUAUUAAAUUAUGUGGCUUGAUUAAUAUUGUUGAAAUGUUUCUUGUGUGUUCUUUGAAACUUAGAAAUCCACAUUAACUCCUUGGGUGUUAGGCACCCUACUGUGCAAUGUGGAAUGCUCACCCAUUCAUUUUUACAUUUUUUUAGAUGCAGAUAUCACUCCUGAGGAUCCACAGGUAGGGUAGGAAGGACUUCAGGAUGCUCUUGGAGCGGCCUAGUGGAGCGUGUUAUUUUUAUUGUGUUUGUGGUAUUGGGAUUUGUUUUAGUAACUAUAAACUAUGGAUGUGUAAUGAGACCUUAAUUUGAUUAAGUGGAUUAACUAUGAACUUUUAUUUUGGAUUGUAAUGAUAAUUAUUAAAUCUUGAUGCAUUUGAGUAAUGUUUGAAAUAUUGCUAGUUGGUGAGAACCCUAGUGUGGUUUAUAUGUGGAAAAAAAACAUUUCAGAGUGUUUUGGUUGACUGCCAGCGUGGAGUAGGAGAAACCCUUAGGGUCAAACCUUUGACCUGGGGUCAUGGGCCAAGUUUUGGGUCGCCCAGAAUUUGGGUUAUGACAAUCUCUCUCCCAUCAUCUAACCUCCCCUUGACGACGGGACUGAAACCUCUUUCACCGAGCUUCUGGUGGAAAUUUUUUAUGGCUAUGACUAGGGUUUCGAAAGAGAAUAGCUUUUGUUCCUGGGCAUCGAUCUUCUCCAAAUCCUUCUCUUUCUAUCCCUCUUUGCUGGAACUGAAUUUUAAGGGCUUCAUUAUAUUCAGAUCAAUAGGGAAUGUUGUUGUAGAUGGUGCAAUCUCUCCAAGGCUGCCACAAGCAAGACUGACCAUUAUCGUGGAAUCACUGGGCCUUUUUUUUUUUUUAUGCCCUCCAGAUCUCAAUGCCUCAUAAACCAAAAAGCUUAUUGCUAUCCUCAGUCCUCCUCUAUAUCUUCCACAGAAACCAUCCUCAUUCAUCCUCCAACCCGUGUGUCUUCCUUCAUUAUUUCCCCCUCAAAUGCUGAAUGAUCUCCCAUUCCCAAAAAUCCUUAACUUUCCUUAUCCAUGGCCUUUAUGUCGUUAAAGAUCAGCCCCCAGAAUUCCACAGAGACGUGCUCAAAAUCCUUCAGAACACCACCUUCCUUUUGCAGCCAAAGUGGAGAUAUAAGAAAGGAUCUCCUCUCCAAUCCCCUCUUGUUCCCUUCCCAAAACCAAGUCUCUCCUUUAAUCCAUUUCUUACCGAAUCCAAAAGUCGUCCAUACGUGUUGGCCACUUACCAUCAUUGCAUGCUAAUCUCUUCCUUUUUUCCCACGAUUCCUUCUGAGUCUCCUUAUUUGGUCGUGAUCUCCUCUCCUUCAUGGCUUCUCAUGCAAAAUUAAAAAUAAAAUUUAAAUAAGAAAUCAUGUAAUUGGAAGUUAAGACCAAAAUGAAAUAGAAUAAAAUAAAAUAAAAUUUCAAAUCACCUAGCCACAAAAUCCAAGAUAUCAAUUCAUGGAAUUAAAUAAUGAAUAAAUAAGUAAAUAAAAAAAUAAAUUGAUAAAAGGUAUAAAAAUAAAUAUUAGACAUAUGCAAUUAGAAAAAAAAAAUCAAGAAAUUAAAUUAAUGCAACGGAUCAUAAUAAUUUAAAUGUCAAACUCAAACCAUCAAAAAUAAAAAAAUUCCUUUCACACAAUCAUAAAAUAAAAUAAAUAAACAAAAUACAAAUAAUAAUAAUAAUAAUGAAAUGAUAUAAAAUAAAUCAAAAUUGAGUUAAUCCUAAAAUCAAUCAAUAAUAUAAAUAAAUAAAUAAAAACAAGAAAACAACUUUAAGUGAAACUAAAUCUAGAAAAGUGCCUAGGCGAGCCUAAGGUGGUGCCCAAUGGGCCAAGUGUACCUAAAUAGGCCUAGGGUGCCUAAGUGGGCCUAAGGUGGUGCCUAAUGGAUGAAGUGUACCAAAAUGGGCCUAGGGUGCCUAAGUGGGCCUAAGGUGGUGCCUAAUGGACCAAGUGUACCAAAAUGGGCCUAGGGUACCUAAGUGGGCCUAAAGUGCCUAAGUGCGCCUGUGGUGCCUAAAUCUAGAUUAGGGCUGCCAAGAGUCAUAAUGGAGUUAGAUAAAUCUCUCAACCAAAGUCCCCAAAGUGGUUUAGAAAAGAUAGGCUACACGAGUAGUAAUAAGCCACUAGGGAAUUGUUGUAAAGUACCGAACAAAUACCUAAUAGAACAUGUGCUAGGAGGACAAAAUAAAGGGUCUACACAUGAUUUUUCUUUUUUUCUUUAGAAGAAGUGGAGCCAUUAUAUACCAUUUAUGGAAAUCAUACUUUCACUCUAGUUGCUUUAUUCCACUAAGGGGUUGUUUUCUAAAUAUUGCAAGUGAAGGCAUAAAUAUCUUGGAAGAAUCUUUGAUUCUAUUUUAGCUAAGAUUCCAUGAUUUCUAUCAUUCACUUCAAGAAACAAAAAUAUUGAACAUAGACAAAUAAGGUAUAUGUAUUAAACUUGACUAAGCAUGGUAUUCGUUACUUCGAAAAAAAAUAAAAAUACUUUAUUAGUUAAAUUUAAGAAGAUUCCCUAUUAACCAUUUACCAAGAAUAUUUUUUUUAGAUUUCCCACUAUACAAGGAUUUUUAUAUACCUUAAAAACGAUUAACGAAAUCUUGGGGAAAUAAAAUCAAAUUUUGUGGAUAUAGUACAUUUUUAUCAGGCCUAAAACUUGAGAUAUUGAAAUCCUUAUUGAUAAGGCAAGUAAAUAUGACAUCCAAAUUUUCCUAAAAAGAACUGAGAUAGACCAAAGGAUGAGAAAAGAAGCAAUUUAAGCACAAAUCCUUUGGACUACACCCUUUAACAUCACCAGUUAGUUAGGCAUAUACCCAAGAAUUUCAUAAGUUAUUCAAACCUAAAGGUAUCUAGCGGUUUUGUAAAAAUAUCUAUCAAUUGAUGCUUCAUGAAUUUCUAUAUGUUUAGUUCAGGAAUGAAAAAAAGGGUUUUUGGAAAUAUUAAUCUCACUAGAGUUGUCACAAUAAAUAUUCAUAGUACCUUGCUCAAUGCCAUAGUCAUUGAGCAUUUGUUUCAUCCCAUAAAGUUGGGCACAACAACUUCUUGUGGCAAUAUAUUUCACUUCAACAGUGGACAAGGAUAUUAAAAUUUGCUACUUACUUAGCUAGGCAACUAAACAAUCAUCCACAAAGAAGCAAGCACCUGAAGUGUUUUUCCUAUCCUCUACAUUUUCGACCCGAUUACCACUAGAAUACCCAACAAUAACAAGAGAAGAAUCAAAAGGAUACCAAAACCCAUAAUCUAAAGUCCCACUAACAUAUCGAGUGAUUCUUUUAAUUUAAGUUAAGUGUAACUCGUUGGGAUUUUAACCUAACACAUGCUCCCACACUAAAAGAAAUGUAUGAGCGAAUUGAAAUAAGGUACAAGAGACUAUCUAUCAUACUCUUAUAAAGCUUUUGCUCAACAUCCUUUUCGAAUGUGUCCUUACAAAGCUUAGUAAUGGUACUCAUAGGUGUCUUAAAGUAUUUAGAGGAUUCUAGACCAAAUUUCUUCACUAACUCCCUAGCAUACUUAGACUAAUAUAGAAAGAUACCAUUUUUUAUUUGCCUGAUAUGAAAUCCUAAGAAAAAACUGAGUUCAUCUACCAUGCUUAUUUCAAAUUCCUUUUUCAUCUCCUUAGCAAAACUAAGGGCAAGAUAACUCGAGUUGGCUCCAAAAAUGAUAUCAUCAACAUAAAUCUAAGCCACUAAAAGUUUAGUCAUAGUCCUAUGAAUGAAUAAAGUUCUAUCAACUCCCACUCUCUCAAAUUAUUUUUCUAAAUGAUAAGUUGUAAGCCUCUGAUACCAAGCUUUAGGAGUUUGUUUAAGACCAUAGAGGGCUUUCUUUAACUUAUAAACACGAUUCAAGACUUUUGGAUCCUCAAAGCCCUUUGGUUGCUCUACAUAGACUUCUUCAUUAAGAAUCUCAUUCAAGAAAGCACUCUUAACAUCCAUUUAAAAGUUAAUUCCCUCAAUUUGGGAUAACUUUAUUCCUCAUAAUGAUUCCAUUUUCAUCUUAUUUAUUAUUGAAAAUCUAUUUAGUACCUAUCACAUGUUUAUUCUUAGGUUUAGGGACUAAAUACCACACAUUAGGGGCUUUAACUCUUAGGGUCAUGGACACAACAUUACACUUAGCCCUAUCCUUCUUCAACUACACUUGUUUCACUUUAGGUGGUUAACUAGAGGAGUUUUUUUUAGUCUUAGGCUAAGGAUUGGUUUUCUUUCCUAUCUUAAUAUGUAGAAUAUUAUUCUUUAGAAAAUCAAACUCAUUUAUUAGCCUAUUCAACUGAGACUCAUACCUCUUAAGGAAUCUACUAUCACAUCCACUUUAAGCAUGUCCAUACUUCUGAUAGUAAGUGCAUAGUGGGGAAGUUCUAGUAGAGGUUACUUGGUUAGGAGUUUCCUCCUUACCCUUGACAAAAACUAUGCCUCUACUAGUGGGAGUCUCGGUUUUGUUAAUGCAGCCUAGACCUCUUUGAUCUCCAUGUGACUUACAUUUAUCAAGAAUAUCAUUCAAUGCUUUAGUUCCAGAAUGUUAUUGGAAGAAAAAGAAGAUUUUUGACAUUCAAUAUCUCGAGUUAAAAAUAUCGUUUCUCUCAAGGAUAUAUUGAUACUCAGUCUCAAGAAACUAAAUUUUCUCAAUAUGAUUACUCUUUUCUUCACAAAGCGCAUUAAUAUAAGAUUUUUGUGAGUCAACAACAAUAUUAACUUUCAAGAAUUUCUCAAUCAAAUAUCAAUAUUCAACAACAAUAUUCUCAAGAAAAUCAACAUUUUCUUCAUAAUUAAACUCACACUCACUAUCAAUCUCAUGCACAAAAUCAAUAGAUGCAACAAAUGUUGGGAUUGAGCGCUUACGAGCAAGAUAUGACGUAACAAAGUUAGACUUAACUAUCCCCUUGCUAUCCCUUUGGUGUAUUGACAUUAAUUUGAGCAUUUAGCCCAUGUCUCUUACAUUGUACAUGAUGUGGGUGCAUUAGGAGUUGCACAGAAGAUACAAGUCAUGAGUUCCUUGUAAGUAGAUAAGUUGUCUAGAGUCAGGCCAUGGAUUUAGGCAAUUCGGUAGAGACUGUAGUGCACCACCUUCUAAUUGGAGGGAUGACUUGUCUUGGUUGUUGGGAUGGGUUUCCCAUGGUGAGUGCACUGGUGUAUGUGAUGCACACUAGACAGGACCUACCGUGAAUCAUGACGCAAGGUUAUUAAUUGUUAUGAUUCACCACUACAUGGAUAUCCCUAUGAAUUGGGUCACUAUUGAUGGAGGCUAGUGGCAACAUGUAUUCUCAAUAGAAGAACCAUGAUAUCUCAUGGGAUUAAGACAUUGUGUCCCUUUGGGUGAUCCAAAGGACAUGUGAUCAUGAAAUGUGUGGCCAUAGUGAUUCCUUUAGUGGAAUUUGAUAUAUGCUCUUUAGAGUUAGAGUAUGUCAAUUGAUCUCAUAAUAAGAGAGAUCUGUAACUCAAGGAUUUGAGAGGUAAUCUUGAUAGGUGAUAGCACUACCUUGUUAGAUUACGGAUACUAGUUCAUGAGGAGUCUAUAUGCAGUGGAUAGUAGGUCAUGGACCUGAGCAUUUGGUGUCUCAUUGUAAUAUACAAAAGGUACUGGAGUGUAGUUGACUCUUUGUAGUGAUAUGUUGAGUCAAUUUCAAAAUUUGAUUCUAAGAGAGCCAGUACUCCUAUGGGUCCCAAUGGUCCCCACUCUGAACUUAUAUUCCUUGUUGGCAUGACUUAUGAGGGUUGAAUGGGUUUUUAGUUCACUUUUGUGCAUAAGGGUGUUUUGGUAAUUAUGCAAGGUUGCACAAUGAUAAGUGAGUGGUAUCUUUGGACUGGGUUAAUUGAUUAAUUAGGCCUUGUAUGGUUAAUUAAUCAAUUAGCAACCUUUUUGGGCUAGAUUAAGUGACCCAAGCCCAUGGUGGGCUUUAGUCACUUAAAGCUAUAAAUACCCCUUCAAGGGUUAAGGUGUCCAAGUCUUACCAAUCUUCCCUUCAGUUUAGAGAGAGAACCCUAGUCUCCACCCUUGAGAUCUCCACCAUCUCAGUGCUUAAACAUAAGAAAGAGUCAUCAAGCGGAAGAUCAUGGUGUUUACGAGAUCCAAUAUGACUUGGAGUUAUCUACAUCGAUUGGAAUUGAUUCGAGAACAUCUAGAUCAAAGGUAUGUGGCUUUAGUCUUUAGAUCUAUGUUUUCCAUGGUAUCCAUAUUGUUUUUGAAUAUUUUUUUAUCCACUGCGAUAGAUAUAGAAAGCCUAAGAUAUAUUUGCAUGCACCCUACAUGAUCCAGGGGUUCCCAACAACAAAAGCUAAAAAAAUAAAAAAAAAUAAAAAAUUCAUUAUGCUCAUACCUUUGAUCCUUAGAAGCCAUGAAGUCACUCUCAUUGGAGUUUGUGUCACUCCAAGUAGCUUCCAUAGACUUUUUAAUGUCUUUAAGAUUAGGACAAUUAGAAGAAACAUGUGUCAGUCCUCCACAAUUAAAACACUCAACCUUUUUCCCUUUAGAAGACUUAUCAAAUCUUUUUCCCUUUCUUGAGUUUUGUUUCCUAUUGGUCCUUUUAUGAAAUUUUAGUACCUCUUUAACACGUUUUUCCCAUAUGAACCAAUUCUUCCCUACCUACACUUUUAGAAUUUUCAGACUCUUUUUCCUCAUUCUUAGAAGCCUUAAAAGCGAACUCUUUAGGCUUCUAAGAAUCUAGAAGAGUUAUUUCAUAGGUAUGAAGAGAACCAACAAAUUCAUCAACUCUCAUAAAGUCAACAUCCUUGCUUUCCUCUAUAGUAGUGACCUUAAACCUCUCAAGAAGGGAUCUUAAGAUUUUUCUAACAAUUUUAGACUCAGGAAUCUUUUCUCUUAGGUUAAAGGUAGAAUUCACAAUAUCACUUAAUUCAAAGUAGAAUGCAAAGAAAUUAUGAUUCUCUUACAUUCUAAGGCUUUUAAACUUAGAGGUGGGUAUUUAAAUUUUAGACAACUUCAUUGUUGAAAUGCCCUUGUUAGUUACUUCAAGAAUGUCCCAUGCCUCUUUAGCAUGCUUGCAUGUGGCUAUCUUGUGAAACUCAUUAAGACUUGCCCUAUUGAAUAUGCUAAAGACGACUUAAGCAUUGACCUCAGUCUCCUUAUUAUCAAUCUUAUCCCAUUCUUGUUUUGAGUUUUAAUUCACCAGUAGAUCUCCUAGUCACAUCUAAUUUUAAUGGGGGUCCUUAUCCAUAUUCCACAACAUUCUAGACCAUUUCUCCUUACAUUUAAAAAAAAAAAUUCAUUCAAGCCUUCCAAUGGGGAUAGUUAUUCCCAUCAAAAUAUGGUGGAUUGUUUAGGGGUGCCCCAGACCUCUAUUGUUCCAUGUUGGACUUGUUAGAUCAAUAAAAAUAUAAUUUAUAUUUAGAAAAAUGGCUCUAAUACCAAUUGAAAAACUUUUUUCUCAAUAGGAUAACACCUAGAGGGGUGAAUAGGUGGUUUUUUUUUUUUUUUAAAGAUUUUAAUAUAAAAGUUGAAAAACUUAACCCAAUUAAAACUAUGAGAGAAAUUUAAGCCUAUUUACGUCAAUAAGUUCCUGUAUGAUAUAGGAAAUAAUCAAAGAAACACAAUCACAUAAGAGACAAACGAUUUUACGUGAAAACCUCUCACACUAAUUGUGAAUAUAAAAAACUACGAGGUUUAGAACCACUAAUAAAAAAUCCACUAUAUGAGAUCAAGAUACACAAAUCUACCCGACCACUUAUCUUAUAUAUCAUGAUCCACAUCUAUGAUACAACACUUCCAAUGCUCCAGUGGAUUCGCCUCAACCUUUGAGGAAAUGUAAAUCUUUGCAACAACUUAAAAUUCAAUAACCAAAUUCUUGAGAGCUUUUGGGAAUGGUAAGGCAAGUUAGGGUUGAUUUCAAUGGAAGCAUCAAACCCUAAAACAAAUUUAGGAAGGGUUUAUAUAGGUCUAGAGACCUAAAUGAUUGGUAACCAAAUUUUCCAUAAACAAUAAAUCCUCAAUUUCCAAAAAUGAGAUAUGCCAGAAUAUGGUAGAUUCAAAGGGACCACUUGUAGACUUAUCCACCACUCGAAUGCCUUAGGUGAUUAAGCGCUUAGAUAAGUGCUUGAAUGAUGGAAGCGUUUGAGCAUGCUAACACUUGAGCUUCGAUGUUUUUCCAAAAAGCAAAUUUAAAACAAUUUAGUUCAAAAUUAAAUAAUUGAUCAAAUUCAAAUCCUUUUUAACACCUAACUUAUUACAACUUAAACCUUUUUAGUAUGACUUUUUGGUUGAAUGAACAAUAACCUUGAAUUUUCAAUGAAAAGUAAAUCACUAUCUAAAAAGUAACCUAAAAAUAAAGAAGAAUAAAAUUGCCAACAAAAUAAUGUGAGAACCUAAUGCCCUAACAACAUUUAAUAACAUGAAUUAGAUUUUGGAAUCUUGGUGGAUCCUUUUAUUUAAUAAAUAGACUUGAUGGAAUAAAAUGAUGAAAACUUAUAUUAUUAUUGUCAAUAAAAUAUAUGAAAUGUUGAUUAAAUUGACAAAUACAUAUAUAUAUUUAGACAAUCAUUGAUUAAUCCAAAUGGAUUUUUGUGAAUUGAAAUAUGGAUUUUAUUGUCAAUAAAAUAUAGGUGAAUGCAUUAUGGUAACUUCACAGGUGAGAUUAGAAUAUAAAAAAUUUGUGCUUGUUGGAUUCCCGAUUACUACAACAACCUUUUAAUCAAAUACUAAUUGCAAUUAAAGCUAGAUUAGCUAAAUCUACUUUUAUAGUUAAACUUUAUAAAGAAAAACUGUUGUUAUAAAUUAAUAUAGUUUUAUAAAAAAAAGUUUCUUCUAAUCAUAUUUCAUCACUGGUUUUCAUUCAAUUAACUACUCCCAUUUCAUUCAAGCAGAGAAAUGAAUCAUCAAUAAGAGAUUAAAUCAUUAUUUUGUCUUUGCAAGAAAAUUUGGGAAAGUUUAGGAAAUUUUAUUAGAAGUUUAAUAUGUGAAAAUACAUGUAAAUGUAUAACACUCUUUGUUUAUACAUAUACUAAUCCUUAUUUAAGCAUGUGUUAUUUCUUAAUGUUGAUCCUAAUCUUGUCAUUAAGCAAAGACUUAUAACUCUUUCAUAGAGUCCCUAAGCCUUUCUUAAAUUUUCUCAUUAAGGAAAAAAAAAAAAAACUUCAAAUGAAAUUAGACCUGAUGGCAUUAGAUUCAUUCAGCAGUUUAAUAAUUUUUAAAGAUAACUUAGAACUUAAAAAUUGAUACAAUUAAUACUAGAAUUUUUUUGGAUAAAAAUUAGUUCAAAAUGAUUAUGUCAAUUUCACCUCUACCUAUACUAAUAUAUAUUCUUUAAAAUUUUUAAUUAGGCAAAUGAACUUCAAAUUAUAUAAGACUUGACUUGUUUUAUUCUUUAACAAUCAUAAUAGUUUUUAAAAAUAAUUUAUAACUGUAAUAUACUAAUUAUAAUGGAAAUUUGGACCAAACCAGUCCAAAACACCUUGAAAAUAAUUGAAAAGUAAAUAUAAGUACAUAUUGUGAAUCAACUUAGUUUAUUUUCAUAUUUUAAAAAAUAAAUUAUAUUUCUUAUAAAAAAAUUAAAUAAAAUAUUAUAAUUAGUUGUCAUUUUUAAAAUAUUAAUUUCUAAUAAAAAUGUAAUUUAUAGAUUUAUUUAAAUAUUAAUAUUUAUGUUUUAUAAUUUUUAAUAAAAUAUUAUAAAUUUAUCACUAUAUUAUUUAUUGAAAAAUUAUUUUCUAUUUAUUUUGUAUCUAUUUAUUAUGUAUUUCUUACAAAAAUACAUAUUGUAGAUAAGAGUUUUUUUUUUUUUAAUUUUAAAAUAUUUUAAUUCAUUAUUAAAAAUUAUCUAUUAAUUUUUAAUAAAAAAAUAUUAUUGUAAUUUUUAUCUAUAAAUUUUAAAUUUUAAUAUUUUUUUUUUUGGUAGAAUAUAUAUAUAUAUAUAUAUAUAUAUAUAUAUAUAUAUAUAUAUAUAAGAUGUAUUUAGCAAAAUAAAUUAUUUUAGAAAAAACAAAAAAUAAAAAAUUAAGUUAAAUACACUUCAACUUUUGAGUGUUUUAUACUUUACCAUUCAUAUUAAAAAAUGCAUCACUUUACUUAUCAAAUUUGUUAAAGAGUAACACUUCAACAUAAUUUAUGAUGAAUCCUCUCUAAAUUAGAAAAUAGAUUGUUUUAUAUAUAUAUAUAGAUAUUAUUUUCUUUUUUAUUUGGACCAUGAUUCAAAUAUCGGUUUGAACUUAGGUAAAACUAAUUUUGAAUUGACAAUCUUAAAAGAAAAUUUUCCAAAUGCCUUUAAAAUAUGACAAUUUUUUAUUUCAAUGAGUUUGUAUGACUUUUCAUGAUUUUCACACGCAGUCUUCGAAUUUUGGACAUAUGUAUUUUAUUUACAUUUCAACCUUAUUUAUUUACUUAAUAAGUUUCUCAUUCACAUUUUAAGGAUAAAGUUUUGCUCUUUAAUAAAUUAUGAUACAAAAUAUUACGUCUUGUUUAACAACUGUUUUAAAAAAUAAUUCUCAAAAAUAGUUUUUGAGGACAGUUUUUGAAAAUUGUUGUAAUGUUUUGUAUAAUAAAUGUUUAUUUGGGAACUCAAAAUGUUUUUAAAUAAAUUCUUAAUAUUUGUAUAAUUAUUUUUUUAAAACAACACUAAAAAACGAUGAAAAACAAUAAAAAAUAAUUAAAGAUGUUAAUUAUUUUAUGUUUUUUGAUUGAAAAUAAUUGUUUUUUGAAAACACUUUAUUUCCUAUUUUAAGAAAAGGAAAUUGUUUUCCAUUUUUUUUAUUAACAAAUGUGCUUUCUUGGUUUUUUGUUCUUAAGAAUGUAUAACUGUGUUUAAAAACAAUUAACAAUCAGAACCUUUGAUUUUGAAUAUUGCGGAGAAAUUGUAAAACAAUAUAAGGAAGUAUUUUUAAUCCGAAGAAAUAAAUAGAAGAAUAAAAACAAGAAGGUAAUCUGAUGUGGUAAGGAGAAAAGAAGAAAGAAAUCCAAAUAAAAAUAAAUAAAAGGAGAAUGUUGGGCGAAGCAGAACAACAAAGGAGAUGAAGGUGGUCUUUUUUAUGAAAAGGGUGUUAUUGGUGAAGGACACACGAUAGGAGUUAUUUUAAUUGAAAAAUGGGUAGUUGACAUGCAAUGCAGUAAUGGUGAAAAAGGAUGUUACUUUUAAAAAAAAAAACAAAAAGGAAAAGUAUGCUUUGGACUUCCGAUAUGCAAAUAACCUGAAAUUGAGAACCCAACUUUUUCAAUUUAAAGUUAACACCAUUAAUCCCUGAAAUUGAGAACCCAACUUUUUCAAUUUAAAGUUAACACCAUUAAUCCCCAAAAUAUUUUGGAUUUUAUGCACUUUAGGUUGAUGUGGUUUUUAAUGUCAAAUUUACCCUCCCCUUUCCCACUCAAGUCGCUAGGUAAAAGUCGACAUGUAUAAAAAAAUUAAAAAAUAAAAAUUAUUUUCACUUUCUCUCCCAAUUCUUCUCCAUCUGCUCAUACCAUUGCCUCAUAUUCCUCUCAUUCUAAAAAAACUAAAUCUCGUGAACCUUCUUUAAAUAAUCUAUUAAGGCUCCUUCCAACUAAUAAAAAGAUUCACAAUUCACUAAUGUCUACAACUCAAAGUGAAGAAGAUUUGAGGAGCACAAAGCAGAGAUGUGAUGUUUAUUCUCUACGCUUUCUGUAUUACACCCUAACCCUAAUUUUGAAAUCUAAAGAAAAAAAUGGAGUUGGGUGGUUGAAACAUCUAGUUUGUUUGCUUAACCUUUGCCCACAUAGUUGAAUCUUGUUAUAUAUAUAUAUAUAUACCCUUUAACCUCCAUAAUAUCAUAUCUCGGUUUGAUUUUUUUCAAAUUUGACUUGGAUCCAUUUUGUUGGAAUUUAUAUAGGUGAAUGGAAAUUAGGAUUUUUUUUUUCUUUGGAAGACAUGUUGUUUCUCAACAAACACAACUUAUUUAAAAGAAUGUGUUUUAUAUUUAAAAAAAAAACACGACCUCUUCCAAAUGAUGUGUUUGGUGUCCCUUCAAAGGAUGUGUCUAGUAUUUUAAAAACAUAUAUCUUCUAAAGGUCACUUUCAAAUCUAUAAAUAGGGACCCCUUUCAUGACAUUUUCAUUCAUUCAUCCUGUCUCUCCAUUCUUUCUCUUUUCUUGCCUUUCAAGUCCUCAUUAGCUUCAAGUCUAGUCAUUUCUCUUUUCUACCAAAUAUUUGGUAUACAUGAGAGUACAAAUUACCAAGUGAUUCACUAUUUCUUGUCAUUUGAAGUGUUACUAUCACAAGAAAGUGAUCGUUGUAUCAUGGGAGACGAUUGUCAAUAAACCGUAAGCACUUGAGCGGGACAAAUUCGUUUUAAGGACAUAUAGUCAAACUCUAGCCUCGAUCAAUCUUAUUUGUGAGUUCCAAUUUUCUAUUUACUUCACUCAAUUUGUAUAUUUAUUAUACACACUUAUUAUCCAUAUAUUUUUAGUGAUUUGGAUAACAAUCUUAAGACGAAUUUGUUUUUAUUUUUUACAAUUGAUUUUUUUUUUAAAGUGAAAAUGGAUUUUGUAUCUUCUAUUAUACCUCUUGCUACUACACAUGAUGAGAAACUUGAGAAGUUCAUUGGGAUGAACUUUAAGAGAUAGCAACAAAAAAUGUUGUUCUACUUUACAACUCUGAAUUUUGCUCGAGUCCUAUAUGAGGAUGCCCCUAUGUUAAAGAAAGGUAAAACUGGUAAACAAGUGCAAGUAGUUGUGGAAGUUUGGAAUCAUUCUAAAUUCUUGUGGAAGAAUUACAUCCUCAAUAGUUUGGACAACACAUUAUACAGUGUGUAUAGUCCAAUAAGAAUUGCUAAGGAACUUUGGGAGUCUUUAGAGAAAAAAAUACAAGACAGAGGAUGAUGGCUUGAAGAAAUUUGUAGUCAACAAAUUUUUGGAAUUUAAAAUGAUAAACUCCAAGGUAGUUAUAAGUCAAGUCUAAGAACUACAAAUCAUUCUACAUGAAAUACAUGAAGAAACGAUGGUAUUGAGCGAGUCUUUCCAAGUUGCAGCAUAAUUGAAAAAUUACCACCUUCCUAGAAAGAUUUUAAAAAUUACUUGAAGCAUAAGCACAAGGAAAUGGGACUUGAGGACUUGAUUGUGAGAUUAAGGAUUGAAAAAGGCAAUUGAAUUUCUGACAAGAAGUCAAGGAAGCUUCCUAUAGAAUCCAAGGCAAACUUGGUAAAAUAGAAAACUAGCAAGAAAAGGAAGUACUCUAGUGAAGGUCCUAAUUAGGGGAAUGACAAGUUCAAAAAAUUCAAUGGAAAAGUUACGUGUUCAACAAACAAGGCCAUCGAGCUAAAGAUUGUCAUUCCAAAGAACAUGAUAAGAAAAAUCAAGUACAUAUGACUGAAGAAGAGAAACUAGCAAAUGAUGUGUUAGAUUUAGUGUUUUCUAUUGUGGUGUUUGAAGCCAAUAUGGUGGACAACCCCAAGGAUUGGUGGAUAGACACAGGAGCUACUCUUCAUGUAUGUUUGGAUGGAAAAAUGUUCUCUUCUUAUAUACAAAUAAAUGGAAGGGAGCUAUACAUGGGUAAUUCAACUACUUCCAAAAUUGAAGGCAUAGGAAAUGUGAUAUUGAAGAUGACUUUAGGAAAUGAAGUCACUCUCAAUGAUGUGUUGCAUGUGUCCAAUAUCUGUAAGAAUCUAGUAUAUGGCUCAUUAUUAAGUAAAAAUGGGUUCAAAAUGGUUUUUGAAUCUAAUAAGUUUAUACUCACCAAGAAUGGGGUGUAUGUGAGCAAAGGGUAUCUCGCAAAUGGGUUUUUUAAGAUGAAUGUAUGACUGUCCUGUGAGAUUUCAAUGCUAAUAAAGCUAGUUCUUUUGUUAAUUUGCUUGAGUCAUUUAAUUUGUGGUAUGACAUAUUAGGACAUGUGAAUUUUAAUUCUUUGUGCAAAUUAGGAAAUCUAAAUUUAUUGCCAAACUUUCACAUUAAUCCUAAUCACAAGUGCGAGACAUGUGUAGACGCUAAGCUAGCUAAAACACCUUUUCAUUUUAUUGAAAAGAACACCAAGCCUUUAGAAUUAAUUCACAGUGAUAUCUAUGAUUUAAAGUUUGUGUAAACUAGAUGAGAGAAAAAUAUUUCAUUACUUUCAUUAAUGAUUACACAAGAUACAGUUAUAUAUAUUUGCUAAGAAGCAAAGAAAAGGCCUUGGAAGUAUUAAACACUAUAAGAAUAAGGUUGAAAAUCAACUUAGCAAGAAGAAAAAGAUGACAAGAAGCGAUAGAGGUGGAGACAAUGAAGCACCUUUUGAUGAGUUUUGUUUAGAACAUGGUAUUAUUCAUCAAACCACUGCUCCUUAUUCACCUCAAUCAAAUGGGAACAUUAAAGGAUAUGAUGAAUGCUAUGUUGAUAAGUUCUGGUUUACCUCAUAAUUUAUGGGGGAAAUCAAUUUUUUUUGCUAACCACAUUUUGAACAAAAUACCACACAAGAAAAAUGAUGUAACUCCAUAUGAAUUAUGGAAAGAAAGAAAACCAUCUUACAAAUUUUUGAAAGUGUGGGGGUGUUUAGCUAAAGUAGCUAUUCUUAACCCUAAAAAGGUUAAGAUAGGGUCUAAAACAGUUGAUUGUGUUUUUAUUGGUUAUGCCAAUAAUAGUAGUGCAUAUCAGUUCCUUGUAUAUAAAUUAGACAUUCUUGAUAUUCAUGAAAAUACAAUCAUUGAGUCAAGAAAUGCCUCAUUUUUUUAGAACACUUUUCCUUAUAAAAGUAUACUAGAGAAAGUUCUUAGAAAAGAACAUAUGAGACUACUACUAGUAGUCAUUAAGAUAUUGAAAAACCCAAAUGCAGUGAAAAGACCAAAGUAUCUAAGUCAUUUGGUCAUGAUUAUCUAAUUUAUAUGUUAGAAAAUGAACCCCAUACAUUUAAGAAAGCAUUGUCUACUCCAGAAGCUCUAUUAUGGAAAGAAGCUAUUAAUGAUGAAAUUGAAUCGAUCAUGAAAAAUCACACAUAGGAACUGGUGGAUCUUCCAGCAAGAAAUAAACCUUUAUCUUGUAAAUAGAUCUUUAAAAGGAAAUUGAAGGCCGAUGGAUCAAUUGAUAAAUAUAAAGUUAGACUGUAGGUAAAGGUUUUAAACAAAAAAAAAUCCCUCGACUUUUCUUAUACAUAUUCACUAGUCACAAGAAUCCAUUGAUUGCAAUCACUACAUUGCAUAAUCUUGAAAUUUAUCAAAUAAAUAUUAAGACAACAUUUUUAAAUGGUGAAUUACAAGAGGAGAUUUAUAUGGACCAAUCUAAAGGGUUUAUUACUCUUAGACAAGAGAAAAAUGUGUGUAAGGUUGUUAAAUCUUUGUAUGGAUUAAAGUAAGUACCAAAACAAUGGCAUGAGAAAUUUGACAAUAUUAUGAUAUCAAAUGACUUUAAGAUCUAUGAAUGUGAUAAAUGUGUUUAUGCUAAGAGCACACCAAAUGGUUAUGUAAUAGUAUGCCUAUACAUGAAUGAUAUGCUAAUUUUUGGAAAUAAUAAUGAUAUUAUUAGAGCUAUCAAGAAAAUAUUGACCAAACAUUUUGAUACGAAAGAUAUGGGUACAACAAAUGUCAUUUUAUGAAUUAAAAUCUCCAAGAUGUUUGAUGGACUAGUAUUAUCUCAAUCACACUACAUUGAGACAAUACCUAGAAAGUUUAAUAAAUAUGAAGAUAGUCUAAUAAAGACUCCGAUAGAUGUAAAUCUACACUUAGCUAAAAAUACUAGUCAAACCAUAUCUCAAUUAGAGUAUUCUUAUGUAAUUGGUAGUUUAAUGUAUGUCAUGAAUUGUACACGACUAGACAUAACAAAUUAAGUAGAUUUACAAACAAUCCAGGAAAAAAUCAUUGGAAGGAAAUAAUGAGGGUGCUUAGAUACCGAAAAUACACUCCAAAUUAUGGAUUGCAUUACACAAGAUAUCCAACUAUGCUUGAAGGGUGUUUAGUGAUGCAAAUUGGAUAUCUAAUACAAUGGACACAAAAUCCACUACUGGAUAUGUAUUCACAAUAGCAAGAGUUGUAUCAUGGAAGUCCUCAAAACAAACAUUUAUUGCUAAAUCCAUAAUGGAAUUUGAAUUUAUAGCUUUAGAUAAAGUAGGAGAAGAAGUAGAAUGGCUUUGCAAUUUUCUAGAGGAAAUACCAUGUUGGAAAAAACCUAUGUCUUCAAUAAGCAUACAUUGUGAUAAUCAAUCGACUAUUGGAAGAGCACAUAAUAGCAUGUAUAAUGGUAAGUCUCAACAUAUAUGUCAAAGACACAAUACAGUAAGUUACUUUCAAAUGGAGUGAUUUUCAUUUAUUACAUUAAAUCAAAGGACAACCUUGAGAAUUCGCUUACUAAAGGUUUGCCAAGAGAUCAAGUUAACUACUUAUCAAGGGGAAUGAGAUUAAAGCUUAUGAUAAAAAAAAAGUCUUUAAAUUGGUAACCCAACCUAGUUGACUGGAGAUCCCAAGAUCUAGGUUUAAAAAGACAAUUAAGUUAUGAAUGAUUAGGAGAAGCACUAAAGAGAUAAUCUCUCUUAUAUAUUCCUAUGGUGAAAUACUGUUUUUUGCAAUGUGAACUAGGUUAAACUUUGUUUUUAAUGAAUCCUAUAGCUUGGAAACAAGUGGGGUAUGGCAGUAUACUCUUAAUAGGAAUCACCUAUGUGAGUGUGAAAUGGGGUCAUUUCUAUAAGAAUUUUUAAGGCUAAAAUUAUCUAUAACACUCAUGAAACUAGGAUUUGUUCAAGGCCAAAAUGAACACAACCAUGAGAAUCAAUGGUGAUUCAGAAGAAAAUUAUGUGGAUAUUGUUGUCUUGAUUUACAUCAACAGUUGAACAGUUCAAGACAUCAUAGUCACUAAUUAGCUAGUAAAUCAGAUAAUAUUUCACUAAGGAAGGUUCAAAGUCACAAGUUACCUAUCCUAAUGCAAUUACUUUCCAAGUUGUACUCUCUUGAUUGAUUAGCUUGUCAUUUGUGUGUGUGUGUGUGUGUGUGUGUGUGUGUGUGUGUGUGUGUGUCAUGUGUGUAUGUGUGUGUGUGUGUUUUUAAGACAAUUUCCAUUCAUGUGGGGGAUUGUUAGAAUUUAUAUAGGUGAAUGGAAAUUAGGAUUUUUUUUUCUUUGGAAGACAAGUUGUUUCUCAAUAGACACAACUUAUUUUAAAGGAUGUGUCUUGUAUUUAAAAAAAAAACGCAACCUCUUCCAAAAGAUAUGUUUAGUGUCUUAAGACAUAACCCUUCAAAGGAUGUAUCUAAUAUUUUAAAGACAUAUAUCUUCUAAAGGUCACUUCAAAUCUAUAAAUAGGGAUUCCCUCCCUCCAAAUGGAAUUUUCAUUCAUUCAUCCUUUCUCUCCACUCUUUCUCCUUUCUUGUCUUUCAAGUCCUCCUUGGCUUCAAGUCUAGUCAUUUAUCUUUUCUAUCAAGUAUUUGGUAUACAAGAUAGCACAAAUCACUAGUGAUUAAUUGUUUCUUGUGAUUUUAAGUGCUACUAUUAUAAGAAAGCAAUCGAUGUAUCCUAGGAGACGAUUGUCAAUAAACCGUAAGUACCUGAAUAGGACAAAUUCGCCUUAAGAACAUAGAGUCAAACUCUAGCCUUGAUUAACCUUAUGUGUGAGUUCUAAUUUUCUACUUCAUUUUAUUUGUAUAUUUAUUAUUCACACUUAUUAUACAUAUAUUUUCAGUGAUUUGGAUAACACAUUCAUCUCAGAAUAACCAAUAGAGAAAAAGAUGGGGAGUUCAGGGUUCUCAUGGAAACUAUUGGACCACUUGAAGCUCUCGAAAGGGAAGAUCUUGGGCAUGGUAGUGCUUGACAGAUGGGGCAAGGUCAAUCCCGAUCAGUACAACUGCAUCUACAUUGCUAAAACUUCGACCAUGGAUUCUCUCAAGAAGGUUUCUUCCUUCUUCAUUUGAUUCGUUAUAUAUUGCUUUUUAUUUUCACCAAUUUAUUUAUAUCACCUAGAGUUUUGCGUAUCUUUUUGUUAUUCUAUUGCUUGUUAGCUGAUUUCUCAUAGUAUUUUUUAAAUUUUGUGAUUCAUAUUAAAUAACAAAUGUUUGGAUUAGCGGAAUUGCAUGGGUGGUUAAAUUUGUGUUUGUGUGUGUAUGAAUGUGUUUUAACACUUAGAAUAUUAUGUUGGGUUCAUCUGAUGUUAAUGCAAGCAAUUUAUUAAGGAUACUUGUAUUUGAAAUAAACCAAAACCAUGCAAAUGAGUGAAUAGUAUUUUGGAUUGUAUGGCCCCUUUCAGCCUUUUGAUCUCACAAAAAGGUUUGUGUUUUGGAUCAUAUGGCCAUUUUUUGGCUUUUAUCUUAUAGGAAGUUUUAAAAGUUUCAAAGUUCAAAUUGGGGAUGAAACAAUUGAAAAUGGUAUUUGUCCAUAUUGGUCAUUACAAAUUGUCGCUUCUAGAAAGUACUAAGCAAAGAAAAAAAAAAUACUAAACCAAAUGUUUUUCUUAUGUUUCGAUAUCAUGCAGAUGUUGUCUCGCUAAUGUGGGUUUUUUUUUUACUUGCUUAAAUUUUAUUUUCGAAGCAAAUGUUGCUAAAUUCAUACAAUGCAUUUUUAUUGAUACCAAAGAACUAAUCGGUCAUGUCAUUAUCGUUUAAUAUUUUUAAAGCAAGUGAAUAUUGUUUUUUUUCAUACGUUAGUGUAUUAAAUAUUAAUAUUGUUAUUUGUCUAUAAAAAAAUAUUAAUAUUGUUAUUAAUAUUCUUAUUAUUCUUUAUAUAAACAAAUCUUACUAGGACUUUAGAAAAUUGAUAGGUGGAUUCUUGUCAAUCCCUAAAGUUAGAAUCAUUAUAAACUGAGGCAUAAAGCAGCUUAUGGUUAAAAUUUAUAUUUAAUUUCCAAUAAAACAUAUGAGCUUGGUAUUUGUUUGUCAUUUGAGUUUUCUGGAUUUUUCUUAAACUUGUUGGGGUCCAAAUUAUGGAAGAUACAUUUUUUGUGGAGCAUUAUACUCUAGAAAUAGAAGAUAAGGGGAGGAAAUUUGUAGUGCUUAGGAUUUAUGCUGCUUCAGUUGUUGAAAAUUUUAGACUUCACUAUUUUGUUGGAUGAUUAAUUAUGUUAGCAUUUCUAGUGUGAAUUUCAGGCUUAUUUAUGCUUAGGUUCUAUUUUAAUGGGCCUCAAGUUGUGAAAAGCCUAUAAUUUUAAGCUUAUAUGAGAAAAAAAAUGUGUAAAUGUUGUAUUAAACAGUUAAGACCUGGUAAAAGAGAAGAAUAGUGUUGCUUGUUGUCUUUAGUUGGAUACUUCCAUGGAGAAACCCAAGAUAAAAGAACACAUGGAAUUUUAAUACUAGGAAAGGAAUGUGGAACUCUAGACUGUGUGAUCAGAAUAUAGACCCCUUUUCAUUAUUGUCCAAAGAUUGAAAGUUUAGGGAAAAAACCUACUAAACCAUGUGGAAUAUAAUUUUAUAUAAAGAACGACAAUUUGAAGUGGAAAGGCUUCAUCCAUGUUCAUGUCUAGAUGUUCUAUGCAUGAAUAGUAAUGGAUUGUGUAAUGAAGGAGUGGGUUCCACAAUAUUGCUCUUUCUUAGCAUUGCUUUUGUUUUUUUACUAGUAAUUGAUUAUGUAAUGAAGGAGUGGGUUCCACAAUAUUUCUCCUUUUAGCAUGCAAGAAUUUACCAGGCAUUGAAGCAUAAAGUUUUGCUUGUUUUUUUGUGGAGUUUGAAAUAUAACAACUUGGAUUUUAGAAGGUAUGUAUUAUUUACAUUUUAUUUAAUCACAUAAUUUUUAUUUUUUAGGAAAAUAUUAGAAUUACUCAAGUGGUUUUCCGUAGAUUGAAAAUAUUAAAUUCACAUUAAAGCAACAAAUGGUAUUCUUUGCAGGUUUAGUACACUUCAAGGUAGCAGAUGAGAUUACUCCCAUCAAAAUCGAUAACUUUGAGUAAACCUUUGGUAUGUAAGCCUUUGAUGGAGUAUAUUUGGUUCUUAACAUAUGAAUUUCUACUUAUUUAGUGUUGUUUAUAAUGCUUUUUGCAAAUUAUUUCUCCUUGUAGAUCCAAUGGGAUGAACCUACAACAAUGGCCUAAUAUGUGAUGAGGUUGAGAAAGGGAAAGGAACUGAAGCUUCUUAUUUUCAUCACAAAGCUGAAGAUUCUUAGUUUCAUCACAAUGGCUCAGCAAUGACCUAAGUGGUUUUGUUUUUUUUUUUUUUUUUUUUCUAAUUUGUUGUUAUGCUCAAAAUCUUCCUUCUUGUUUUGAAUCAUAAGAGAAGACUUAAUAUCUUCCCUCCUGUCACGAGCCACAAUAUUGAUUUGACUUAAUUUUUAUGCUAGGAUGAAAUUAGAAGUUGAUAUUAUGUGUGAAGGUUUUUUGUCCAAUUCCAUUCAUGAAAUGGGUGAAAUUUCUAUUUUGCCUAAUGGUCCAUCUUUUAAUGGUUUGAGGAAUGAAAAUUCCUAUUGGUUUCUUUUAAUGGUGCUUGUAGAUGAAAAACAACAUGACAUUAUUAUAUGGGAAAUGUCUAGAUAUGUUGUUUGCAGUUUGCAUUAUAGUCGCCUUAAACUGAUGGGGAAAUAAGAAGUUAGAGGGGAAAAGUAGAAGAAAAGAACUGGUGGAAAUAAAUACAAUAGAAUUAAAGUCAAUAAAUUAAUUUUAUAUUUAUUUUAACCCUUUUUAAAAAAAAUUAUAUAAAGAUUAAAUAAUUUUAAAGUGCUUGAGUUUAUAACCUCAUUGAACGUUGCUAUUCUAAUUUUUUGAAGGGCAAAAACAUCAUUCCAAAUGAGGUCAAAUAUAUUACCAAAAAAAAUAGUUCUCAAGUUACAAUAGUUCUUAGAAAUCCAUCAAGAAUUGGCUAUAGGAUCUCUAGUCCAAACCAAAAGUAGUAGUAUCUAAUUAUCUUAAUUCUCCACAUAAAUCUCAAUUGGAUAAAGUUAAUGUUUUGUUUUCUUUUGGGAAGUUUCAUGCACUGUAAUUAUUAUUAUUAUUUUUUUUUAACUCUUCUACCUUUUCAAACAUGGAUGCUGACAUGGACAUGGGUAAGGGCAUAUUAGGUAUAGAAAACCCACUCAACACAAAGUGCACCAAAAUCCAAUAUUUUUUCAUAUUAAUAUAGGCAUCUUGGAUUUUGAAAAACUAGGGUUUAAAAAGUUAUUUAUUUUCAAAUGGGCAGGGAAAAAAAACAUAUUUUUCCUUAAAUUUUUUUUAGCAAAAGUGAAACAUUACUAUUAAUUUAAAAAUGAAGAAGUAGCUAAUUAUCACGUGUGUACAACUAAGCAUGCGGUGUGGUGCAACCCGACUAUCAAAAUUCUUAAGUAACAACCUUCUCCUUUAAACCAUUGACUCUGGUCUACCUUUGAGCUCUAGGAAUCCGCCACGUUCCCUCCUUUUCUGUUUCCAAUCAUCUUUCUUAGCUCUUGCACUUUGACUAACUCCAACUCCAUCUAUAGAGAGAUAAACGUCUCUUACUUUCCUUCACACACUCUCUAGUCCACCAUUAACCACAACUUUCCACCAUCUCCUUCAACUUCAAUUGUUCAGCAAGCUAUGAACUCCAAGCACAAGGAAAAGUGGCUAAAGUAGAAGUGGUUGAAGCGGAAGCUUCUGGAUCGACACAACGCCACCUUUGAGGACUCCACCACUCUAUGCACUAACUCUCCAAACCUCUCUUCUCUCUUCUCUGAACCCAACUUCCAAAUACAAUGGAUAGCCACCAUGUCAAACAAAAUUUGCCCCUUCCUCGACCUCUCCUAACAUAAUGGAGUUGCACCAUAAAAAUAAACAUAUUUGCAAUGGUUAUUUGCUACUCAUGUUAACACUUGACAAAUUACCAAGGAACGCAUGUAAAAGAAGUGCAAUACCUAUAGAAAGAGGAUGCAACCAUGUACUCAAGAGCUAUUACUUUGCUUAUAUCAUCUUAUUCCCUCUUCAAGAUAAUCAAUAACAAAUUAGCCUUAGUUAACAUCAUUUUUGAAACCAUCUUCGUUUAUGGUAUGCCAUAAGUUUCGACAUCCAUCAAUCCUUAACGUGGGGGCUAAUAUUAUGGCAUAGGCAUAGUAAAUGAAACAUCUUCGAAACUCUUCCCCAACUGGUAAGGUGAAGAGUCUCUCUUUGCAUGUACAUAUUGUACCGAACAGAUGAUCUGAUAGAAUUGAUGCAAUGUGUAAAAUUCGUCUCGUAGUCAACAGGCCAAAUACAAGCCCCACAUCAGCAGUUGUAACAUCAUAUAUUUUAUCGGGUGAGAUAUCUAUGCAUCUGAAUCCAACGUUAAAAUGUUGAAUUAUCCAAUGGCAUAUAUUGUGGCGUAUCUUUUUGCAAUUGAUGUUAAGAAGACCUCCAAACUGGAGGUCUCGGACCACUUGCAAUUUCUCCUCUAAUAAUCAGCUACAUAGUUUGAGAAAUCUUAAAGAUGAACACCGUGUAGACAAUGUUGUAGCUUGCAUGCAAUUUUGGAGAUAUUUAGUGUCAAUAGGCAUUCACAUUAGUGUCAAUAAGCAUUCACAUAAGUGCAGUUGGUAAUUAAGUGAUAUGGAUCGGAGAUACAUCGUAGUGGACACGAGGCAAUUUCUAGGAUUGUCAGUUAAAGAAGUGGAUAUUAUGAAGUCAGUUUAUGGCCUAUCCUCAAUAUCUAGGCUAUUGAAGAAUCCAUUACCUCCAUAGAGGCCAUUGAAGAAUGCAUGAAAUGAGAUACAUAUGAAAUAAUGCAUUACCUCCAUAGAGGCCAUUGAAGAAUGAAUAUAUCCCUAUAGGCUUCAACAAUGUAGGCCGUUGAAACUCUGUCAGGUCUUCAAAGCACUCUCCAUAGGUGUUAAAAAAAAAAUACCUAAACAGAUUCAACCAACAUAUCAAAGAGAUGUGUAUUACCCAAUAUUAAUCACUGCAUUCCUAAAUAGUCCACACUUGUAUGAGAUUGCUUUUAUUUUUAUUAUUAUUAUUAAAAAGGAUUUGAAUAUUAAUUGCAUAGAACUAGCUGUAAAUGUCAUAGUGUAGCUCUUCUACUCAUAUGGUUCAUUAAAAGUCAGUGAUUGUUGCUAAACAGAGAUCUUCUCUGAUGAAAUCUGUGGGAACACUUAGACCUUGUAAGUCAUUAAAAUUGAGAGCCACAACCUCAACAACCCUACUCCUUAAUAUUCAGCUUAAUUUUGAUACCUCAAAACAGUAAAUACGCCAUAAUAUAAACACCUUUAUGAACUUAUACAACAAGUGAAAAGAUACCACAUUGAAAUUUCAAUUUCCAUUUAAUUCAUUAAUGAAAGCAACUCUAAAUCAUGAAAAUAAAAAGGUAGUUCAUCAUGGCUAUAAUAAUGGCAAUACAUAAGUACCAAAAGCAACUACCCGACCACCAUAUACCAUAGAAUGGAAUAAUGAGGGAUGGUACAAAAGAUGAAAACCUUACAAACACAAAAAGGGACAUGUUAAGGCAACAAAUUAUUACAUUUGGACCGGUUGUGACCUAUGCCAUUGCAUCUAGAGCAAUGAAUAACUCUCUUAUGGCUAAAUUAUGACUCAAUGCGUCUUUGUUAGGGUCUUCUUGGAGGAUGUCUCACAUGUGGGGGUUGGAGAGUAGGAAAUAAGUUGUCUGCUCCAUCUUGCAAACUCCCAUCCUCACAAACUUUAGCGAUGUUGUGCAUUGGUAAUGGUUGAAACUGACUCGAGUAAAUCAAAUGUUGAGUGGAGACAUUAAAACAUGGGCUGAUAUAUUCAUACACUUCGUGUCUCAUUGUGCAGAUGACAACACCUACAUGUGCACAUGGCAAUUCAGACAUUUUCCAUGUCACACAAGAACACGUACGUUGCUGCAUAUCCACAACCAAAUAAACCUCCCCAAUAAACACCUUAAACGUUCUCCCCAAAUAAGGCAUCACACUAAUUGAACCAGACCUCAUGAUAUUUGAUGUUAGUUUCUCCUCUGUUUUCGGUCCAACCACGUUCUUCCACUUUUUUGUACCAUGAAUAUGGUUGUCCAACAUGGAUACAAGCUUAUCCAUAUGCAUCAACAAUAACAUAUAAAUUGUUUGGUGACACUCCUUUCUUAACCACGCAUUAAAGGACUCUACAAUAUUAGUUUUCAUUUAUCCCCACAUUUUUUUAAGGAACUUUGACAUAGCCCAAUGCUCGGGAUUGCUUUCUGCAACCCACUUUGCUAGGUCCUCAUUAAAGCGCACAAGUUUUUCAAAUGUCUCGUUGUAGUCUAUAUCCAACCUAGCAUGCGCAAUGUUGUCCAAAAACAACAAAACAUCUUCCUUUCAUUUCUUGCUUAUUAUGUUUUGCCUAUUGAAGAGGUUAGAAAAGUUCUCAUUCACAUGUCGAUAACAAUAUGCAUGAUUUUUUGUUCCAAACAACUCAAAAACACUACGCAAUAUCCCUUGAUGUCUAUCUGAUAUAAUAACAACUUCUUUACCAUCUAGAACCCCCUUUAAUUUUUCCAAAAACCAAUAUCAGUUCUCAUAAUUUUCUGAAUUGACGACACCAAGGGCUAGAAGGAACAUUCCAUUAUCUGCAUCAUAUGCAAUGGCGGACAAAAGAACUUCCUUAUAUGGACCGCUUAAAUGGAAAGAAUCAAUAGUUAAUACUGAUCGAUACCCCAUGAUAAACCCUAGAAUUGAAAAUGCAUGGGCAAUGAACAAUUUAAUGAAGUGAACUUCAUGAGAAGUGUAGCCUGUAAUAGUUCUGAGGUUUAUUUCCCUUAGCCUAUGGCAUAACCAAGACAAAAACAUGUAGGAGUCACGUGGAGCUCCAUAUAUGAGCUCUUUUGCCUUCUCUUUAAGGUGUCAUGCUUGGUUAUAUGUUAAUUCAACUCCAUGAUCACGUUCAUAAUCCUUGCAUAUUUGACGGGGAAGAUAAUUUGGAGUUGUUAUAAAGACAUCUUCAACAACAAUGACUUUCUUUGAACUAAUCCUCACCUUAGAUGAAUACUCAUCUUGAGCUAUAUGAUUAUAAUUAACUUGGUAAGUAUGAACUCGCAAGAUUUCAUUCCCUUCUACAGCAUGACUUGCUAUCUUCCAAGGACAACCCUCAACCAAGCACUUCACUGACAUAUGAUUAGGUGAAUUUUUCUUGUACUUGUACUUAAACCUCCCACUUAACGACAUCUGGUAUAUUGCAUUUUGAAACUCCUCUGUAUUUUUAUAUGUAUGUCUUGACCCUAAUAUUGCCUCACGAAACCAAUUCGAUUCCAAAUGGGUGUACUCACUUUCUACACAACGUGAUGCAAAACCUCUUGAUACCAUCAUAGCAUUAGGAAUUGCAUCACAUGAUGCAUUAGAGGAAGGAAACGUGAGAGGUGGACCUCUACAUAUUACAUACAUAAACAAAAUUAAACUACAUCAUGUGUAAAAUUGAUAUUCACAAUAUUUUGAUUGGGCAUUCAAGUCAAAGUGCAUUACCCAAAAGUCAACUGUGUAUUCGGUAUAUUUCCCUCAAUGGCUUCGACAUGAGGUGACUCUAUUAUGUACACAUUUGCAAAGUCAUCACUAUGGGAAGCCUCAUUAUCCAAGUCAUCUUCAUCUUCUAAAUCUUGGAUGACUCUAGGGUUAAACUUGAGGGUGUAAUGCAUCCUCAUCACAUCAAGGGAAAUAUUGAAUUUCUCUAAGACUCGUUGAGUGAAUUCUUUAAAUGACAUUCCUUUAUAUAUGUGAAUACCUUUGCUUCUUCCACCAACGUAUUCCCACUACCCAUUAUUUUUUUGGACAAAUUUGUCUCCCACGAAAAUGUAACAAUAUAUCCUAUUUGUAGCACCCAUCAACCUAUUCAAACAAAGCACAACUUUCAUAUUGUUGAACAAACAAUUAUGCAUAUUCAAUGUCAUCCGAAAAGUUUUUCCCUCUCACAGUAUGUAUUGUUCCUAUACAAAUUAGUACCACCAGUAUUUCAUCACCAAGAUCUAUUGUUCAAACAAAAUCAAACGAUGUUUUUAAUAAAAACUCCCAAACAACCUCUUAAUCAUCUUAUUUUAAGGUGAAUUCACAUUCUUACCCAAAAUUAUAUCUUUUAUUGUAAAUUGUUAAUUUAAACAGUUUGAGGUAAAGACCAAAAACCCAAAACCAUUUAGAAACCAAUUCAGCCUAACAUUGUACUAUCCUAGACCAAACAACAAAUAAAAUAAAAAGAAUCAUCAUACUAACAUUACCAAACUGAACAUGCUCCUAAAGAAAAGUUGACAUGACUCCUUAAUUAGAUGAAAAUAGUCUUCCAAAAACCUAUCAAACAGAGGCCUAUGUGGAAAUUGUUCUAAAAAACACUUUUUCAGCCUUGGAAACAAAAUACAAUUCUCUAAAACAUAAAAACCAGUUCUCUAAAAUAGAAAACACUUCUUAAAAAAGAUUAAUAUAUAUACAAUUUUCUAAAACAAAAAACAAAUCUCUAACAAGAACACAUUGAUAGCAUGUUUUUUAAAUACUUGAAAAAAAAAUUGUUUUUUUUUUUCAUAUUUCAAUUCGUACACAAUGGAACAAUUGAUAACUGUAUCUGAGAUUUCAUCUUAGAAACUAUUUUUUUAAGAAAUGAGAACUAUGUUUUAAAUCAUUUCCAAGGUAGCCCUAUAAUUUCCUAAACAAUGUAAUGACCUUCUAGGCGGUUCCCAACACUAAGCAAAUCAAACAUAGAAAUUAGGAGAAUAUAUAUAGCAAAAAAAUUUGGAAGCAUUCUGUCUAGUAGUAAACAAACACAUCAUUUAGAGAGGCAACUUUCAUAAUAGAAAAUAGUCAAACAAACUUAUAUAAUGUCUUCAAAAAAAAAACUUGAACAUAAAGAUGUAACAACUACCAAAAUUUAUCCAAAAAAAAAAAGACUAAUCCCGCAACGUACCAACAAUAAUCCUAUGAUUUGAUAAAUCAUUCCUUAUCACCUGAAUAUAUUUUUCCCUUUUGUUAGCUGAAUCAUAACACUUCUAAUUUUGUAUUAUUCCAUUCUCCAACAUUUUCUCAGCAACCAAACAGGGAAAAAUACACCCCACUUAAAAAUUACAUUAAUAAACAUUGAAAUUGGACACUAACCUUCUCUUCUUUGUCGACAACCAGUGCAGAAAAUCUCAGAAUUUGAAAUCUGUUCUUCUAUGUUUCCUAACAAAACACCAGAAAGAAGAGAAUUAAAAAAUUAAAGAAAUAAAGGUCUACCACAAAGCAACAAUUCGAGCAGUGCCAAAAUUUUUAAAUGUCUUACAUUUUUUAACAUUCUUUUGGAAUCCAAAUAGAGUAUGGAACAUUGCAAUUUUGAAAGGAAAUCAAAUAUAAGGCGAGAUUUAGAGAACCUACUAACCUCAAAUAUCCAACUAGGGUCAACACGGAGGGCAACAUCACUGGGAUCGACGAGGGAACGAUAGACAACGAACUGAAAUCGGGAGAGAGAUUAGGCAAAUGCAUUUGGGCUGAAAUCAAAUGGUCGGGAGAGACGAAAGUGGGGGAAAACUAAAUUAGAGAACCUACUAAACUCAAAUAUCCAACUACCACGGCAUGGAGGGCAAUGCCGAUGGGGAUCAACAAUGGCAAUGUAUCGACAAAGAUGAAAACAUCAUUGUCUAAACCUAAAAUCAAAUGGCCGGGAGAAACAAAAUCUAGAGAUAAGGAAAUCACCAUAGAGAUUAUGGCAAUGUUUGGGCCUCAAAUGAUAUGGAAGCGAGGGAAAAAAAUCGAGAGAGAUGAAAAACGCCACUGUCUAGGGCUGAAAUGAAAUACCGGAGAGAGUAAAAUUAGGGCAACAUAAAUGGAAUUCCAACGUAGAUUUUCUAAAUUUUUUUUUCACAGUCAGCAAAGGUCAUUUCCUAAAAGAUAAAAAAUUCAUAUCUUUCUUCUCAAUUUUAACACUUCAUUUGGGUCAUGGGCUUAAAUGGUGAACUUAUAUGGACCAAAGUUUAAUUUUUGGGCCCAACAGGGUCCAAAACAUAAUUAUCCCUUAUUUAUUUGGUUGACAGAGUCAUGAGUGUAGGUAUGUUCAUACCAUUCUCAAAGUAAGACAUUGAACCGGUAAAAUUUAAAAAACAUUUUUAAAAAAAAAAAAAAUCACAGAAUGUUAAUUUUUUAUAAAGCCUUUAAUAGGUGAUUAUUCUAAGGAUGUUUCAAGAAGAGAUAAAAACACUAUCAAACUCAUGGUUACUCCACUCAAGCUCGUCUUUCAUUCAUAAUAAAUAAUAUUAAAUAUAUUUUAUUUAAUUUUUUCUAAUUUAAAAAUAAAAAAUGGAUCUAAUUUUACUUAAAUUUUUUUAUUUUCAUUUAUGUUAUAAAAUGAUACAAUAUAAAAAAGAACAAGAAAAAACUCCAAGAGAUACUUUCUUGGAUUUAAAACAGAAAAAUUAACAAAUAUAUAAAUUGAAGGGAUAGAAUUAUUUAUUUAAAUAAAAACGGAUUACUGACAUGAUCAGAAGCCUAGUGGGAUAAUUAAAUUUUAGCACAGCCUUGGAAAUCACAAUGUGUGUGCCUUAAAAAGUAUAAGAAGUAUGGCAGUAUUCAAGAGGAGUAAGUAGCAGUGGCUGACAGACUUAGUGCCUAAAAUUAAAAAUAUGUUUAGCCUUAUUCAAAAGUAGCCAUUAGAAAGUGCCUUAAAAGAAAUUAUAAUAUUAAUAAAAUAAAAAAAGAAAAUAAAAGAUUUUAACGUGAACAUUUAAUCCUAAGUAUCAAUAGAUGUAGGUUCAAACAUAUUUUCUAUUUUUUAUUUUUAAAAUAAAAAUAAUAAUAACUUUUAUAUAAGAUAUAAUUUUUUUAAAUAAAUUAUAUUAAAAAAAUAGUGAUUUUAAAAACUAUUUAAAAAAAUUUAAAGUAUAAAAAAUAUAAAAUAAAUUUAUUGUUUUUGUAUAAGGUUCUGUUUUUAUAUAAAAUGUUUUUAUUUUAAAAAUAAAAAAUAUAUCAGAUAUUUAAUAAUUUUCUUAACCCUCUAAAAUAUAUGAGUUAUCUUUGCCCUAAAAUAAAUGCUUUGGGUAUUUUGAGAACCCAACAAGUGUUCAUGUACUUUGAAUUUAUGUUCAAAUCACUUGCUUUGAGAUGGGGUUUUGAAUCGGAAAUGUCAAUGUUUCCGGUGUGAACAUGCAUACAGAAAUUAGUAUUACGUACAAAACAGGUUGAGGUAAAAAAAAAUCAAAAUCAUGGUGUAGACCCCCUCAGCGGCAGUAGGUUUUUCUUUUUUUUGAGAUUAUUAUUUUAUUCCCUUUUCUUUUGCUUUUAUUUUUUCUUUUCUCUUCUUCAGAACCCGAGAAUGAGCUGGGGGGUGGCAGCCGAAAACAGGGCGGCCAUAGGACGAGAUGGGCAGGUUUUUUUACGGCGAGAUGGGACGGGAAAGCAGAGGGAGAGACUUGCCAAGGAAGAUAGAGAGAGUAAGCUGAAGGGAUUCCAGGAAGGCAAGCUAGAGGGGUUUUCUUUUCUUGGGGGGGGGGAGUAUCGCAGAGGGAGCUUUUCUUCAAGCGGGACAUCCAGAGCAGAAACAGGGGAGUAAGUUGAAAAGGAUCAGAAGAUCAUUCAACCAGUUUCUCUUGGUCCAGGUAUGGUUUUUUUUUUUUUUUUUUUAUAGUUUUUAGUUUGUUUUGCUUUCCCUGUUUUGAAUCGCCCUCCUUUGUUUCUAAUCACUUGUGGAUUCCUUUGACAUUUGAAGACCGCUUGUGCACUCUGUUUUUCUGUUUUGGGAUGUCCCGAGUUUGGAUUUUUCAUUGCAUUUGUAUUUAUUCUUAGAUGUCAUGCCCGUGUUUUAAUAGACAUCUGUGGAACGGGGUGAGGCUUGGCAGCUUUCUUUUUUACAUAUAUGUACAUGCUUUGUUUUUUUUUCAUGCUCCUAUUUUCCUGUCAAGUUUCUUUUUUUGUCGAAAUGUUGAAUGCCGCACCUCGUACUGGUCAUCUGGGCUGAGGCUCUCAUGUGAAAGCUCAAGUCCAUUCCAUAGAUGCAGCUGUAUGAGAAGGUAAGGAGAAAUGAGUUUUUCUGGCGCUUAAGAGGAUUCCGAAAAUUUUUCGAAGCUGGCUGGUGCUGGUGCUGGCUGGUGCCGGCUGCUAGCUGGUGCUGGUGCUGGCUGGUGCUGGUGCUGGUGCUGGUGCUGGUGCUGGUGCUGGUGCUGGCUGGUGCUGGUGCUGGCUGGUGCUGGUGCUGGCUGGUGCUGGUGCUGGUGCUGGCUGGUGGCUGGUGCUGGCUGGUGCUGGUGCUGGCUGGUGCUGGCUAGUGCUGGCUGGUGCUGGCUAGUGCUGGCUGGCGUCGCCGCUGCCGCCGCGGGGAGGUGGUGAUCGUGCUGAAGCCAGGCGCGGAGGGAGAGGCAAGCUGGAGGAAGAUGAAGUUUUGGGCUUGGGUUUGAGAUGGGUUUUUGAGCCCGCCCCUGUUAGCUUUGGAUUUGGGCUUGCGUUAGUACACCAAGCCCAAGUUUGUGAUCAGGUCAGCCCAUUGGGCUUGCCCAUAGCAUGGAUGUGGAUUUGAGUUUGGAGCCAAGCCCAAGGCCCAUGGACUUCUUUCCCCUUAAGCCCAUUUACAUUGAUGAAUGGCCCCUUGUUUUGUUCACCCAUUUUAAGUUAGUCCAUGCCCACUCCAAGCCCAUACCCACCUCAAAUUACCCCUUUUGUUUUCAAUUUGCAUGAUUUAUCUCCCUAAAAACAUUAAUUCCUCAAUAAAUUUUAAUUCCAAUUUUUGAAAUUUUAAUUCUCACAUCAAUUUAUUUAAUCAUCAUUAUCUUAUUUAUUUAUUUAUUUGCUUAUUUUUAAAAUUCAACCCUUUAAUAAUCUUUCAAAAUUCCGAUUUUUAAAGUUAAAUUCCAAUUUCCGAAAUUUUAAUUCUCACGUCAAUUUACUUAAUCAUCAAUAUUUUAUUUAUUUGUUUAUUUGUUUAUCUUUAAAAUUCAACCUUUAAAUGAUCUUUCAAAAUUCCAAUUUCUAAAUUUAAAUUCCAAUUUCCGAAACUUUAAUUCUCACAUCAAUUUACUUAAUCGUCAUUAUUUUAUUUAUUUAUUUAUUUGUUUAUCUUUAAAAUUCAACCUUUAAAUAACCUUUCAAAAUUCCGAUUUCUAAAUUUAAAUUCCAAUUUCCGAAAUUUUAAUUCUCACAUCAAUUUAUUUAAUCAUCAUUAUUUUUAUUUAUUUAUUUAUUUGUUUAUCUUUAAAAUUCAACCUUUAAAUAAUCUUUCAAAAUUCCGAUUUCUAAAUUUAAAUUCCAAUUUCCGAAAUUUUAAUUCUCACAUCAAUUUGUUUAAUCGUCAUCAUUUUAUUUAUUUAUUUGUUUAUUCUUUUAAAAUUCAACAUUUAAAUAAUCUUUCAAAAUUCCGACUUCUAAAAUCAAAUUCCAAUUUCCAAGAUUUUAAUUCUCACAUCAAUUUAUUUAAAUCAUCAUUAUUUUAUUUAUUUAUUUGAAAUUCUAUCAUCAAGCAAUUCCUCAAAAUCCCGAUUUCCAAACUCAAUUUCCUAAUGUCCGGAAUUCUAAUUUCCAUAUUUAUUUAUUCAAUCAUUAUUCUUGUUAUUUAUUUAUUUAUUUAAAAUUCUAUCAUCAAGCAAUUCCUUAAAAUCCCGAUUUCCAAACUCAAUUUCCUAAUUUCCGGAAUUCUAAUUUCCAUAUGUAUUUAUUCAAUCAUUAUUUUUGUUAUUAUUAUUAUUAUUACUAUUUAAUUAUUUAAAAUUCUGUCAUCAAGCAAUUCCUCAAAAUCCCGUUUUCCGAACUCAAUUUCCUAAUUUCUGGAAUUCCAAUUUCCAUAUUAAUUUAUUCAAUCAUUAUUAUUAUUAUUGUUUAUUUAUUUAUUUAAAAUUCCAUCAUUAAGUAAUUCUUCAAAAUCCCGAUUUCUAAAUUCAAUUUCUAAUUUCCGAAAUUCCAAUUUCCAUAGUUAUUUAUUUGAUCCUUAUUAUUUUCAUUAUUAUUAUUAUUUCAUUUGUUUAUUCUAAAAUUCAAUUUUAAACAAUUCAUUAAAAUUUCCAACUUCCGAUUUUAAUUUCUAAUUCCGAAAAUUCCGAUAUUCACAUUAAUCCAUUUAAUUAUUAUUAUUUUAGUUAAUUAUUUUGAAAUUCCAUUUUAAACAAUUCUUCAAAAUUCCAAUUUCUGAACUUAAUUUUCGAUUUCCAAAAUUCUAAUUUCUUUCAAAUUUAAUAUCCAAAAUUCAAAUUCUUAAAUUUAAUUCUCGAGACUCUAGUCUUCAAAUAACUUUCGAGACUUCAAUUUCCAAAUAAAUCUCAAAAAUCCAAUUUUCUCUCGAACAGUUUUAAUUCCACUCCGAUAUUUAAAUAAUGUUCUAUUUCUUUUAAUUUUUACACAAGCAAGAAUGAUGAAUCUUCAUAAUUUCGAAAUAAUGGGAUUCGUGAGAUUAAUUCAUGCAAUAUAAAUCGGGCUUUGGUGGGGCCCAAAAUAUGUGAUUUCCUUAUGACUGACUGAUUGAUUGAUUUAUUUAUUUUGUUUGAUUUAUUCUGUUCCUUGACAUGCGCAUAAUUUUAUCUAUUCGUGAUUCACUAAUCCUGUUUCAUGAUAGCGCAUUCGUGACUAGAGGACCAGGUACGUAUCCACUCACAUUUUGUUCAUUCUUUAUACAUGUUUUGAUUCCCAUAUGUGCAUGAUCGCUUCGAGUAUUCAUUGAUUUUCUCAUUGAUUACCAUGUCAGCUUCAUUUUAUUAGUAGAGACCCGACUUUAGGGACUUAGAGGGGUGCUACGGUCGUUACCGUACCUUCUCGAUAAGUAACCUGACCCCCGAACCCGAUCCGGUUUUUCACAAACCAUCUUUUCCAAAGUAAGGAGUCACACUUAGGGUUUUUCUUUCUUAUUUUGUUUACCCUUUUAAAAAUAAAACAAAAAUAAGUGGCGACUCCAAGUCAAUUUUCUUAAUCAAAUAAAAAUCAAUUUUUCGAAAUAAAAUCGAGCUCGCCAUUCGAGUGGGAAACGCAUGAGCCGAAAUGCGGGAUCCACACAUGGAAAAUUCAAAGUCUGUUUAACUGGAUGUUUUAAAAAUAGUUUUUUACUUUUUAAAAUAGAGAAUAAUUCUUACAUUAUCUAAAAAUAAUUUUAAAAAAUAAGAUAGAACGAAGAACAAUUUUUAAAGAACACGUAAAAGUGUUUUCAUCCCUUGUAAAAAACAAAAGAAAAAUAUAAAAAAAAAUUUUAAAAAUCUUGAAAAUAAAUAAAAUUGAAUAUAGUAUCAUUUUCUUUCUCUUUUUAAUAUAAAAAAAAUCUUAAAAUAUGAUUUUUCUUUAAAUUACACAUACUUUUUUAAAUUUCAUUUUAACUUCUUUAAAAUUUUUCAUUGAGUAAAUUUUAAAUCAAAUUCUAUUUAAUACAUAAAAUUCAUUAAUUUUUUAAAAACUAUUUGAAUUAAAAAUGUUGUGAGAUACAAUUGUUUGAAGUAACAUUUUUUAUGAAAAAAAUAUUCUUUUAUUCGGAGCAUUUUAAUCAUAAUCCAAACAACGAGGAUGCAAAUUUUUUUUCUUGAAGUUAAAAUCUAAUUUAGGAUUUAUUUGUAAACGACAUUUGUUGAACUUUGAGAAUGAUAAAAAAGAUACAUGUAGUAUUUUCAUGUGCUCUCCUAUAAGGACUAAUAAGGUUGUUUUCACCAAUUAUUUUCAUAUUAUUCAUUUUAUUUAUUAGAUUGAUUUUCAUGUGAAAAUAUAUUGUAUUUAAGAAAAAUAAUAAUUUUACAAGUCAAAGAAAAAGAUAUUUGAUCACUCCUAAACCAUCGAUGAAAUGAAUUAAUUUUUUAAUAAAAGUAAUUUUAAUUUGGAUUUAAAUUAUAUUUUAGUUAUAUAUGGGUAUAUGCAUGUAGAAAAAAUUAUUUUUAAAUAUUUCAUAUUUGGAUUUUAAUAUUUGCAUGGAAGCGCCCCGUCUCUUCGGAGGCGUGCAGAGGGUUGCGUACCGCCGGAGGGUAUGAUCGCUUCUGCUAGGGAUCUUUAAAAUCCACCCAUAUCCAUUUAGAGCCACCUUGAUCUCGUAGGUUGAGCCAUAGAUCAUUCGAUUAGGACUUCCUCCCUACACGUGGGUGCAUCUGAGGGCUUUCAGAGCCUCUGUGGUUACAGUUCGGAUCUAAUAUUCCCUCUUUUUAGUCUCCAGUUGAGAGUGCUCGGAGAUCGGUAUGAGUUUGAGUACGGUUGGGUCACCUUUCAUCUUGUCGCCUUAGUUUGUGUUUUUCACUCGAGGAGUUUGGCAUGUUUUCUCCCUAGGGCUUUCGUUAUCAUUUCUUGGCUCGGCACACCCCUUCACUUUGUUGUCACUCACUCGAUAUUUUGGGAUAUGUUCAUUGAUCAUCUUUUUACACUAUACACCUAUCACGGGCAAAAAAGGAUCAAAUAAGCAGAAAGUGUAUACUAGUUCAACAGGUCAAAUCUAACUAUAAUUCACUAAGGUGUAAAAACUUUGAAUUCAGUUUAAGAGAAGAAUGAAAAAUUCUUAUUAUUUUCAAUAAGAAAAAUAGGAACAUAGAAGCCUAUUUAUAUACAAUAAUGUGUACUAAAUUUUAGCUACAAAAUAGGUACUAACAAAAAAUACAAUGAACUUCCUAUAAACUAGGAAUGAACUUUUUUAAAAAUACAACUAAGUAAAACUGAAUUAUCCUAACUAUUUUUGCACUAAAGUAGAAUAAAACUAAUUCCUAAACUUUAAAAAUCUUUAACACUCCCCUUCAAGCUUAUUUGAAGAUAUCUAUCUUUCCUAACUUGUUAAUUAAACAACCCUAUAUGAAGUCCCUUGGUUAGAACAUCUAUUAGCUGUUCUUCAGUAGGUAGAUAAGGUAUGUAGAUCACUUUGACUUCUAGCUUUUCCUUGAUGAAAUGACGGUCCACUUCAACAUGCUUAGUUUUAUCAUGUUGAACUGGAUUAUGAGUGUGAAAAGAGAGAAAAAUGGAGAAUCCCUAAUUUUUGUUAUUAAAAAAACUGUUAAUAAUACACAUUGAACUUGGGUAUAUAUAUACAUGUUAGUGGGACCCACAAUACAAUAAGGAAAGAAAAGGAAAAGUAAAUAACUGAAAUAACUGUACACUAUCUAACACUCCCCCUCAAGCUGGAGCAUAUAUGUUAUAUGCACCAAGCUUGUUACAAAUGUAUUUAAUUCUAAGACCUCUAAGAGAUUUAGUAAAAAUAUCUGCUAGUUGAUCAUUUGAAUUGACAAAACUAGUCGCCACACAUCCUGAUGCGAUCUUCUCUCUAAUGAAGUGACAGUCAACUUCAAUGUGUUUGGUCCUUUCAUGGAAGACUGGAUUGGAUGCAAUAUGCAAAGCGGCUUGGUUGUCACAGAUGAGCUUCAUCUAUUCAUCCUUUCCAAAUCUCAACUCUCGAAGAAGAUGUUUCUGCCAUAUGAGUUCACAUAUUGCCAGAGGCAUAGCUCGAUAUUCGGCUUCAACACUAGAUCUGGCCACUACAUCUUGUUUCUUACUCUUCCAGGAUAUUAGUUUACCUCCAAUAAAAACACAAUACCCGGAAAUGGAACGUCUAUUUGUGGGUGAGCCAGCCAAAUCUGCAUCUGUGUAACCAACAACCUGGGUAUGACCUCUGUUCUCAUACAACACACCUUGGCCUGGUGUGCUUUUGAUAUAUCGAAGAAUGCGGAUUACAACAUCCUAAUGGCUAUCACAUGGUGACUGUAGGAAUUGACUAACAACACUUACAGGAAAAGAAAUGUUUGGACGAGUAAUGGUGAGGUAGUUCAGUUUACCUACAAGUCGUUGAUAUCUCCCAAGAUCUCCUAAAGGCUCCCCCUGUCCUGGUAUAAGUUUGACAUAUGGAUCCAUAGGAGUGUCUACCGGUUUACAAUCUAACAUACCGGUUUCUUCCAAGAUGUCUAAAGCAUACUUCCUUUGGGAAAGAACCACACCGAAACUGGAUUGAGCUAUCUCAAUCCCUAAGAAAUACUUGAGUUUCCCCAAGUCUUUAGUCUGAAAGUGGGUGAAAAGGUGUUGCUUUAGUUUCUGAAUACCAUUAUGAUCACUGCCUGUAAUGACGAUGUCGUCCACAUAAACUACCAGAUAAAUACAUUGCCCCCAGAGUUAUGAUGAUAGAAAACGGAAUGGUCUACUGUAUUGCAGAACAUGCCAAACUCCUGAACAACAUAACUAAAACGGCUAAACCAUGCUUAAGGAGAUUGUUUCAAGCCAUAUAGAGAAUGGCGUAACUUGCACACUAAACUAGACUCCCCUGAGCAACAAAACCAGGUGGUUGCUCCAUAUAAACUUCCUCAGCAAGAUCCCCAUGAAGGAAAGCAUUUUUAAUAUCUAAUUGAUAAAGAGGCCAAGAACCCAUAGCAGUCAUGGAGAGCAAUAGACAAACAGAAGCUAUCUUGGCAACAAGAGAGAAAGUGUCACCAUAAUCAGAACCAUAAACCUAAGUAUAGCCUUUAGCAACUAAGCGGGCCUUAAGGCGAUCAACCUGACCAUCAAGGCCAACCUUAACUGUGUAGACCCAACGACAACCAACUGUAGAUUUACCAAAGGGUAAAACAACAAGAUUCCAAGUGCCAUUGGAGUGUAAAGCAGUCAUUUCAUCUACCAUUGCCUGUUGCCAGCCUGGAUGGGAAAGAGCCUCAGGGGUGCUCUUGGGAAGAGAAACAUAAGAUAUAGCAGAAACAAAUGCAGAAUAAGGUGAAGAUAAUCAAUGGUAACUUAAAAAAUUGUAAAUGAGAUGAGGAUUACGAGUAUAUCGAUUGCCUUUCCAAAGAGCAAUGGAUAAGUCAGCAGAAGAAGGCAGAGUCGGGGCAGGAGAAGCCGAAUGGAUAGGAAGUGAGUCAGCAGGUACCUCGGCCAAAGAAGGAGGAACAACGACACGAUGACGGCGAUGAUAAACCUGAAGUGGGCAAGAAGGCACUGCAUCAAGUGAGAAGAUAAUGGGAAGGGGUAAGACUUCAGAAACAGGAAGAGACUCAAAGGUGGAGAAGAAUGGUGAGUCCUCAAAGAAAGUGACAUCAGCGGAGAGAAAGUAGCGAUGAGUCUCAGAGGAAUAACAACGAUAACCCUUUUGAAGUCUGGAGUAUCCCAAGAAGAUGCAUUUUGUGGCUUUGGCAGAAUGUUUGUCCUGUCCAGGAGUGAGAAUAUGAACAAAGCAAGUACAACCAAAAACAGGCGAAGGAAGGAAAUAAAGUGGUUGGUCAGGGAAAAGAAGGGAAUGAGGAAUCUGAUCGUGUAAUAUAGAUGAGGGCAUACGAUUAAUCAAAUAACAUGUUGUAAGAACAACGUCCCCCCAAAAACGAAAAGGAACAUUACUAUGGAGAAGGAGAGUACGAGUUGUCGCAACAAGAUGUCGAUUCUUACAUUCAGCUACCCCAUUUUGUUGAGGAGUAUGAGCACAAGAAGACAGAUGAAGGAUCCCAUGUUGGGACAUAAAUGAAGUAAAUGGUGCAAAAAAAUAUUCCCUGGCAUUGUCACUGCGUAACACACGAAUAGAAAUAUUGAAUUGGGUUUGGAUUUCAGCAUAAAAUUUCUGGAAAAUAGAGAAUAACUCAGUUCGAUUUUUCAUUAAAAAUAACCAAGUACAUCGAGAAUAGUCAUCAAUGAAAGUGACAAAAUACUGAAAUCUUAAAGCAGACGCGGUCCGACAAGGACCCCAAACAUCAGUGUGGACAAGUUCNNNNNNNNNNNNNNNNNNNNNNNNNNNNNNNNNNNNNNNNNNNNNNNNNNNNNNNNNNNNNNNNNNNNNNNNNNNNNNNNNNNNNNNNNNNNNNNNNNNNUGCCUUUAGCCACAGUUUGAGAACCAUUAGCUAAGGUAACAGUAGGUAAGGCAAAGGUAGUAGUAAUAGAAGAGAAAAGAUCCUUAUUACCAGAUAUGUGAUCAGAAAUGCCAGAAUCUAGAAUCCAAGGUCCAAGAGAAGAUGUGUGGGUAAGACAAGUAGAAGCAUAACCAGUCUGGGCAACAGAAGCAAUAGAAACUGACUUGGUGGCCUAAUAGAGGAGAUAGUCAUCAUACUCACUGUUAGUGAGGGAAAUACCCUGAGAUGUGGAGGAACUAAGAGGCUGAGGUGGCUGAGGAUCAGAUGACUGGGCCACGUGGGCAGUGCGGGGAGGUCGUCCAUGUAACUAAUAACACUGAUUACGAGUGUGGCCAAGCUUAUUGCAAUAGGUGCAAUGAGGACGUUGGCCUCUACCUCGGUUACCACUGCGUCCUCCUCGAGAGUUAGUUUGAGAAACUACUAUAGAAGAAUCUGAAGUGUUAUCAGAUGGCAAAGUCUAAGUGGAGGAGAUACGGAGGAGGCGAGUAAACACAUCAUCCAAGGAUGGAACGGAGGAACUACCAAGAAUCUAAUCGUGGACGGUCUCAAGAUCUGGACGGAGGCCAAUAAGCGUAAGAACCGUGAAGAACUUGUCAAUCUAUGUUUGUUGAUCCCCCACGAUCAAGAAUUUCUCCUUAAGAGAGGCAAUCUGACCCAUAUAAGUAGAUAAAUCCAUGUCUUGUUGUCUGACAUUGACAAUAGAAGAAGCCACCUUAUAAAGACGUUGAAUAUCAUUCGUGUAUAGCCCUUUCGCCUGAUUCCAAAAUUUAAAGCAUGUUUUGUAGGCCCGAAGAUGAAGCAGAAUCUUAGGAUCAACUGAUUGUCAUAACAUACUACAUAACUGUGCAUCUAUCUUCCUCCAUUGUACUUUGUCAACCUCAGGGAUAUCCGCCCCUACGUAACAAGGUGAUCCUCAUAACCUUGACCCAUAAACCAAAGCUCUACAGAGGCAGACCAAGACAAAUAAUUUUCACUGCCAACCAAUUUCUCCGAAGUAAUCAUAGGAAAUCCAGAUAUAACAGAGGAAAAAAUGAAACUUUUAGUAGCCAUAUCUACUUAUCUAGAGAACAAAAUAUGUUUGGAUCGAAGAGAGCCCUAAUACGACUUCAGAUCACGACUGAAAAAAGAAAAAUCGAGGAUCCGUGGCUGUGAGAGAUCAAAUAGUAAAUAAAAACAAAUGUGGCACUACUGGAAGGGUAGAAGAACACUUUCUAAGACACGUGCAGGGCUCAGGGUGGAGAGGAAGUCACCGGAGGUCAUCGGAAAGGCUAUUUAGAGGGCUAACGGAGACAAAAAACCCAAAAAAAUGCACUUGCAGGGCUCAGAUGGCACAAGCACAGAUGGAGGGUGGCUAGACGGCGUCAGGCGAGGCUGAAGGUGGAAGUGCGUGGUCGAAAAGUGCUCUACGGGCCCUCACGUGUCGGCGUGUGAGGUUCAGGCCGCCGGAGAAGAAACGCACGUGGCCGGCGCGUGACUGAGAAUCUCCCUCCGGUGCUUUGGCAAAACUUAAAGAUCUCCACCUUGCGCACCUUAUGGUAUAGUCAGUGUCGAAAAAGGACUUCGCCGGAAAAAGUCGCCGACGGUGAGGGUUUUCUGAUGGCAGUGAGGGUUUUCUGAUGGCGAUACGGUUGAUCGGAAAGCUUUAGGAGAUGGAAAAGGUGAUCGAAAUGAAACACGGUCACUGAAAGGUUUCCCAGAAUCGAUUCACCGAUAAACCGAAAAUAAUUACGUUUUUUUCUCCUUAGGCUCUGAUAUCAUGUGAAAAAAGAGAAAAAUGGAGAAUCCCUAAUUUUUGUUAUUAAAAAAACUGUUAAUAAUACACAUUGGACUUCGGUAUAUAUACAUGUUAGUGAGACCCACAAUACAAUAAGGAAAGAAAAGGAAAAAUAAAUAAUUGAAAUAACUAUACACUAUCUAACAAUGAGCAAUGUUCAUAGUUGAAUUUUUUUCACAGUAGAGCUUCAUUGGCUUCUUACUAGGAAUUCUUAGGUCUUCAAGCAAUUUCUUCAACCAACGAUGUAAACAAAUACCAUGAGUGGUUGUUUUGAAUUCAACUUUAGUAUUGCUUCUUGGAAUGACAUAUUACAUCCUACUCUUGUAAGUCAUUACGUUUCUUUUUACAAAAGAACAGUUUCCUAAAAUAAUUUUUUUUUUAUAGGUAAAUAAGAGAAUAUAUUAAGAGUGCAAAAAGCGCAUCAUGGUACACGAGAAGUAUACAAGAAGGGCCUAAAGGCUUGCAAGAAGAGAAAAGGAAAAAUAAGCAACAAACCCACCCAAACAACCUAGAAAGCCAAAACUAACCAAUCGCCUCACCAACCCCCACCACUCUCAGCACCCCAAAACAACCCUUAUCUUGGAAUAAUAAACCAAAAAAACCAACAUUUGGAACCUAAAAGCAACCUCAUGCAAUGAAAUCUAUGACCCCAAUACUCCUCCCCUUACCUCUAACUAGCAAAGGAAAGUUUUUGUAAUUUACCAAGCACUUCAAUUUUUGUAUCUCCCUCUCAAGUUGGGAAUUCGAGAUUAGCUUCCUUUCCCCCCUGAUGCAUAGACACCAUGCCCCUUCCUUGUCUCCAUCUUCCUUAAAAGGGAGAAAAUUUUAUUUUCAAAACCCUCGAUUGGCAUCCCACAAGGCUAUUGAAACUAACCAACUUAGAAAAGAGACUAUUGGAAGGAACCUCCUCUUUUAACGGCCGAUUGAAGGAUUUUACCUUUGAAGACACUUGCUCUUCAGACCCGACUACCAAAUCCUUGCCUAAAGUACUUUCCACAAUGAUCUUCAGGCACUCCAAGCGAGACUCAUCUUGAAGCAUCAUUUUGAGGGUUGAAAUCCCACUCCCAAAGGUCCUUUACAAUUCCCUACCUUCAGUUGAGGAUUCUUCUUCUAGUUGCGACUGCCUCCCAUAGACUAAAACAAAGGGCUACCACCUUGUGGCAACCUAACCACGAAUGCAAAGAAGAAAGAAGAGAUCCCUCCCUAAAGUAAUGAGUUUGGCCUACCUAAAAAAGUUGAUGCUUUUGCCAAGAGAACCUCAUCAACUCCUAAAACCCUCUUUUCUAAUCCUUGAGACUUUGCAUGAAGAAUGGGAUUGUCAAAAAAGCCUCUUCUUUCAUUGUUGUUGCCUUUCUCUCCAUUGAACAUAGGGUAUUGAACACCCUUAGAGACCUUGUUAACCUUGCCUAAUAUCCCACUAAUGGGCUUGGGAGGCAUCAUGCUUGAUUCACUUAAAAAAGACCUUGGCCCAUCCUUGUCAGGCCCACUAGCACUUGAACUUGGCCCAUCCUUAGCAAGCUUGCUAGCGCUCCAUUUUAUAUUGGGCAACCUCUUAGCAAAUUUGGGUCAGCCCAAAAAGAAUCCUUUAGCAAGACUAGGAAAAUAAAUCUUUUCUGACGGACAUAAGCCCACUUUGAGUGAGCAAGGGCCACCCUUUGCCUUGUCUUUAGUAGGAAAAAAUCCCAAUGACCCAUCAAGGGCCUCGAAAGGACUCAUAGAGGACUUAGAGCCUUCUUUCCCAACCUGCUCCAACAAAAAGAUGCUGCCACUUUCUCUAGAGAGUGCUUUCACCACCGUAUAGUGCAUAGAGGGACUCAACUUAGAACCCGACACCUGUAAAGCCUCUUUUACAUUCUUUUCUUCAUCCUUCUAAUCUCCCACCCGUGUGUGAACAAACCAUACUCUCUUCCCUGACCUCUGAAUCCUUGUAUCUCUCUUUUGAGACCAUUAACAUCAUCUAUGCUGAUAUUUCCCACCAAAGUUAGAUAUAAAAAACUUUGCCCCAUCCACUACAUGCAACUUUCCUAACACCUUCUACUUGUUGGACUUUAUAAGGAUCUUAGCCUAGGUACAUGAUGUUUCUCCAUCACCUCCCCAUCUAUAGCCAAAAACCACCACAUGCAUCCCGAAACUACCUCAAGGUAUAUGAUAGACUGCCUCAAGGUGUUUAUUUGGAGAGUGUAUGAAUUAGCUCACAACACUCACUAAAUAAGGUAUAUAUGGCCAAUUAUGAGAGAGAUAUAUUAGUUUUCCCACAAACUUCUAAUAGUGUUCUUUGCUAGUACACUUACUCUCUUUUAGUAACCAUAAUUUGCAAGUAGGAUCAAUUGGAGUCUCGGUUGGCUUACACCCUAGAAAUCUAGAUUUUUUGGAGCAAAUCCAGUGUAUACUUCUUUUGUGACACAAAAAUACCUUCCCUUGAUAUAGAAAACUCCAUUCCCACAAAGUACCUCAAGGUUCCUAGAUCUUUGGUCUCAAACUCUUUAUCUAAAAAAUUCUUCAAUCUUUGCUAUCUAGCUGGAUUAUCUCUAGUAAGGAUGAUAUCAUUCACGUACACUAUUAGUAUAGCAAGCUUGCCAUCACUAGAAUGAUUGUAGAAGAGAGUAUGAUUUGCUUGGCUUUGUGAGUACUUGGGCAAUUCCUCCAAGUCCAAAUAAUCUUGCACGAUAUUGCUAAUGCUUUGUGAGUUUUUGAAAGCUUUUGUCAAUUAUGCAAGAUUAUUCGUUACAAGUCUAAUCCUUUAUUCUAAUUUAGAGUGUCGUAUAAUUUCAUUUUCCUCAAUAUUGUUUCUUUGUACCUAGAAAAAUACUCACUAGUUUUUGCAUUUAACACCUGGACCUAUUACUAGGUGAAUGGUCACCUAAGAGACUAAAGAAGAUUAAACCUUUGUUGUUACACCACUCAAUAUACCAUUUUUUCCAACAAGAAAUCAGUUGCUUCUAUAUGUUGGAUUUGCUUAAGUGUUGAUAUGUUCACAAUGUGAUAUGUGAAUGCUUAUUGAGGACACAUGUCAUGAUUACUAUUUUACUAACCUUUACACCAAUUUCAAAAGUAAAAGCAUCUCCUCAUGGCAUGCAUCUUAUGAGUUUGGAUAGUAUUAUAGGAGAAGAUUUCUCUUUCACAAGCAGACUUUGUUUAGAGUAGGUAGAUUAUGGACCUAUCUUUGCUCAUCAAUGAGAUGUUGGAUAAGAAAGUUCACUUGGCCAAGAAGGGGAUGGUAUUUAAGAUAAAUUUUGAAAAGACAUAUGAUCAAGUUGAUUGAGAUUUACUAAACCCUGCUUUGCUCAGAAAAAGUCUGGUUCUAAAUUGACACUUCAGAUUUUAGGUUGCCUAUCUUCGAUUAGUUCUUCUAUGAUAGUGAAUAGUUGUAUGAAAGGUUGGGUAAAGGCUUGUAGAGGGUUCACACAAUGGGAUCUACUUUCUCCUUUUCUCGUUAUUAUAGUAGUAGAUCAGAGGAUAUCUACCAAGAUUAAAUCACACUUUCAAUAUUUGAAAGACUAAUUAAAAGAAAAAAAAAAUUCUUUCAAUGUUCAUAUAGAUAUCAAGACUUACGAUAAAUCUAAUUUAGAGUAUCCUGUUAGGCAUUAGUUUGAAUUAAGACAACUCUUUAGUCUAGCUUCCCUGUUAGGCUGCUGGACCGCGAGGUAGCCCCUCUCUUGUUUAGGGCUUAUUUUGCUUGGGAAUCUCAAGGCUCCUCAGUUUUAGAACCUUGAUUUAGAAAAGGCCUCUUGUAAAACAAAUGGUUGUCAAAGAGCCUCUCUGUUCCUAGGAUGAAGAGCUACAUUUAUCCAGUCUCGUUUGCCUUAUAUUUGUACUGGUUUCCUCUCAGACUAGUAUUCUAGUCAAGAUUGGCUUCUAAGAUUGACAGAAUUUGGAAUUUUUAUUGGUCAAGGAAGGGAAGAAAGAACUUUCUGUUUGUUUGCCUAUCAAAAAAGGAAAGGACAUCUAAUUGGAUGGUAUCAAUUUUAUAGGCUGAGGAAUGAAGGGGAUUGGGGUUUGGAAUGAUUUCUUCAAGGAAUAGAGCCUUUUCUAUGGAGCUAUGCUUGGGCUAGUGACGCUGCAUUCCAUAAGGUAGUCAGAAUUAAUUAUGGUUUGCACUUUGAUGGUUGGGAUACAAACAUUUUGUCUAAUGGUCACAUUAGGGCACAUGGAGAGGAAUUGCACAAGGUUUCUUUAAUUUUCUUAGUAUAUCCAGUUCUUAGUUUGGAAUGACUCUUGAGUUUCUCUUUUGGGAAGAUUUGUGGUGAUUUCAAACCCUCUAUCCUAACAUCUGUUGGUUCCAAGGUCUAGAGAUUCUUUUAGUUCAUCUGCUCUUAAUAUUUUAUCCUCCUUGUGCUGAUACCUUAACUCCUUGGUUUAUUUCUCAGACUAGGAGAGUGGUGAUCUUAUCAGCUUCAUUUCUUUGUUGCUUCUUGUUUAUCUAUCAUCCUCCUUUUCCAUUGAGGAAGUUAGGUCUUGACCCGGCUCUUUAAGGUUUUCCUCUUUGUAGUCCUCCUUAUCUUAAAAGUAUGAGAUUAUGAGCAGUGAUCAACUUGAUGUUGUUUACCAACCUUAAAGAAUCAGACAAGUGGGUUUGAGAAUAGAUAUGAUCAGAUUAGUUCAUGUUGACUAUCAUUGGCGUGUUCAUGUUUUUCCCCUCUCUCACACAAGUAUUUUUAUUUUUUUUAUUUUGCAGUGAUGGAUUCUUUUUUGCUGUGAAGGAGGUUUCAUUGCUUGAUCAAGGGGGCAAGGGCAAACAAAGCAUUUAUCAACUUGAACAGGUGAGAAGAAUGUCUUCUUUUGAAGAAAUGCUCAUCAAAUAUGGUUUAAUCGUUCUUAUUUUUUUAAUAAAAUUUUUUGAACUAUUUUUUUCUUUUUUGUACAUCACAGUUAACCUCAAGCCAAUUGCAUACAUAGGUAUUGCAGUAAAGAGCAAUUGCUCAUCGAUCCGGGCUGUAUUAUCAUGAAAUUCUUUUUCUAAUUCCUUCCUUAUUGGUCCAGGAGAUUUCUCUUUUAAGUCAGUUGGAACAUGAGAACAUAGUUCGGUAUUAUGGCACAAAUAAGGUGUGUUUCUUACGUUGAGUCAGUUUCUUUUGUUUUCUUGUAACAUAUAAUUCUUGGAAUGAGCCGCAUUACAUUUUGUCACCUAUAGCAAACUAAAAUGAAUUUUUCGUCAUUUUUUGUGCCUGACCUUUGAGACAAUGGGUGUUAUGUGCAUUUAUAUGUACCUUUCCUAAUGGCAAUGGGAAGAUCAACAUUAAUGUCAACAUCAUCAUGUGAGUCAAGAGGCGCAAUAUAAUUAUGUACCUCAUUUCUGAGAGUUGGUUUGAAUGUUUGGACUUGCAUGGGUCUAGGUUCAGUCACCCUCUUCCUUGAAUAAACUUGUAGUGGCUUUGUGGUAAUAGGUNNNNNNNNNNNNNNNNNNNNNNNNNNNNNNNNNNNNNNNNNNNNNNNNNNNNUUGAGGUGUGUUGGAAAUUUCUAGAUUUUUUUCAUGACUUUUGGACUCUUUUUGGGUUCAAUUUGAAGGUUCGGAUGGGGAAGAUUUAGGAAAGUCAAGCAAGAACAUGUCCUUAUCUUCCAUAGAUGAUGUUUCCCCUUGAAGAUAAGGAACUGAAAAAUAUCCCUUUGUUUCUACAAAAGUCACAUCCAUGGAGAAGAAAAAAAAUUUCAUUGGAGGAUGGAAACAUUUAUACCAACAAAAACACACUUUAAUGCUCUUGGAUCCAACUUUCCUCAAUGAUAAGCAUGAAUAUGAUCAAACACGGGGCACCCAAACACUUUAGGAGGAAGCUUACUCGAUGUAUUAAAUUGAAGAAAAAAUGUUGUGAACAUUUACAUAAGACUCUUUAAACCCAAAACUCGAGAAGAAACCCUAUUUGUUAAAUGAGUAGCUGUAAGAACGAACUCCUCCCAAUAUGUUUUUGGAACAUUUUUUUGAAACAAGACAGCCUUAGUAACAUUUAGUAAGUGACCAUUUUUCAUCUUGGCUACACCAAUUUGUUAGGGUGAAUCAACACAUGAAGACACAUGAAUAAUUCCCUCUUUUUGAAAAUAAGAUGAAAGUGUUUGAUUGAAAUAAUCCUUUGCAUUGUCCAAUCUAACACGUUUUAUUGACACCCCAAAUUGAUUUUUGACCAUAUUAUGGUAAUUUGGAAAAACAAUGCUCACAUCCAACUUUUGUUUUAAAAGGAAGAUCCAAGUAACACGGGGUUUCUGGGAUAUUGAAAGCUUGUAGACUUUAUUUCCAUCUAUUUGGGACUUCCUGGGUGCUCCCUUGUUCUUGAAAGAGUAAUAGUCACUAGGUUGGGAUGGGAGUGCUAUAAAAAGGAGUUGUAAGAUGAUAUGGAGGGUUAUAUAAGAUUUGGUGGAAACCUUCUCCUUGAAGAUGACGCUGUGGCCAGUGGAGACAACCACUUCAAAUGAUGAAUCACCUGGUUACAGAAAUUUGUAGAAGUGGUUCAUGAAGUCAAUAUAAUGAUUGAUCAAUAAUGUUAAAUUGUGUGGAAGAUGUCUAGAGGAGGUAGAAGACGGUUUAUUGUGGAAUCUAAAGCUUAUGAUCUUGUGAUUGAUGAAGUAGGAGGAAAGCUGAGAGAAUGCAUUUGGGAGAGAUAUAAAGGGCUAUCAUCUUGGAUCAGAUUUGGAGAUGCAAGCCUCAGUAGUCUGCUGGUAGGUGUGGAGUCCUGCUGUAGAGAUAGAGAUGAUAGUAAUUGGUCCCUCGCAUGGGAGAAGGAGGGUAGGAAAUAUAGAUUGGAGCGUCGUACAAAUGAGGCGGGUAGAUUCAUUCUCUGUUCUGUUCGUGAUAGGAGGCAAAAAGGUUUUGCUUAAUUUUUCCCGAACGAAAGAGGCUAUCUGGAGGAUGGAACACNNNNNNNNNNNNNNNNNNNNNNNNNNNNNNNNNNNNNNNNNNNNNNNNNNNNNNNNNNNNNNNNNNNNNNNNNNNNNNNNNNNNNNNNNNNNNNNNNNNNNNNNNNNNNNNNNNNNNNNNNNNNNNNNNNNNNNNNNNNNNNNNNNNNNNNNNNNNNNNNNNNNNNNNNNNNNNNNNNNNNNNNNNNNNNNNNNNNNNNNNNNNNNNNNNNNNNNNNNNNNNNNNNNNNNNNNNNNNNNNNNNNNNNNNNNNNNNNNNNNNNNNNNNNNNNNNNNNNNNNNNNNNNNNNNNNNNNNNNNNNNNNNNNNNNNNNNNNNNNNNNNNNNNNNNNNNNNNNNNNNNNNNNNNNNNNNNNNNNNNNNNNNNNNNNNNNNNNNNNNNNNNNNNNNNNNNNNNNNNNNNNNNNNNNNNNNNNNNNNNNNNNNNNNNNNNNNNNNNNNNNNNNNNNNNNNNNNNNNNNNNNNNNNNNNNNNNNNNNNNNNNNNNNNNNNNNNNNNNNNNNNNNNNNNNNNNNNNNNNNNNNNNNNNNNNNNNNNNNNNNNNNNNNNNNNNNNNNNNNNNNNNNNNNNNNNNNNNNNNNNNNNNNNNNNNNNNNNNNNNNNNNNNNNNNNNNNNNNNNNNNNNNNNNNNNNNNNNNNNNNNNNNNNNNNNNNNNNNNNNNNNNNNNNNNNNNNNNNNNNNNNNNNNNNNNNNNNNNNNNNNNNNNNNNNNNNNNNNNNNNNNNNNNNNNNNNNNNNNNNNNNNNNNNNNNNNNNNNNNNNNNNNNNNNNNNNNNNNNNNNNNNNNNNNNNNNNNNNNNNNNNNNNNNNNNNNNNNNNNNNNNNNNNNNNNNNNNNNNNNNNNNNNNNNNNNNNNNNNNNNNNNNNNNNNNNNNNNNNNNNNNNNNNNNNNNNNNNNNNNNNNNNNNNNNNNNNNNNNNNNNNNNNNNNNNNNNNNNNNNNNNNNNNNNNNNNNNNNNNNNNNNNNNNNNNNNNNNNNNNNNNNNNNNNNNNNNNNNNNNNNNNNNNNNNNNNNNNNNNNNNNNNNNNNNNNNNNNNNNNNNNNNNNNNNNNNNNNNNNNNNNNNNNNNNNNNNNNNNNNNNNNNNNNNNNNNNNNNNNNNNNNNNNNNNNNNNNNNNNNNNNNNNNNNNNNNNNNNNNNNNNNNNNNNNNNNNNNNNNNNNNNNNNNNNNNNNNNNNNNNNNNNNNNNNNNNNNNNNNNNNNNNNNNNNNNNNNNNNNNNNNNNNNNNNNNNNNNNNNNNNNNNNNNNNNNNNNNNNNNNNNNNNNNNNNNNNNNNNNNNNNNNNNNNNNNNNNNNNNNNNNNNNNNNNNNNNNNNNNNNNNNNNNNNNNNNNNNNNNNNNNNNNNNNNNNNNNNNNNNNNNNNNNNNNNNNNNNNNNNNNNNNNNNNNNNNNNNNNNNNNNNNNNNNNNNNNNNNNNNNNNNNNNNNNNNNNNNNNNNNNNNNNNNNNNNNNNNNNNNNNNNNNNNNNNNNNNNNNNNNNNNNNNNNNNNNNNNNNNNNNNNNNNNNNNNNNNNNNNNNNNNNNNNNNNNNNNNNNNNNNNNNNNNNNNNNNNNNNNNNNNNNNNNNNNNNNNNNNNNNNNNNNNNNNNNNNNNNNNNNNNNNNNNNNNNNNNNNNNGAUGGAAAGAUGGCACCCGGAAGUGGGGUGUUUCAGCAAUGGUGUUUUUGCUAGAGAGGUAUGGGUGAGAGUGGUAGGUCUUCCCCUUCAUUUAUGGAAUCGAGAGGUGUUUAAGUUGAUAGGAGAUGGUUGUGGUGGGUUCAUUGCUGUGGACAACAAGACGGAAUCAAUGGCAGAGCUGCAAUGGGUUAGAUUGUUGGUGAAAUCGGUGGGCAGGGACACACUUUCCUCCGUCCAGAUUGUGGAUGAGAUGGGGUGCUUCUCAGUCCAGCUGUGGUGGGAAUUCCCACCUUGGUUCUCUCAGGUGGUGCCGGCGGGAAGUGCUCUCGGGAAAGGGGAUGCAGUGGCUGUAGAAGUUGCAGGGAGUGGGUCUCGUGAAGAGUGUAGAGGAGGUGUGAUCGUGAAGGUUGGACAGCCGAUGGAGCAGAGGGGAGCAGGUGAGCCGCCCUGUGGUAGUUCUUCAAAAGGGAUUUCAGGCUGUCCAUAUGAGUUGGCUGGUAGGGGGCCUGGAAAGGAGGUGACUGAUGGAGAAGACAGCUACGGGAUCAGCAGUCGAGGGGGAGGGAAGUUAGCAAACAUGGGAGGUUUUAAAUCUGGGCCAGCUGCUUGUGUUUUUGGGCCCGAUUGGGAGGCCCAAGCCAGGAGCGGGCUUGGAGAUGGUGGUCUUAAGUCAGAAUUUGUGGGAUUCCAGACGUUUGGGCCAGAUUGUGAGCCCAGGCCCAUCACCUUAAAAGGGUGGGUAAUGGGCUGCGAGGAAAGGCCUUUCCUCAUAAAGGGGUCGAUCGAGGGCUGCGAAGGGAGGGCCGACAUAGGUUUUGAACCGGUGUUGGGGGGAUUAAGAGAAAAUAGGGCUUCUCCUCGUGCCGAGGUCGGGGGGAUGGAGAUUAGGGCUUCGAUGGAAGCUUCGGGUGACCAAGUUAAGGAAGACGGGGGGAUCGCUUGCAUCCUUGGAGGAGAUUGGAGGGAUUCCGAGUCUCUAAUGGCGAAGGCGAGAGCGCGAAUGUCCGAAGAAGCGCUGCUAGCUGAAGCAUCCAGGUACGAGCCCGUCAUCGAUGUUCUUGGGGGGGAUCAGGUCCACUUCUCUUCUUCUUCUCUUUCUGGGUGCGAUCGGGCUAUGGUGGUGGGGGUUGUUAGGGAUCCGGUAGUUAUUGACGAAGGAGAUGGGUAUCAUGCUCCGUUGCGAGCGUUGUUGACUGAUGGCAGGCCGUGGGAAACGGGUACAAAGGGGGGAAAGAACAGGGGAGUCAGGUCAAAGGAGAGUGAGGAUCUGGAGGAAGAAGAGGACCAGGGCAGCGGUUGGGAUGACAGUAGCUUGGCUAAGUUUAGCAAGUCUUUGGGAUUCUCGACAGUUGGUGUUGAGGGGGAAGUUCUUAAACUUCUGUUAAGGCUGAAAUCAAGGAGGGAUCAAGGCAAGAAGAAAGGAAGUUCAGGGAUGACUAGGUUUGAUAGGGAAGUGAAAAAAUUGGAAUGGUCGAUUAAUUAUGAAGGAGAAAGCAGGAAGAAAGGCUCAGAUAGAAGAAACGGGGACAGAGCUCUGUGCCUCAAAUGAAGAUUAAAAUCCUAUCUUGGAAUGUCCGGGGGGUGAAUGACAGAAAUAAGAGGAGUUCAAUUAAGGCCUUAAUUAGAGCCCAAAAAGUGGAUUUGGUAUGCCUGCAGGAGACCAAAAUGUCUCAGAUGUCUCUAGGGGUGGUGAGAAGUCUUGGUGUGGGGAGAUUUUUAGAUUGGGGAGUUCUAAAUGCGAGAGGGGCAGCUGGAGGGGUGUUGGUUUUUUGGGACAAAAGAGUGCUGGAGCUGGAAGGGAUGGAGGUAGGUCUUUUCUCCGUCUCCUGCCGGUUCAAGAACUGUGAAGAUGGUUUUAAUUGGAUUUUUUCAGGAGUGUAUGGCCCUACAGUAAAGAGAUAUAGAGAGCUGUUUUGGGAAGAGUUAGGGGCCAUCCACGGGCUAUGGAGCGAUCCUUGGUGUAUCGGAGGUGAUUUCAAUUUAAUUAGAUUUCCGAAUGAGAGCAGAAAAGGGGGAAGAUUGUCUUCUUCAAUGAGAAGAUUCUCGGAAGUGAUUGAUGAAUUGGAUUUGAGGGAUCUUCCCCUUCAGGGGGGUCCAUUCACCUGGAGUGGAGGCCUGAAUAAUCAAGCUAUGACCAGGUUAGACCGUUUCUUGGUGUCGGAGGAUUGGGAGGAUCACUUUAAGGGGGCGGUGCAGUGUACCCUCCCUAGGCCUGUGUCCGACCACUUCCCUAUUCUAUUGGAUGGGGGAGGGGUUAGAAGAGGUCCUAUUCCUUUUCGGUUUGAAAAUAUGUGGCUUAAGGAGGAGGGAUUUAAGGAUCUGUUGAAGGGGUGGUGGCAGAGUCUAAGCUUUAAUGGCUCGUUUAGCUUCAUCCUUGCUGAGAAGUUGAAGGCGUUGAAGGCUAUUCUAAAGUCGUGGAAUAAGGAGGUUUUUGGGCAGGUGGGUGUCAAUAAGAAAGUGGCCCUGGACAAGGUAAAUUUCUGGGAUGGUCAGGAGAAGCUUCGCCCCUUAUCUUUGGAGGAAUUGGAAACUAGAAAGGCAGCAAAGGGGGACUUCGAAAAAUGGGCCCUAAUGGAGGAGGUUUCUUGGAGACAAAAAUCAAGAGAAGUUUGGCUUAGGGAGGGGGAUAGAAACACAGGCUUUUUUCACAAAAUGGCUAACUCCCAUAGAAGGAGAAACUGCCUGUCCAAGAUUAAAGUUGAUGGAGUAUGGCUAACUGAGGAGCAGGAGAUAAAGAGGGGUGUGGUUAGAGCCUUAAAGGACCAGUUGACUGACCCGGGGGGCUGGCACCCCUCUAUGGAAGGUCUGGAUUUUAAUAGAAUUGGUGAUGAGGAUGCAGCUGGUCUGGAGGAGGUGUUUUCAGAGGAAGAGGUCCUCAAGGCUCUUUCAGACCUGAACGGGGACAAAGCUCCGGGUCCAGACGGCUUCCCCAUUAGGUUUUGGCAAUUUUGUUGGGAUGUUGUCAAAGAAGAGAUUAUGGGUUUUCUGUUAGAGUUUCAUGAGCGCGGCAGAUUCGUUAGGAGCCUAAAUUCGACCUUCCUGGUCCUAAUCCCAAAAAAACCUGGAGCCGAGGACCUUAGAGACUUCAGACCGAUCAGCUUGGUGGGCGGAUUGUAUAAACUGUUGGCAAAAGUAUUAGCCAACAGACUUAAGAAGGUAGUGGGCAAAGUGGUGUCUUCAGCUCAAAACGCUUUUGUUGAAGGAGGACAGAUUCUUGAUGCUGCCCUUAUUGCCAAUGAGGCAAUAGAUUCUCUGUUGAAACGAAACGAGUGUGGAUUGUUAUGUAAAUUGGAUUUAGAGAAGGCAUACGAUCACAUAAAUUGGAACUUUUUGAUGGUUGUAUUGCAAAGCAUGGGAUUUGGGGAGAAGUGGAUUGGGUGAAUAUCCUGGUGCAUCUCUACAGCAACGUUUUCAGUUUUGAUCAAUGGCACCCCGAAAGGCUACUUCAACAGCUCAAGGGGGCUGCGGUAGGGGGACCCCAUAUCUCCUUACCUAUUUGUGAUAGGAAUGGAGGCCCUUAGCAGGCUGAUCCAUAGAGCAGUGGAGGGAGGGUUCCUUUCAGGCUGUAGGGUUGAUGGAAGGGGUGGGAAUGGGGCCUUAGUCUCUCAUUUGCUGUUUGCCGACGACACAUUAGUGUUUUGUGAAGCUUCUGAAGAUCAGAUGGUCCAUUUAAGCUGGUUGUUGAUGUGGUUUGAAGCCAUAUCAGGUUUGAGAAUCAACUUGGACAAAAGCGAAAUUUUACCGGUUGGUAGAGUGGAGAAUUUGGAAAAUUUGGCUCUUGAGGCUGGCUGUAAAGUGGGUAGGCUGCCUUCUUCUUAUUUGGGGAUCCCUUUGGGGGCGAACCACAAGUCGGUGGCUGUUUGGGAUGGAGUGGAAGAGCGAUUUCGGAAACGGCUGGCCUUGUGGAAGAGGCAAUUUAUUUCCAAAGGAGGGAGAAUUACUCUAAUUCGGAGUACAUUGUCAAGCAUGCCUAUAUACUUGAUGUCCUUACUCCGAAUGCCAAGAGUGGUGAGUCUAAGGUUGGAGAAAAUUCAAAGGGACUUCUUGUGGGGAGGGGGUGCUUUGGAGAGGAAGCCUCACUUAGUUAACUGGGAUACUGUUUGCAUGGAUAGAGAUGGGGGUUUGGGANNNNNNNNNNNNNNNNNNNNNNNNNNNNNNNNNNNNNNNNNNNNNNNNNNNNNNNNNNNNNNNNNNNNNNNNNNNNNNNNNNNNNNNNNNNNNNNNNNNNNNNNNNNNNNNNNNNNNNNNNNNNNNNNNNNNNNNNNNNNNNNNNNNNNNNNNNNNNNNNNNNNNNNNNNNNNNNNNNNNNNNNNNNNNNNNNNNNNNNNNNNNNNNNNNNNNNNNNNNNNNNNNNNNNNNNNNNNNNNNNNNNNNNNNNNNNNNNNNNNNNNNNNNNNNNNNNNNNNNNNNNNNNNNNNNNNNNNNNNNNNNNNNNNNNNNNNNNNNNNNNNNNNNNNNNNNNNNNNNNNNNNNNNNNNNNNNNNNNNNNNNNNNNNNNNNNNNNNNNNNNNNNNNNNNNNNNNNNNNNNNNNNNNNNNNNNNNNNNNNNNNNNNNNNNNNNNNNNNNNNNNNNNNNNNNNNNNNNNNNNNNNNNNNNNNNNNNNNNNNNNNNNNNNNNNNNNNNNNNNNNNNNNNNNNNNNNNNNNNNNNNNNNNNNNNNNNNNNNNNNNNNNNNNNNNNNNNNNNNNNNNNNNNNNNNNNNNNNNNNNNNNNNUGGGAGGCUGCUUGGGGUAAGGUGCUUACUAUGGACCAGCUUAAAAAGAGGGGUUGGGCUGUUGCUAACAGAUGUUUUAUGUGCUGUGAGGAAGAGGAGUCAAUUGAUCAUAUCCUUAUUCAUUGCUCUAAGGCAAGAGCCUUAUGGGAUUUAUUGUUCGCCCUUUUUGGAGUGUGUUGGGUCCUCCCUUAUUCGGCUAGAGAGACCCUUAUUGAAUGGAGGGGCUUUAUGUUGGGCAAGAAGCAUAGAAAGGUGUGGAAGGCAGCCCCGUUGUGCCUCUUUUGGGCGGUUUGGAUGGAAAGAAACAGGAUUGCUUUCGAUAAUGAGGACUUUUCGGUUCAUAGGUUGAAGAAUUCUUUUGUUUGUAAUCUUUGGGUGUGGACAAAAUCAAUUGUAAAUGUAGAUCCUCUCACUUUACCUAGUUUUCUUGAUUGGCUAGGAGCUAGAUGAGGGUCGAGUUUGUUUUCCUUUCUCUUGGGUGUGCUUUAAGGGUCCUUUGUAUACUCCCUGUAUGCUUUGGGCUUUCCUUUUGGUGCCCUUUUCUAAUAUAAUUCUGUUUUUGCCUAUCAAAAAAAAAAUAAUCAUCAAUAAACGAAACAAACCAACAAACUCCCAAAAUAUUAGGAACUCGUGAUGGGCCCAAAUAUCAUUGUGAAUUAAAGCAAAAGGAAAUUAUGAUCUUUUGUUGCUCAAAGGAAAUGGGGCACAAUGAUGUUUUGCAAAUUCACUAACAUUACAAUGAAAAGUGUCUACAUCAAUAUUCUUAAAAAGUAAAAGGAACAUGACCUUAAAUAUAUUAAAUGAAGGGUGGCCAAGUCGAAAGUGAUAAAGCUAAAUUUGGUCUUGAUUUGAAGAAGAGGACUCAGAUAAAAAAGAAAGAGGUAGUUGAUUCCCAUUGCCAACAUUGCCACUACUUGUAUCAAGGUAGUAGAGUUCGUUCUUUUCCUUAACAUGCCCAAUCUUCUCUCCCAAAACUCGGUCCUGAAAAACACAAUGAGUAGGGGAAAAGAUAACUCUACAAUUCAUAUCUUUUGUGAGUUAAUAAAUGGACACAAGGUUGGUUGAAAGCUUGAGAACAAGUAAGACAUUUUUAAGACUCAAAGAAAGGUUUACAUUGACCAUUCCCAAACCUGCAACAGUAGCUAAAGACCCAUCAGCAAUGGUUAUUUUCUUAUUGCUAGGACAUGGAAUAUAUGUGCUAAAUUUUUCUGAUGAAUGUCAUAUGCUCAGUAGCUCUUGAGUCAAUAAUCUAAGAGCUUGACAGGGACAUAGCUGAGACACUAAAAGCAUGAGAGAAAGGAGACUUACAUGAAUGUGCGAGAGAGCAAACACCCAUAGGUUUCUCCAAUGAACCCAAUUUUUUUUUCAUCUUUUCAAUGUCCUCCUAAUUCAAUUCUCCAAGUUUCGUGUUGUUGUACUUUGAUUGUUCUCUUUAGAAUUAUUAGCAUCAUCUACAUACACUUGGCUUCACUGUUGUCCCCCUUUAAAACCACUAGCACAGUUGAUACCCAUGGUUUACCAUAAAGUUUCCAGCAUGUCUCUUUUGUAUGCUGCGGUUUUUUACAAUAUGUGCACCAAACAUUGUCCUUAUUCUUAGAAAAAUCACAUAUGCCACUGUCAUUAUUGCCACCCUGUCUCGGGUUUAGGCCUUUGAAAUUACUAUCUCUUGGUUUUGAUGUAGCAAGGGCUGAACCUUCAGCUAGUUGAGAAUCAAUCAUAACACCUCAUCAUCCUUCCUCUGCUCGAAUAAUGGAAAACACCUCAUUAAUGGAUGGCAAAUCUUCCUUUCCUAAGACUUGAACUCAAACUUGAUCAAAUUCAAUUUAAGGCAAGUAAGAAACUUGAAAAUGUGCUCCCUUUCAACAAACUUUCUUAACAUUGCAUCAUCUUCACUACAUUUCAUUUGAAGAUUUUGGUAAUAAUCCAUUUCUUGCCAAAGACUUUUCAAGAGAUUAUAAUAUUCAAUGACCAAUCUUGUUCCUUAUUUAGUAGUUGAAAUUUUUUGCUUAAUUUUAUAGAUUUGAGACGCAUCACGUAUUUUAGAAUAAGUUUGUCUUAUUGUCUCCCAAAUCUCUUUAGCUGUGGUGAGAAACAUACAAGUGCCACUGAUUUCAAGCAACAUAGAAUUCCAUAACCAUGACAUGAUCAUGGAAUCCUCUUCAGCCCAUUGGUUGAACUUCAGAUAUUCAGGCUAUGGACCUAUGUCAAUUAGAUGACUUAGUUUGCCUUUCUCUUUCAAAAAGGUUUGCACUAGUUGAGACCAUUGGGGAUAGUUUCGGCCAUUCAACCGAUACGCUGAAUUGAUAUUCUAUAACUCUCCAAUGGUUUGAUGAGGCAAAGUUUCACCAAAGACGGCUAUGGGUGUGGCAGAAGUCUCAGACAUGUCAGACAUGGUGAAAUCCCAAAAAUUGCAAGUAGAGAUUGAAGCAAGAGAACGGAUGAAAGAUGAAAAAUGAAAUAAACAAAACACACACCAAUGAAGGCCGAAAGAAUUAGGCUUGAAAUUAACAACGAAGGCUGAAAAACUUGAACUAAAAUCAGCAAUGAAGGUUGAUGAAGAAUGUCCAAAGUGGCUUUGAUAUAAUGUGGGAGAAAGUGGUAAAAAAUUCUUAUUCAAUCAGCUGUUACAAUCCUAAUUUAUAUCCUAUAUUUACAAAGAAAUUUAAGGAAAAAAAUAAACUAAUAAUCCCUAUAAAUCAUGACAAUCCAUAUAAAUCAAGGAUUAUUCUUCCUAAUCUAAUAUACAGCUAUAUACACUUUCUUAAUCUAAUUUACAGUUAUAUACAAUUACAUAAAUGUAUACAAGAGACCCCAAUUAAGAAAAUUCAGAUUUCUAACAUUGCAUAUGUACUAUGUACCUUUUUUUUUUCCCUAUGGGUAAAAUAUGAGAAUAUAUUAAAGGGUGCAACAAUGCACAAACCUAAUAUACAGAAAGCGCUCAAAGGUAGAAUGAAAGCAAAGAGAACAACAUGGGAAAACUAACCAGACACACCACCUAACACCCCAGAAAAUCAGAUUGUUCCUAGCCAACUCUCAAGCUCCCAAAAAGUGUCCUGUGUACCUUAGGUGAGCUCUUUCUUUGGGUGCUUUGUUAUAUAAUAUUAUCAUUGCCUAUCAAAAAAGCACCAUCUUAUGGCUUUCUUCAACCCAUGGGUUAUAUAAUUCACUGUGUAAAUGAUCAAUAGCUAAAUUUUUCUUUUUCUUUGGGGGGAAUUUUCAUCUUUCAUGUUGUCAUUUAAGUAUUUCUUCCUUUAUGAUCUGGCUCUAAUUUUCCUUUAUGCACUUGAUCUUUCCAGGAUGACUCUAAACUUUAUAUCUUCCUUGAGCUUGUGACGAAAGGUUCACUUUUAAGCCUUUAUCAAAAGUAUCAUUUGCAGGAAAGCCAAGCCUCGGUCUACACAAAGCAGAUUUUAAAUGGUUUGAAAUAUCUACAUGAGCAAAAUGUAGUUCACAGGUGAUACAAAUGAUCUUACUGCUUAAUUGUUUGGUCAUAUUUAUCUAUAUAUUUAUUUCUGUUUUCUUGUUUUCUCAGCAUUUUUUUUUGAUGUAUUGCUUUGAACAUGUUUUGAUUAUUUCCGUUCUCUUGCCUUAGCCACCAAGAUGUCGAAUUAAUAUGCAUGAACUACACAAUACCUGGAUGCACAGCUUGCUUACCUCGAGAAAAUCGGUUCACUCUAUUGUGGAAGUUUUCCUGUUAUUCGAUUUUUUUUUUCCCAUCCUUGCUGCAAUGUUUCCAAAUUGAAAUUCUCAAUCUUAUUGGAGAGUGUAGUUGUUGCCAUUUGCUAUUUAGAGUUAUUAAUGAUUUUAUACUUUGUUUUACGAUGUUAUGAUGCCAGAAAUAGGUCAGAUUUAGCUGAGAAUGGAAAGGGGAACACACACACACACAGUGGACAUAUGUUCACCUCUGAUAACAGAUUUAUACUUUCUCUGACAUGAUAAUUGCACCUGCCCUCUUUCAGAAAAAGCAAAAGGGGGAAAAAGGAGUUGAAGGCAUGGAUGUUAAUCAUCUUCAUUUUGACAUAACUGUAAUGAGAUUAAUUUCUAUUCAAAGACUUGUGAGAAUAUCUUGAAGUUGUUCUGUGGACUUAACAUUUUGAGUGAUAAUUAAGUAUAGAGCACAGUAUAUCCCAAUAAGCUAUUCCUCUCCUAAAAUAUAUCGUUUGUUAUAUUUCAAGUUGUGAUUUGGUUUAUCUUGUAACAACUUCAUUUGUGAAUUACCUACAAGGAACCCCAUCUCCAUCUCUAUUUGAGUUGCAUCAUGCAGUUAGCUGCAUUGAACAUCAAUUUGUAUUCUGUCAAUGCUGGGUCUUGCUUGCAUCCAUGUCCACCUUUUUACUUUCCUAGGUGACUGCAUUUUAUUUCCCUUCAAGGAGUGAAUUAUAAGAGGAAGAAGCACUUUCUCUCUCACUUAGUCUAUCUUUCCCUCUCUCUGCAAAGAAUCUCAUCUUCAUUUGACUCAUUCUCAAUCUCCCUUCAUGGGAACUUUCGAACCUUGAAAUGGAAUUGAAAAUUGUUUGAUAUCUCUCUCUCUCCCAUUCUCCCUGCCCUUAUUUCUCACUCUCCCUUGGCCCCUUUCUUUCCCUAUUUACUCAUUUUCAACCUCCAUAGGAUAUUCUGAAAUUUGAAAUGGAAUUCUUUUCUCACUUUCACUAUGCCCUCUGCUUCCCCAAUUCCCUUAUAGAUUCAUUGUUGAUCUCCCUUCAUAGGAACUCUUGAAACGUCAAAUGGAAUUGAAAAUUUUUGGAUCUCUCCCUCUAUCCUGCAUGCUUCCUCACCCCCCUCUCUCUUCCUUUGCUACCUCCUUCUAUUGACUCAUUCUCAAUCCCCCUUCAUAGGAACUUUUGAACCCUGAAAUGGAAUUGAAAUUUUUUGGAUCUUUCCCUCCCCUUCUCGCUCCCCCUCUCUUCCUCUUCCCUCAUUGACCCGUUCUCAAUCUCUUUUCAAGAGAACUUUUGAACCUUGAAAUGGAAUUAACAAAUUUCUUGGCUCUCUUCCUCUCCUCUUUCCCUCUCUCCGUUUUUGUGAGUGUUUAGCUAGGUUGGCAAUUCCGGACAAAAUUCCUAAGUGUCCCCUAACUCGGCUUUCCUAUUCCUAUUCGGACUACUUGACUUUGAAGACUAAGACUUUGCUAAGAGGCCGAGGUAUGUAGUCAAGUGUGUGGUGAUUGGAUGUGAAUCAACCCGGUUUUUAAUCUUUAAAUGUGUUAGAAAGUUGGGAAAAAUGGUUUUUGGUGCAAGGCUUUCAUUCCUCUGUUUCUGGAUCGAUCCAGGUGUAGGGGUGGAUCUAUCCAACUAAUGUUUUUUUUAUCAAAUCUCAGCCAUUAGAUUAAGGGUUUCUUUUUACACUUUAAAAACCAAUCUUCUCUCAUUUUCUGUGUAGAGAGACUGCUGAAAACGUGGGGAGAGCAGCCACACUCCAAGUGUUCUUCAUUUUCUCAUUUUUGCUUUCCUAAUUUGGGGUUUUUGAUUGCAAAGAAAAUCCACUUCUCUUAAUGUUUUCCAAACUAGUUUUCAAUGGAUUUUUUUGAGCAAUAAAUGGGUUGAUUCAUUACUUCAUUCACAUCUCAAUCUCUCAUUCUAUUUGGGUUUGUGCAAAAACCCAUUUUCUUCUUGUGUGGAUUCAAGAAAAGGCCGAGAUUGAGCUUGGUGCGGACUCCAAGUGUGCUCCAAAAAGAGAAGCUGAAAAUGAAGGUACUAGUCAAGUAUUCCGGGAAGGAUUGGUUGGCUUGAGUUAGGUAAAACCUUGUACUCAGUUUUUAUUCUUCAUAGUGGAGUUUUCAAUCGGUGAUAGGCCUGUGGUUUUUGAUCUCUUCAGAGGUUUUCCACGUUAAAAAAUCCGGUGUUCAUUGUCUCUUUCUCUCACUCUAUAUUUUUAUUUAUUUUUGAGGAGUGUUGAAGCAUUUGCAUGUGUUUUGCAUUUAUAAAUUGUUGGGAGAGUGUUGAUGCAUACAUUAUUGCUUGUGGAUGUUUUGCUUUGUUGAAAAGUUAUUGGAAGAAAAAAUUCUUGACAUUAAGAUAGUCUAAGGUUAGGUAAUCUUUGUUGGGAGAAUUUUUAAAUUGUUCUACAACACCUAUUCACCCCCCUCUAGGUGUAGUUCAUUAUUGAGAUUCACAUUUUCAGUUUUCUUCCCCAACUAACUUAAUUUUAAUCUCUCUUCAUGUUUUGAACCAUGAAAAGCAACUCCUCUAUCUCUUUUUCCCCUUCCCUCCACCCCUUCCUUUCCUUAUUGAUUCAUUCCCAAUCUUCCCCAUUAGGAACUUUUGAACCUUGAAAUGGAAUUUAAAAAUUUUGGAUCUCUCCUCCCCUUUGUCCUAACCCACUUUUCCUCUCUCCCUAUUGACUCAUUCUCAGUCUUCCUUAACGAGAACUCUGGAAACUUGAAAUAAAAUUAACGAACUUUUCUCUCUAUCUUCCCCCUCGUCCUCUCUUCCCUUGAUUAGCUCAAUUUUAUCUAUGUUCAUGUUUUGAAUCAUGAAAAGAAGCUCCGUCCUCUUCUCCCUCAGCUUUGCUUCUCUUCCUUUUCUCUUUCCUUUUGUUCCUGACUGCUUUGAUCAUAAUCUCCUUCAUAAGAAAUUUGGAACCAUGCCAAGCAACUUCUCUCUUUGCCUUCCCCCUUUCCACCGCAACUCUCUGUCCAUUCCUCCUAGUGCAACUGACUCCACCCAAUCUUCUUGUAUGGAAACUUUUGAAUGAUUAAAUGUUUCUCUCUCCCUCUGUCCUGUCAUCUCCUUGCAUAAUGUAAACAUAGUAUUACCUCACUUCCUUCCUUCCAUCUUGCAGCAACUGACUCAAUCUCAAUCUUCCUUCAUGAGAACUUUUGAACACUUACAUCUCUCUCUGUCUCUCUCUCUCGCUCUCUCUCUCUCCCAUGUUGAUCUUGAAUAUGUAAACAUAGUACUUAUGGAGGGAAAUACAAGUUCUAAAUCUAUGUUGUUGUUUGCACCAUAGUUGACUACAAAUCUCCAAUCAAGUUCACUAAAUGACUGUCAUACAACCAAAGGAGCAAGUGUUGUGUGAAUAGUGUGGCUUAGAAUAGGAAAUAUCUAUUGGGUGAGGUGUAAUUGCAAUGCUUUUGUGCAAUAAUCACAAGGAUAGAACUAUGGAUUUGUGUGUGUGUGGUGAUGGUGGUGGGGGGGGGGGGGGGGAAAAAAUGAAAAAUUUGAAAACACAAUUUUUUGAAUAUUUUUCUUAAUUAUAAAUUUUUUUUUUUUUUUUUUUUGUUCUAAAAAUAAUCUUUUUUCUUUCAUUUUCAAGGGAAAUCCAAAGGGCAAAAAUAUUGGGGGAAGUACAUGGAUCUGUGAAAAUUGCGGAUUUUGGAUUGGCAAAGGUUGUUUNNNNNNNNNNNNNNNNNNNNNNNNNNNNNNNNNNNNNNNNNNNNNNNNNNNNNNNNNNNNNNNNNNNNNNNNNNNNNNNNNNNNNNNNNNNNNNNNNNNNAAGGACCAAGUGUUGUGUAAAUAGUGUGGCUUAAAAUAGAAAAUUUUUUUUGGGUGAGGUGUAAUUCCAAUGCUUUUGUCCAAUAAUCACAAGGAUAGAACUAUGGAUUUGUGUUUGUGUGGUGAUGGUGGGGGGGGGGGGGGGGGGGAGAAUAUGAAAGAUUUGAAAGCACAAUUUUCUGAGUAUUUUUCUUAAUUAUAGAUUUUUUUUUUUUUUUUUUUUGUUCUAAGACUAAUCUUUUCUCUUUCAUUUUCAAGGGAUAUCAAAUGUGCAAAUAUAUUGGUGGAUGUACAUGGAUCUGUGAAAAUUGCGGAUUUUGGAUUGGCAAAGGUUGUUUUCUUCAGUAGAGUUACAAUCUCCAUUGUUUCUAAUUGCUGAAUGAUGUAACAUAAUAUUUCUUGUUGUUUAUCUUCUCAGGCAACCAAAUUGAAUGAUGUAAAAUCUUGUAGAGGAACACCAUUCUGGAUGGCCCCAGAGGUUUGCUUCCUCCCUUUUGAUAUCUUCAUUUUUAUGAACAAUUCAUGUUCUGAAUUGGAUUGAGAACUAUAUUUACUCAACUGACUUUCAGCAUGCUUGUGAUGCAGUCUCUGGAACCAUCUUUAGUAAGCGUUUUAUUCAAAAAAAGAAGUGAUAUAACUCAACUAAAUUAUGGAGUAGUUCAGUUUUUUCUUGGAAAGCUGUUUCUGUCAAUUAAUUGAUUAGUUUUUAUUUUUUUCAAACUGUUGUUCGGAGCUAAGGGAGACUUAGCUGAUGUCAUCUCUUAUUAGCAUUUUUCUAUCAAUGCAUUUAGAUUUACCAUCAUGUAUGAGGUGUUAAUAAUUCCACACAACCAGCUACCAAUGCACUCACGUUAGUAGAUGUAUGGAACUGCGGAAUUCUCAUAUUAGUCUAAAUUGGUGAUUUCUUUUCUGAGAGGUGGAAGCCUUGGCUUCAUUAUUUGUUAUGGGAAAAUUAGUCUAAUACAAGAAGAUUAAUAUAAGGAUUCUGCAAUUAAGUCCUAGUUAAUUUACUCCAUUGCCAUCCUUAUAACCGAUUUUUUUUUUAAAUGUUUUUUUUAGAUUUUAAUUUAAUAUUUUUUUGUUUCUUUUUAAAAAAAAUUAAUUCUUAAUUUUUAUUUUUUGUGAUAGAUAAUAUGUCUUUUUCUCUUUUUCCUUUUCCCUUUUUUUUGGGUUCCUAUUGGUACUCUAAACCUGGAAGCUCUCACAUCCUCCCCACCAACCCCUUGAGGCCUUACCACCUGAUUGGGCCUUAAGAUCAACCAAUGAGGUAAUUGGUCCCACCAAACCUAUAAUCAAUCUUGUUAUUGCUUCCUAUAUUUUGCAAUCUUUUGUCAGAUUUGUUUUGAAGUUGGAGAGCUAUCAGUUUUAGUCAUGGAAAACAUAUAUUCAUAUUAAAGUGUAAAAAAUUUACUAACAAGUGAGGCCAGCAUUAGGAAAAUUAUUCAUCUCUAAAGGGGGAGGUUAACUCUCAUCAAGAGCACUUUAUCUAGCAUUCCUAUUUAUUUUAUGUCUUUGUUCCAUAUUCCGAGGAUAGUUAGAUUGAGGUUGGAGAAAAUUGAGAGGGAUUUCCUAUGGGGAGGUGGAGGGUUGGAGAAAAUGAUACAUCUUGUGAAGUGUGGUCCACUAUGUGUUUGGAGAAAAGCAAAGGCAGGUUAGAGGCUCAACAUCUCUUUGUUAAAUAAGGCGCUUUUGUGCAAAUGGAGUUGGCGGUAUGCCAUUGCAAGAGGUGCCUUUUGGACAUGAUUGAUUAGUGGCAAAUAUGGAGAGGAAGAGAGUGGGUGGUGUUUUGGUGAAGUUAGAGUUGGGUAUGGAGUUGUGCUUUGGAAAUCCAUUAGGAAGGAACAAAACACUUUCUUGGGCUUUUUUUCCUUUUGUAGCGGGUAAUAGGAGGAGGAUGAGGUUUUGGAUGGAUAAGUGGUGUAGGGAUGAACCGUUGUAUAUUUCCUUCUCUUCUUUAUAUACCUUAGGUGUUGCAAAAGAGGCUUGGGUGGUAGAUCUUUGGUUUCAACAUGGGGAGAGAGGUCAUUGAAACCCUUGUUUCUCAUGUUCUUUGAAUGAUUGGGAAGUGGAUGAAGUUGAGGAUUUAUUUUUCAAGUUGCAAGGAAAGGCAGUUUAUAAAGAGGGGGAAGAUAAGUUGGUGUGAAUGAACUUGUACAAUAAUAAGUUCUCAGUGAGUCAUUUAUAUGUUGAUUUGGAAUUGGAGGUUGUUAUGUUAUUUCCAAGGUGGGUAGUUUGGAAUUCAUGGGUCCUUUGAAAGUUAACUUUUUUGCAUAGGAGACGAUUUGGGGAAAAUUUCUAGUUUUAGAUUAGCUUAAAAAAAAAGGGUAGUCUUUGGUCAAUAGGUGUUUUCUUUGCAAAGAAGAAGAAUCCAUAGAUCACAUCCUCCUUUGUUGUUCUCUGGUUAGGAUUCUUUGGCAAUUGUUGUUUGAUCUCUUUUGUAUUCAUUGGGUGCAAGUUGUUAUAGUAAAGGCAACUCUUUUAGGGUGACACGUUUCUUUUGUGGGCAAAAGGAGGAAAAAGGUUUGGAGAGCAACUCCUUUAUAUCUAUUUUGGAUGGUUUGAAAGGAAAGAAAUCUUAGGUAGUUUGAAAAUAAAGAGCAUUCAGCUCAGUUUUUUAAGAUGGUUUUUUUAAGAAAUUUGUUUUCUUGGGUAAAGUUGUAUAUAGAGAUUGAUUCUGUCUUUACUUGAUUUUAUUGAGUGGUCGGGUUCUAGUUAAGGGAGGGGGUUGUUGGGGUUCUUUUCUUGUUUUUGUGCUAGGACACUUUUUGUAUACAUCUACUUUGGAGUGUCUUUGUGGCGUUUUUAUUUUUUAAUGCAUUUGGUUUUAUUUAUGAAAAAAAAUAAAAAAAUUAUGCUGGCAAUCAGCCCUUGCAUUGUUCAAGUGCUAAAGUUUGAUAAUUCCAUGUAAGAGCACACCAUAAAUUUGAAAAAAUAAAAAUUAAACAAAAACAAAAUGGUAGCAAUUCAAUAAGCAGCCUAGCAUCCUCUUGGCCACACCCUUUAGAGCAACCUAACAAUUUUGCAUUAUAGAACUACCAUAUCCUCUAGUUCACUUGAUUAUUGAUUUGGAUGGGUUUGUUAUUAAUACUUGUAACACCCAUAACAAAGUUAUAGCCAGACUAUGGCAUGUUGGAGUUGGCUGACAAGCAUGAGCAUGGUAAUAUUUCAGGGAACAAAGUUCAAGUUUAACUACUUGCAACACUCUUUCAACUUUGUUGUUUCUUUCAUUCAUGGAUAUUUGCUAGUUUCUUCAGGAAGCAUAUUUAACUGUUUUAAGUGGUUAUUGGAAUCUUGGAGUAUAUUUGGUGUUAAGUCCCAAAAUCUGGACUCUUUAACCUUUUUAAGCCCUAUAAAGAUGUUAAAACCAUGGAUCUAUGAAUUUUCAAUAACAGUACGACAUUUUAUUCAAAAAUCAUGUAGCAGUUGGGAUUCAUAACUCAAACCCCAAGUUUAAAUCUAGGCAUCCAAAUGAUUUUGGAAAAUUUACAUUAUGUUACAAGGCACAACAUGCUCAAGCGUUUCUUGUAGAUAGUUUGAGUUUAUGAAUUAUUCUUGUUUCUUAUAGAUAGUUUGAGUUUAUGAUUUCAUUGUGUAACUAUAGGUUGUUAAUUGGAAAAAUGAGGGCUAUGGGCUUGCAACUGAUAUAUGGAGCCUUGGAUGCACUGUGUUGGAGAUGUUAACUCGUCGACCCCCAUAUUCCCACUUGGAAGGCGUACGUAUGACAUUUCGUAGAUAUACAACAUUAUUUUCUUUAAUGUUUUUUCUUGUUUUGUUCUUAUGUUUGUGCUCUUCAAUUACUUGUUAUUCAAAUUGAUGAUAUGGAAAUUGGUUGAGUUUGGCUUUGACUUUGAAAAUGCUGAUGAUUUUAUAGUAAGGGUGAAGAUCUUGACCCAAAGUCUACCCCUUUUUGAAGGAUUCGAUAUAAAAACAAUCUACACCUGUAACAUCUCAAGAAUAAAAACACUCAAAUAAAAAAUAUAUCUAAAAUUAUUUGGAAUGGGUUGAGUCUAAGAGCUUCUUAGAUCCACACACCUUAUCAUUUCGUGAUUAUUAUUGGAAUGUAUCCCAAAUUCCUAAUUAUUAUUAAUUCCUUUUUGUAAAGAAUAUUGUAUAGAAUAUUUCCUAAGUUGAUAUAUCAUUGUAAUAUUAGAUUUUUUUAUAGAAUAAGGAAAGUUGUUAGGAAUAUCUCUAUAAAUAUUCUAGGUUAUAAGGAAAAAAAGUUAUAAGAUAGAGAUGAGCUUGUAGAGAUUAUACGAAAUGGAUAGAGAUGUGAGGAAGAACGUGAGAUAUCCGGUGGAGUGAGAGGGCUCAUGGUAGGGUAUGGAUACAGGGAGUGGGGAAAUAUGGGAUGUUUCGGGAACCCAAUAGUUGUAUUUGGUUUUGUCCUUUGUAAUAUGGAAAGGUUGGGUUGUUAGAUUUGGGAUAUAUAAAAAAAAAGGUUCAAUCUGAAGCCAUUUAUUUUUGGAUAAUUGGCACUUAUGAAUUAUACUUUUCCUUGUUUGGAGAAUGCCACUCAAUAUCUGUCUUGUCCUGGAUGUCAUGUAUGAAUACCAUGGAAUUAUCAAUAUUUUCUUUUAUGUUAUCAAACACUCCAAUUGACAAGUGCCUGACUAAAUAGGCUUGUAUCAUUGGCAACAACUUUUCUCAGUUGUCAGAUGACAUUUUGCAGUCACUCUAGAAUUUUGUUUUUAUUUUUUUUAAUUUUAAUUUUAAAUUUCUUCUUUUGUAACUUAAGUUUGUCAUAUAAUCUGGGUGAAGGAGCCUCACAAUCCUGAUUGUGUGACCUUCCCUGAUGAAGGACAGUGCAGAUGACACUGGAACUCAUGGUAGCAGAUUCAAAAUCUCGUUGAAUUGCCAAUUGAUAACGGUUGGAAACACCAGGCAUUUUAUCAUCAAAUUGGAAGUUGAAUGUUUCCAAAUAAGGUUUUGACUUGAUUAUUGCUUGUGUUAUCUAGCAAGAUCUAAAGGCACCCAAACUCAUCUUUGGGCUAGAAAACAGGUUUUUAUAGAAACAUCCUUGGCAUCAGGUUUGAAAAUAUUGAUCAUGCAUCUUGCUUUCCAAACUCAUCCUUGGCAUAAGAUUAUUGCUUUCCAAACAGCUAAGUUUGGAAAGCAAGAUUGUAGGCUUGUAGAUUUGCGCUCUUCCUUCAGAUCAAGUACUUUGUAUAUGCAAAUAUUGACCAUGCAUCUUGCUUUGUGUUGUCAUGCAUCAUCACUCAACCUUAUAUUCCUUGAAUGCUCUGUUCUUGUAUUCAGAAGAUAUGAUAGCCAGACUUGUGUUAAUAUGCUUCUUGAUAUUGCUGUAGAUCUUGCCGCUUAAGAAAUCAAGUUUUAGUUUUCUCCAUUUCAAGUCCUAUGCAAAGUUAAUUGGAAGGUUUCAGUUUAGAAAUGGGAAUGGAGGGGGAGAGAUCACAAUAUUCAGUGAAAGGGAGGAAUAAAAACUCUUGACAAGAGUGCGUUUUUGUUUCCAUGAGAACAGUUCUUUUAUUCCUAUUCUCAUUUCUAGUACAAGUAGACUAAGCACAUUUAUGAAUGAAAAAUGGAAUGGAUUUCCAGCUUCCAUUCCCAUUCCUAUUCCAGUGUACCAAACAUNNNNNNNNNNNNNNNNNNNNNNNNNNNNNNNNNNNNNNNNNNNNNNNNNNNNNNNNNNNNNNNNNNNNNNNNNNNNNNNNNNNNNNNNNNNNNNNNNNNNCCCUCCCUCCCCCCCCCCCCCCCCUCCCUCCCUCUUCCUUUGCCACCUUCUUCUAUUGACUCAUUCUCAAUCCCCCUUCAUAGGAACUUUUGAACCUUGAAAUGAAAUUGAAAUUUUUUGGAUCUUUCCCUCCCCUUCUCGCUUUCCCUCUCUUUUUCUUCUCUCAUUGACCUGUUCUCAAUCUAUUUUCAAGGGAACUUUUGAACCUUGAAAUGGAAUUAACAAAUUUCUAAGCACUCUUCCUCUCCCUUUUCGCUCUCUCCAUUUCCUUUCCCAACUAGCUUAAUUUUAAUCUCCCUUCAUGUUUUGAACCAUGAAAAACAACUCUUCCCUCUCUUCUUCCCCUUCUCUCCACCCUCUCCACCACCUUAUUUCCUUAUUGAUUCAUUCCCAAUCUUCCCCAUUAGGAACUUUUGAACCUUGAAACGGAAUUUAAAAUUUUUGGAUCUUUCCUUCCCUUUGUCCUAACCCUCUUUUCCUCUCUCCCUAUUGACUCAUUCUCAGUCUUCCGUAACGAGAACCCUGGAAACUUGAAAUGACAUUAACAAACUUUUCUCUCUGCCUUCCCCGUUGUCCUCUCUUCCAUUGAUUAGCUCAAUUUUAUCUAUAUUCAUGUUUUGAAUCAUGAAAAGAACCUUCUUCCUCUUCUCUCCCAGCUUUCCUUCUUUUCAUUUUCCAUGUCCUUCUGUUCCUGACUGCUUUGAUCAUAAUCUCCCUUCAUGAGAAAUUUGGAACCAUGCCAAGCAACUUCUCUCUUUGCAUUUGCCCUUUCCACCACAACUCUUUGUCCAGUCCUCCUAGUACAACUAUCUCCACCCAAUCUUCUUGUAUGGAAACUUUUGAAUGAUUAAAUGUUUCUCUCUUUCUGUCCUGUUGUAUCAUUGCAUAAUGUAAACAUAGUAUUACCUCACUUCCUUGCUUCCAUCCUGCAACAACUGACUCAACUCAAUCUUCCUUCAUGAGAACUUUUGAACACUUGCAUCUCUCUCUCUCUCUCUCCCAUGUUGUCUUUGAAUAUGUAAACAUAGUACUUAUGGAGGAAAAUACAAGUUCUAAAUCUAUGUUGUUGUUUCCACCGUAGUUGACUACAAAUCUCCAAUCAAGUUUACUAAAUGACUGUCAUACAGCCAAAUGAGCAAGUGUUGUAUCAAUAGUGUGGCUUAUACUAGGAAAUAUCUAUUGGGUGAGGUGUAACUGCAAUGAUUUUGUGCAAUAAUCACAAGGAUAGAACUAUGGAUUUGUGUGUGUGUGUGUGUGUGUUUUGGGGGUGGGAGAAUANNNNNNNNNNNNNNNNNNNNNNNNNNNNNNNNNNNNNNNNNNNNNNNNNNNNNNNNNNNNNNNNNNNNNNNNNNNNNNNNNNNNNNNNNNNNNNNNNNNNUUUUUUUUCUAAGACUAAUAUUCUCUCUUUCAUUUUCAAGGGAUAUCAAAUGUGCUAAUAUAUUGGUGGGUGUAAAUAAAUCUGUGAAAAUUGCGGAUUUUGGAUUGGCAAAGGUAGUUUUCUUCAGUAGAGCUACAAUCUCCAUUGUUUCUAAGUGUUGAACGAUGUAACAUAAUAUUUCUGGUUGUUUAUCUUCUCAGGCAACCAAAUUGAAUGAUGUAAAAUCUUUUAAAGGGACACUACGCUGGAUGGCCCCAGAGGUUUGCUUCCUCUCUUUUGAUAUCUUCAUUUUUAUGAACAAUUCAUGUUCUGAAUUGGAUUGAGAACUGCAUUUACUCAACUGACUUUUAGCAUGCUUGUGAUGCAGUCUCUAAAACCAUCUUUAGUAAGCGAUUUAUUCAAAAAAAGAAGUGAUACAUCUUGUGAAAUGGUCCACUAUGUGUUUGGAGAAAACCAAAGGCAGGUUAGAGGCUUAACAUCUCUCUAUUAAAUAAGAUGUUUUUAUGCAAAUGGAGUUGGCGGUAAGCCAUUGCAAGAGGUGCCUUUUGGACAUGACUGAUUAGUGGCAAAUAUGGAGAGGAAGAAGGUGGGUAGUGUUUUGGUGAAGUUAGAGUUGGGUAUGGAUUUGGGCUUUGGAAAUCCAUUAGGAAGGAACGAAACACUUUCUUGGGUUUUUUUUCCUUUUGUAGAGGGUAAUAGGGGAAGGAUGAAGUUUUGGAUGGAUAAGUGGUAUAGAGAUGAACCGUUGUGUAUUUCCUUCCUUUCUUUAUAUACCUUAGGUGUUGCAAAAAAGGCUUGGGUGGCAGAUCUUUGGUUUCAACAUGGGGAGAGAGGUCAUUGAAACACUUGUUUCUCAUGUUCUUUGAAUCAUUGGAAAGUGGAUGAAGUUGAGGAUUUAUUUUUCAAGUUGCAAAGAAAGGCAGUUGAUAGAGAGGGGGAAGAUAAGUUGGUGUGAAUGAACUUGUACAAUAAUAAGUUCUCAGUGAGUCAUUUAUAUGUUGAUUUGGAAUUGGGGGUUUCUAUGUUAUUUCCAAGGUGGGUAGUUUGGAAUUCAUGGGUCCCUUCGAAAGUUAACUUUUUUGCAUAAGAGACAAUUUAGGGAAAAUUUCUGGCUUUAGACUAGCUUCAAAAAAGAGGGUAGUCUUUGGUCAAUAGGUGUUUUCUUUGCAAAGAAGAAGAAUUCAUAGAUCACAUCCUCCUUUGUUGUUAUUUGGUUAGGAUUCUUUGGCAAUUGCUAUUUGAUUUCUUUUGUAUUCAUUGGGUGCAAGUUGCUAUAGUAAUGGCAACUCUUUUAGGGUGACAUGUUUCUUUUGUGGGCAGAAGGAGGAAAAAGGUUUGGAAAGCAACUCCUUUAUAUCUAUUUUGGAUAGUUUGAAAGGAAAGAAAUCUUAGGUAGUUUGAAAACGAGGAGCAUUUAACUCAAUUUUUUAAGAUGGUUUUUUUAAGAAAUUUGUUUUCUUGGGUAAAAUUGUAUAUAGAGAUUGAUUCUAUGUCUUUACUUGAUUUUAUUGAGUGGUUGGGUUCUAGUUAAGGGAGGGGGUUGUUGGGGUUCUUUUCAUGUUUUUUUGCUAUGACACUUUUUGUAUACAUCUACUUUGGAGUGUCUUUGUGGCAUUUUUAUUUUUUAAUGCAUUUGGCCUUAUUUAUGAAAAAAAAAAAAUUCAGCCCUUACGUUGUUCAAGUUGUAAAGUUCGAUAAUUCCAUGUAAGAGCACACCACAACUUUGAAAAAAUAAAAAAAUAAAAAAAUAAACAAAAAAAGAUGGUAGCAAUUCAAUAUGCAGCCUAGCAUCCUCUUGGCCACACCCUUUAGAACAACCUAACAAUUUUGCAUUACAGAACUACAAUACCCUCUAUUUCACUUGAUUAUUGAUUUGGAUGGGCUUGUUAUUAAUACUUGUAUCACCCAUAACAAAGUUAUAGCCAGACUAUGGCAUGUUGGAGUUGGCUGAUAAGCAUGAGCAUGGUAAUAUUUCUGGGAACAAAGUUCAAGUUUAACUACUUGCAACACUCUUUCAACUUUGUUGUUUCUUUCAUUCAUGGAUUCAUGGAUAUUUGCUAGUUUCUUCAGGAAGCAUAUUUAACUAUUUUAAGUGGUUAUUGGAAUCUUGGAUUAUAUUUGGUGUUAAGUCCCAAAAUGUGGACUCUUGAUCCUUUUUGAGCCCUAUAAAGAUGUUAAAACCAUGGAUCUAUGAAUUUUCAAUAAUAGUACCAUAUUUUAUUCAAAAAUCAUAUAGCAGUUGGGAUUCAAAACUCAAACCCCAAGUCUAAAUCUAGGUAUCCAAAUGAUUUUGGAAAAUUUACAUUAUGUUAUAAGGCACAACAUGCUCAAGCGUUUCUUGUUGAUAGUUUGAGUUUAUGAAUUAUUCUUGUUUCUUGUAGAUAGUUUGAGUUUAUGAUUUCAUUGUGUAACUAUAGGUAUUUAAUCAGAAAAAUGAGGGCUAUGGGCUUGCAGUUAAUAUAUGGAGCCUUGGAUGCACUGUGUUAGAGAUGUUGACUUGUCGACCCCCAUAUUCCAACAUGGAAGACGUACGUAUGACAUUUCAUAGAUAUAUAACAUUAUUUUCUUUAAUGUUUUUUCUUGUUUUGUUCUCUUGUUAGUGCUCUUCAAUUACUUGUUAUUCAAAUUGAUGAUAUGGAAAUUGGUUAAGUUUGGCUUUGAUUUUGAAAAUGCUGAUGAUAUUAUAGUAAGGGUUAAGAUCUUGACCCAAAGUCUACCCCUUUUUGAAGGAUUCAACAUAAAAACAAUCUACACUUGUAACAUCUCAAGAAUAAAAACACUCAAAUAAAAAAUAUAUCUGAAAUUAUUUGGAAUGGGUUGAGUCUAAGAGCUUCUUAGAUCCACGCACCUUAUCAUUUGGUGAUUAUUGUUGGAAUGUAUCCCAAAUUCUUAAUUAGUAUUAAUUCCUUUUUGUAAAGAAUAUUGUAUAGAAUAUUUACUAAGUUGAUAUAUUAGAUUUUUUUUAAUAAAAUAAGGAAAGUUGUUUGGAAUAUCUCUAUAAAUAUUCUAGGUUAUAAGGAAAAAAAGUUAUAAGAUAGAGAUGAGCUUGUAGAGACUAUACGAAAUGGAUAGAGAUGCGAGGAAGAACGGGAGAUAUCCAGUGGAGUGAGAGGGCUCAUGGUAGGGUAUGGAUACAAGGAGUGAGGAAAUAUGGGAUGUUUCGGGAACCCAAUAGUUGUAUUUGGUUUUGUCCUUUGUAAUGUGGAAAGGUUGGGUUGUUGGAUUUGGGAUAUAUAUAAAAAAAAAAGGUUCAAUCUGAAUCCAUUUAUUUUUGGAUAAUUGGCAAUUAUGAAUUAUAUUUUUCCUUAUUUGGAGAAUGUGACUCAAUAUCUGUCUUGUCCUGGCUGUCAUGUAUGAAUACCAUGGAAUUGUCGAUAUUUUCUUUUAUGUUAUCAAACACUCCAAUUUACAAGUGCCUGACUAAAUAGGCUCAUAUCAUUGGCAACAACUUUUCUCAGUUGUCAGAUGACAUUUUGCAGUCACUCCAGAAUUUUUUAAUUUUAAUUUUAAAUUUCUUCUUUUGUAACUUCAGUUUGUCAUAUAAUCUGGGUGAAGGAGCCUCACAUUCCUGAUUGUGUGACCUUCCCUGAUGAAGGACAGUGCAGAUGACACUGGAACUCAUGGUAGCAGAUUCAAAAUCUUGUUGAAUUGCCAAUUGAUAACGUUUGGAAACACCAGGCAUUUUAUCAUCAAAUUGGAAGUUGAAUGUUUCCAAAUAAGGUUUUGACUUGAUUAUUGCUUGUGUUAUCUAGCAAGCUCUAAAGGCACCCAAACUCAUCUUUGGGCUAGAAAACAGGUUUUUAUAGAAACAUCCUUGGCAUAAGGUUUGAAAAUAUUGACCAUGCAUCUUGCUUUCCAAACUCAUCCUUGGCAUAAGAUUAUUACUUUCCAAACAGCUAAGUUUGGAAAGCAAGAUUGUAGGCUUGUAGAUUUGUGCUCUUCCUUCAGAUCAAGUACUUUGUAUAUGCAAAUAUUGACCAUGCAUCUUGCUUUGUGUUGUCAUGUAUCAUCACUCAACCUUGUAUUCAGAAGAUAUGAUAGCCAGACUUGUGUUAAUAUGCUUCUUGAUAUUGCUGUAGAUCUUGCCGCUUAAGAAAUCAAGUUUUAGUGUUAUCCAUUUCAAGUCCUAUGCAAAGUUAAUUGGAAGGUUUCUGUUUAGAAAUGGGAAUGGAGGGGGAGAGAUCACAAUAUUCAGUGAAAGGGAGGAAUAAAAACUCUUGACAAGAGUGCGUUUUUGUUUCCAUGAGAACAGUUCUUUUAUUCCUAUUCUCAUUUCUAGUACAAGUAGACUAAGCACAUUUAUGAAUGAAAAAUGGAAUGGAUUUCCAGCUUCCAUUCCCAUUCCUAUUCCAGUGUACCAAACAUGCCUUUGGUGUCUAAGGGAAAAUAAUUGUGUUGCCUGAUAAUCAACCUUACGACUUGGAAUGCAGUCCAUCUCUGAUAUUAUAUUGGCAGGGGCAAGUGAUAUCAAAAAUUUACAGGAGUGAACCUCCCGAUGUUCCUGAUUCCUUCUCAUCAGAUGCCCGAGAUUUUAUCCUCAAAUGCUUGCAAGUCAACCCUAGUGAUCGGCCUACUGCUGGUGAGUUGCUGGACCAUCCAUUUGUGAAGAGGCCAUCUGGCCCUCAAUCUCCUCGUACGAGUGGAAUACAACCUUAAGUGCUUUUGAUCUAGCUACGGAGCAUCAAAUACAUCGAGGUAAAAUAAAACACCUUUUUGGAGUAAUUUCUUUUCUUUAGCAGCAUUGAUCCAUCAGACACUGGAGUUUGUCCAAUCCAGCUGGAGGAAGUACAUCCCUAUAGUAUGACUUUUUAAUUUAUUUAUUUUUUCUACUUUAGAACUCACUCAUCUUCCUAAAUACAAAAAUUCUUUAUAUUUACACAACAAUUUAACUUCAACAUCUUUUCAUAUAAGAAUUCCUUUUCAUAUAAUAUUCCUUACUACCAAAAACUAAUUCUAAUUAAAUGACUUUAAUUUAAUAUAUAUAAAUAUUAAGAUAUAUACUCCUAUAAAUAUAGUUCUUAAAGAUGUUAAACUCCUUUAAAAAGCAUCAAAUGGUAAUAAAUAAGAACUAGAGAAAAACCAUUCAAAUACGAAGUGAAAUCCAAAAUAGAAAUGUGAGGAAAAAAAUUAUCAUUGACUCUUGACUCUUGCCAAACCAACCCACUACCAUCCAAUGUCAAAUUGUCUAACAAAUGGGAAUUGAAAGCAUAGAAGAGAAUCAUUGACUCUACUUACCCCAUUAUCUUAAAAAUGUUGUCUCUGCCCUCCUUUCAUUAAGUUUCUUAAAAAUUUCAAGCUUCUUUAUCAUAUAAAGUAUAAAAGAGAAUCAUUCUUAGCCCAUUAUCUUAAAAAUCCCACCCUUCUCUCCUUUCAUAAAGUUUCCUAGAAAUUUCAAGCUUCUUUAUUAUAUAAAGUAUAGAAGAGAAUCAUUGAAUCAUUGUAGCCCAUUAUCAAGUGUUGCUUCUCCUUUCUAAAGGUUAAUGUCCUUGUAGCCAUUCACAUGUGUUUCAAGAAAAAUGAAGUUAUUUUGCCCCUAGGAACUAUAGAAAUAAAAUUUUGUUAAGAAUUUUAAAAUAUAAAAAUAAAAAAAUUUUAAAUAAGAGUAUUUUAUAUAAUUUUAUAUAUUUUUUAAAAUUAAAUAUCCAAUUUUUAAUUAUCUCAAAAGUUGGAGAAGCUCCAAAAAAGAAGAAUAAUGUCUUGCAAUUAGAUAACUAAUUCAAAAUAAUCUGAAUACUUCUUAAUCCACUUGUGGUUAACAUUCCAUUAAAAUUAUGUCAAAUUUAUUUAAAUUUACUUGCAUUUAUUUAUUUAAAAUUAUUCAAAGCAUCUCAAUACAUUAUUCAUUUUUGUUUUGAAAAAAAAUUUGUAUCACGUUUCUAGAAAAGAAUUAUUAAUAUAUAUUGAUUUUCUUACAAAUAUUUUUCAUUAAAUUUUAAAACUUGUUUUUACUUAAACUUUAAAUGGGUUUGUAUGCUUGUGUUUUUAUUUUUUAAUCAAAUGAGUUCAUUUAUAAUAUGGGAAUAUCUACUUGAACUCGGUAUUUUAUUUAUUUCCUUUUUUAACUUUAUUUUAGUAAAUGCAUCCUUGAUCAAUAAUUUGAUGAUUGUUUUAAAAUCAAAUAGUGAAGAUAAAAUUUUGAUAAUUAAAAAACAAUUGACUUGCUACAUCACUUACAUGAAAUAUUGAUUUAUUGUUUUAAGUUUGGUAUUAUAUUCAAUUCAUCAUAAUAAGAUUGUUUUUUUAUGUAGAAUAAUAAAUAAAUUAAGGAGAACUUUAUUAAAAAUCAGUUUUAAUAGAAAAAUGUAAGUUGGAUAUUCAUUUUGAUUAAAAAUAAAAUUAUAAUUUGAUUUAAUUAGAAAAUUAUUUUUUUUUCUAGUUAAUUUAAUUUUAAUUUGUAAUCCAUGUUAAUAGGGGAAAAAAGAUAGUUUUCAUGUCUUUUUAAUUGAAAAAAAUAAUGAUUUUGGUUGUAAUUUGUGAAUUUAUUUUAAUUUGUAAAAAUAAAAUAUUAUUCUAUUAAUUAAAUCAAUUUUGAUAAGAAUACUUAAUUUUAUGAAUAUAAUAAUAAUUGUUAAAGUAAUCUUGUAUGUGCAUAUUUUAAAAAUCUUGUAAAAAAUAAACAAAAAGAUAAGAAAAUAUGCAAACAAAAUUUUAUGUAUUAGAAAUUUUGUAGGGUACAAUUCUUUGGAAUAAUACUCAUUACAAAAGAAUAUUUUCUUUUUAUUCAAUCACUUUCAUCAUAAUCUAGUGGAUAACAUGUUUUCACUUGCAUUUGUUUUUAUAUUAAGCUUUUAUAUAAGACUUUAUGUCAUGUGCUCAUAUGAACAACUCUUGUAAUGUGUAGAGUCGCUUGCCUUGGAGGAUAUAUAGAAGCUCUCAAUGCAUACCUUAUAUGCUCAUCUCCACUACUAAAUAUUAUGUAAUCUAUUCUUGUUGUCAAGGGUUAAAGAACGUGAGUUGAUGCAGUCAAUCAUUGACUCAUCUUUCUAUUGCUUGGUAUUUGUGAACUACAUUAUGUUUAUCGGUGGUUGGGAAAAGUAAUUGUCUUCAUGCUUCAUUUUAUCCCAACUAUCAAUAGGCUUAGGCUCAAGAUCCAUGUACCAAUUAAAAGCACACAUUUGGAGGGAACACUCAAAUUGUUUAAGAGGUCACCCUCAUGCUAGCAUUGUUGCAAGUUUGGAUGAAUGAGACAUUGCAUUGCUUUGGAAUUCCUUUUCCAUCAAAUUAUUAAAACUUUGGAGGUUAAUAACUCAUAGGUAUUUGUUGAUUAUCAAUUUUUGUAGUGCAAGGUUUAAAGCACACGAGUGUACUUCAUGACGAUCCACCGUACUAUGCUUUGAUGGUGUUACGUAUCAUAUUUUAAAUCACUCAUUUAAAUUGGAAAUCUAUUAAUUUUUCAAUGAAAAUAAUUUAAAUUUGGCUUUAAGUUAUUUCUCGGUUAUAUGUAGAUAUAUGAGCAUACACUAGGUUUUUUUUUAAUAUUUAUUAUUUGAAUUUUAUUUUAUUCAUAAUCUCUUUAGAAUAUUAUUUAUUGGAAUUAAUUGCUAUGUUGUUAUUCUUCCAAAAAUAUUUUUUUUUGCUUAAAAAAUAAAUUUCUUCGAACACUAAAUUCACUACUUUAAGUUAAUAAAAUCAUUUCCUCUUUUUUUGGUUUCCUUUUAUUUAUUUAUUUUAAAUUAUAAUAUUUAUCAAUAAUAAGAUUUGUCUGUAAAAUGUUAAAAAAAAAAAAAUCAUCCUCUCAUUGUUUAACUUAUUUUUUAUUUUUACUUUUUUGUAUUUAUAUUUUAAUUUUAGUUUUAUGUUUAUUUUUAAUAUUUAUUUUUCACUUCUCGGUCAGAAUUUUUCUUUUUUUAUUUAUUUUAAUUUUUUAUUAUUAUUUCUUGUUGACAUCCUUUUAUAUAUAUAAACGUAAUAAUAAAAUAAAACACCAUGAAUAAAGUGAAGGAAAAAACUAACAUGUGAAAAAAAAUUAAAAAACUUGGUGAAGUGUAGUGCGAGAGCCUAAUGUCUAAUGAUGAUGAUGAUGAUGAUGAUGAUGGAAUAACCCCACCAAACCCGAAGAAAAGCAAAAGGUGAUAAGAAAAAGAGAAAAGUGAGAAAAGAAUAAAUAAGAAGAAAGAGUUGCUUUUAACUUUCUUCAUUACUGUCCUGAAGGUCACCGGAAGUCACCUGUCAUCCCAACUUAUAGAGAGAUGCCCCUAAUUUUCCUCGUCACUUUUCAGAAGGUCAUAGGAAGCCGCCUGCCUUCCCAACUCUUUAUGUAUAGAUAAAUGAUAAUAUUUAUUAAUAAUAAGAUUUAUCUAUAAAAUGUUAGAAAAUGAAUAUAUCAAUCCAGUGGAUUUAAUUUUUACUUUAUAUAUAUAUAUAUUUAUCAUUUAAUUUUUGCUUUUAUUUUUUUUUUCUUUUUAGUCUUAUAUUUAUUUUUCACUUCUCGAUCAAAAUUUUUACAUUCAUUUAAUUUUUCUUUUUUACAUUCAUCCUUCAAACUCCUGCACUUUACUUCUCGAUCAAUAUAGAGAGAGAGAGAGAGAGGGAGAGUGAGUGGCCCCUAACUUUCCUCAUCACUUUACAAAGUUCACAGGAAGCCAUCUGCCUUCCCGAACUUUUUAUAUUGUAAACUAGGGUUGCUCACUAUCUUCAAGAGAAACCAAGCCUCAAACGGUCUCUUUUAGCUUUGAGAAAUCAUGCUAAUUUAGUGAAUGAAAUUCUUACUCAAUUUCUUUGCCAAAGAAACCGUUCAUUCUGAUAUGUUUUUUUUACAAAUGUUUUAUUUCUUUUCGGUUUUUUGUCUUGAGGUAUUUUUUCUAAAUAAUUUGUUUUUUUGGAUAGAUCAUUUUAUAUAUCCUUGUUAUUUUAAAUAAAACAAGUUUCCAAUGACGAUUUUUUUUAAGAGUUUUUAAUGUGAAAUUUUCUAAAAUUUUAUCUUUUUGUCAUAUUUCCUUUUGUUAAUAUUUUUUUGCAAAGUCAAAGAGAUAAUGUGAAAUAAUAACUAAUUUAAUAUAAGGUUAGCAAUUUAAACCACACAACUAUAAAAAUGCAAGUGAAAAUAGAAGUGAAGGUGAAAUUCUUUGGUUGGUCAGAUGAGAGGACUUGGUAGAGAUAAUUUUUAGAUGUAAGUAAGUAGAAAUGUUUAUAGGAUGGCGAAAGAAUUAGUAAAGAAAUUUGUUGAAUGUAACACAAAAAUUUCUUAGAUGAAUUGGUAAAGAAAUUUGUUGGAUGUAAUGGAAAAAUUUAUUAAAUAAUCACAUGAUUAGUAGGUAGAGAAUUUUCUUGGCUGGCCAUAAUAAUUAAAUGUGAAUAGGUGGACAAAUUUCUUAGAUGGUCACACAAAUUAGUAGAUAGAGAAUUUUCUUCUAUUGUCACAGUAAUUGAAUAUGAAUAGGUGGACAAUUUCUUAGAUGGUUACAUGAAUUGCUAGGUGAGAAUUUUCUUGGAUGACCAUGCACAAUCAUCGAAUGUGAAUAGGUGGAAAAGUUUCUUGGAAGGUGACGAAGAUUGGUGGAAAAAUUUUCAAUCAAGUUGAGAAAUUUCUUCCAUGAUAACAAGAAUUGAUGGAGAAAUUUCUUAAAGGUGGAUAAUUAGGUUGAGAAUUUUUUUGGAUGGCAACAAGAAUUGGUGAAGAAAUAUUUUGGAAGGAUAGAGGAAACUACAAAAAGUUCAAUUUGUUUCAAACAACAUUAAGAAUGUGUUUAGUAAUGUUUUCAUUUGAAGUACUUUUAGUGAAUGUGUUUUUUCUAGAAAUAUUUUUGGAAGAAUCACUUGUAAAGUGUUUUAGGAAACAUUACAAGCGAUUUUUUAACAUUUUAAAUGUGUUUUCUAAAUUUUAUUAAAUACUUGGUUUUUCUUCAAAAAAAAAUGUUUUUUGUUUUUAUGCUAGAAGUGAUUUUUUAAAUUUUAUCAAAUAUGUGAUUUUUCUUCAAAAACGUUUUUUAUGCUAUAAGUGCUUUAUAAAAGCACUACCAUGAGGACCUUGACCUUUUGCCUCUAAUAAGGCUAAAGUGAUGACUAGUUGGUGAUUGCGUAUCUCUACUAGUUUAUAAUAUAAAAAGUUGGGAAGGAGGUGGCUUUUUGUCAACUUCUGAAAAGCAACGAGGAAAGUAAUUGAAUUUCGAUUAUUUAUUCAAUUACUUUCUCCACCAAGUUUUUUUUUUGUAUUUAACAAUUUUUUCCUUCACAUAAUUUAUUCAUGCUCUCCUAUUUUAUUAUUAUGUUUUAUAUAUUUUUUCGAAUAUAUAUAUAAGGACAUCAACAAGAAAUAAUAAUAAAAAAUUAAAGUAAGUAAAAAAGAAAAUUUAUGAUCGAGAAGUGAAAAAUAAAUAUAAAACUAAAAAUAAAAAAUAAAAAUAAAAUAUAAAUUUUAAAAAUUAAAAAUUAAAAUAAUUUAAAGAAUAAGGGGAUGGAUUGAUAUAUUUAGAAUUAGUGAUGUAUUUAUUUUUUAAUAUUUUAUAGACAAAUUUCAUUAUUGAUAAAUAUUGUAAUUUAAAAUAAAUAAAUAAAAGCUAACUGGAAUAAGGGGAAAUGAUUUUAUUAACUUGAAGUAGUGAAUUCAGUGUGGGAAGAAACUUAGUUUUUAAGAAGAAAAAAAUUUUAUUUUGGAAAAAUAAAAACAUAGCAAUUAAUUCCGAUAAAAACCUUGAUAAUAUUCUAAUGAGAUCAUUAAUAACAUAAAAUUGAAAUAUUAAAUAUUAAAUAAUGUUUUUGGAAUCGGAUCGGAUAAUAAAUCAAAAAAAUUAUUAAUUCACGUUUCACUAAUUGGACUAAUAGUUAAAUCACCUAGAAUUGAUAAUAUGGUAAAUAUAUAAUUUAUAUAUUAUUAAAAUUAAAAAUAAAAAGAUAUUUAAAAUAUAUAUAACCAAAUUAAAAAUCAAUAAUAUUUAUUUUUUAUCUUUAAUAUUAUUAAAUUAAAUCAUGCAUAAGUAUAAAUAUAAUAAUAUUUUAAAUAAUAUUAAAUGAAAUAUAUAUGGUAUUUAAAUGUAAAUAUAUUGAAACUAAAGUAAAAUUAAAUUAUUUAAUUUUAACUAAUUUUAUAAAUUUUUAAAAUAUUAUUUUAUUUUAUUUUAUUUUAUAUUAUAAAUGUUUUAGAAAAAGAAUAUGUUUUUUUGUUUUCCAUACUUAGCGUCAAAAUGCAUAUAUCUUAGUGGUUCUCUGUGGUAUUCCUUAAGCUCUAGGGCUUUGAGCAAUAAAGUAUUUGAGAUCUCAAAUUUAAAAGAGAACUAAAAAGAGGUUUCAUAAGAUAUUCUUGUAAAUUUGGGGAAGCAUACAAAAUAUUAAAUAUGUAUUCAAAGUUCAACAAAAGUAAUUUGAGCCAAAAACUUUACCUUAAAAAAUUUCUAAUACAAAUAAUUUUGUUUAUAUAUUUUUCUGGAUUGUGAUCAAAUAAGAAAAAAAAAUUAUUAUUUUGUAAAGAAUAUUACUCUAGAAAAUUGUACCUUAAAAAUUUUCUAAUACAAAUAAUUUUGUUUAUAUAUUUUUCUCAUCUUUUUACUUAUUUUUUUAUAGGACUUUCAAAUUUUACGCGUACAAAUUUCUAGUAUGCAAAGUUAAGACACAACACCUCUGAGUCCUAUGACUACAGCAAAGCAAAGACAUUCAUUGCUUGAAGUAAUAUUUUUUUAUAAAAAGAAUAUUCUUUCAUUGGAUGAUUUUAAUCACAAUCCAAAGAAUGAUGAUACCAGUUUCUUCUUCAAGUUGACAUCCAAUUCAAGACUUAUUUUUGAAUGACAUUUGUUGAAUUUUGGGAAUGAUGAAGAAGAUAUGUAUGGUAUUUUCAUGUGCUUUACUAUACUAAUAUUAAGAAGGACAUGUUACAAAGUUUUUUUUUUUUUUUUUCAUGUCAUUCAUUUUAUUUAAAUAAUUAUAUUUUUUUUUCUAGUUUAAAAAAGAGUAUUUGAUCUCUCUUAAAUCAUUCACAAAAUAAAUUAAUUUUUUUAAUAAAAGUAAUUUUUUAUUUAAAUUAUUCCUUAGUUAUAUAUGUAUAUAUGUAUAUAGAAAAGAUUAUUUUUUAAUAUUUAAUAUUUGAAAUUUAUUUUAGUAAUGAUCUCUUUAGAAUAUUAUCACGAUUUUUAUUGGAAUUAAUUGCUACUUUCUUAUUCUUCCUUCUUCCAAAAUAUAAAACUAUUUUUUUGCUUUAAAAAUAGAGCCCUUCCAAUACUAAAUUGACUACUUCAAAUUAAUAAAAUUAUUUCUUCUUAUUUUAGUUUACUACAAUUGGUCAAUAAUAAGAUUUAUCGAUAGAAUAUUAGAAAAUAAAUAUAUUAUUAAUUCUAAAUAGAUGAACCCAUUCUUCUUUAAUAAAUUUUAUUAUAAUUAUUUAAUAAACAAUUAAUAUCUACCUAUUUUAUGAUUUUAUUUUAAAACAUUUAUAUUUAUUUAAAUAAUUAUAUUAAUUGGUAAAAUCAUAUUUGUUUUCUUAGAGAGAGGAUAAGAUGAAAUUUUAUUAUUUGUUUAAAAAAACAUAACAUUUCAAAUUGUAAUUCAAAGACAUACAAUUUAUAUCAAGUUUUAUAAUAAAUUAAUACAUUAUUUAUUUAUUUCCUAUAUUUAUUUUUAUUAAUAGCUAACUUUGUUUAAAUUUGAAGUUACGUCUUAUAAUAAUUUAAUAAAUUUAUUAUUUACUUUUAUAUUAAUUUUUUUCUUCUUCUUUUUUAUCAAUAAAUUAAAAUAUGAAUUCAAAUAUAUAACGAUUGUUUUUAAGAUAUUGAAAUUAGAAGAAUUAUCAUAUGUCUAUACAUAUCUUCUAAUAUUAAUAUUUGGAAUAAAAAGUUUAGAUAAUACAUAAUAAGUAAUUAAUUAUUUCUUAUUAAAUUAAUUAGUCAUAAUGAAUAUAAUUAUAAUUAAUUUAAUUUAUUGUUUACUAUUAAAUAAACAAGCAUAUUUUAUUAUUUGUAGAAUUUUGAAAAGUAAAAUACCUAUUCAAAUAAGAUUUAUAAAUUUUAUAAAAUUAAAUCAAGAAAAAGUAUACUUUAAUCAUAGUUUUCUUCCAAAUAUGGAAGUGGGGACAUUUAUGAAUAUUGAAAAAAAAGAAUAGACCUGUGUGACACAUAUCAUAAUUAGAAAAUAAGUAAGUUUUAAAUUAAAAAGAAACUUUAAUUUUAAGUUAGAUAAUUAUUUGAAUUUUGAAAUCAAUGUAUCAUUAUCUAUAAUUUUAUAUAAAUACAGAAAUUAUUUAGAGUGAAAAAGGAAAAGAAAAAAAGAGUUGGAUAGUAUUUUCUAGUUUUGUUGUGAUGAUAAUUAGUCAUCAACAAAUCUAUCAAAAGAACAAUAUCUUCAUUAGGAAAAUGAAGUAAAACAAUUAUUAUUUUUUGUCAUCAAUAUUCUAAUCUUCCAAAUGAAAGGAUGGUAGUUUAAAAAAUAUAUGAAGAAAAUAAAAUUAAAUAAUAAUAAUAACAAAAUAUAUUAAAGAUGAUAGUAAGAUAGGAGAGCAUGAAUAUAGUGAAGAAAAAAAAUGUUAAAUAAAAUAAAAAACUUGGUGGUGUCCCACUUGAAAAUAGAAAAAAAAAAAAAAAAACGAAGGUAAUAAGAAAAAGAAAAAAGUGAGAAAAGAAUAUCUAAGUCAGUGGAGAGAGAGAGUUACCCUUAAUUUUCCUCGUCACUUUUCCGAAGGUAGUAGGAAGCUACCUGUCUUCCCAACUUUUUAUAUUGUAAUGUCCUUUUUAUAUUGUACAUGCUUUUCUAUACUCACAGGAUGUCUUAUAAAGUUUUUUUUUUUUCAAUUUAUUCAUUUUAUUUCUUGGAUUGAUUUUCAUGUGAAAAUUCAUUUUAUUUAAAAUAAUAAUAAUUUUACUGAUUUUUUUUAAAUAUUUGAUAUCUCUUAAAUCAUUCAUAAAAUGAAUUAAUUUUUUAAUAAAAGUAUUUUUAAUUUAGAUUUAAAUUAUUUUUCAAUUAUAUUUAGAUAUAUGCGUAUAAAAAAGAUCAUUUUCUAAUAUUUAAUAUUUAAAAUUUUAUUUUAAUAAUAAUCUCUUUAGAAUAUUAUCACGAUUUUUAUUAGAAUUAAUGGUUACAUUUUUAUUCUUCCUUCUUCCAAAAAUAUUUGUACUUCAAAGAUAAAGCUUUUCCAAUAUAAAUGGACUAGUUCAAGUUAAUAAAAUCAUUUCAUUUUAUUUUAAUUUAUUUUUUUAUUUAUUAUAAAUUAUAAUAUUAUCAAUAAUAAGAUUCAUCUUUAAAAUAAAUAUAUCAAUCCAUUCCUCUUUCUUUUAAUAUAUUUUCAUUUUCAUAUUCUGGGCCAGCACAUAUAGUUUCUGUCUACUUUAACUUUUUAUUAAUAUUUUUUUAUGUGCUUAAAGAAAAAAUAAAAUAUUAAAUAAAAUGAAAAACUUGGUGGGGAAGUGAAGUAGAGGAGCGUAAUGAUGACGAUUGAAUGGCCCGAGAGAGAGAGAGAGAGAGUGGGUCAGCUGCUUUAAUUCAAGAUUGAAUGACCCGAGAGACACAGAGCUGUCCCUAACUUUCCUCUUCACUUCCUGGAAGGCGCCUUGCCUUCCCAACUUCUUAGAUUAUGAGUUAGGGUUGCACAAUCUCCUCAUUUACUCACUAUCCUGAAGAGAAAUCAACCCCUCUAAACUGUCUUUGUACUUUUGAGAUAGAAACCCAGAAUGGCUUCCACAAGCUCCUUCAGAGCCUCUUCUUCUUCUUCUACUCCUUCCAUCCCUCAAACAAGUACUUAUGAUGUUUUCUUGAGUUUUAGAGGCGAAGACACCCGCUAUAAUUUCACUGAUCACCUCUACAAAGCUUUGGUUAACAGAGGCAUUCGCACCUUCAGAGACGAUAAACUCAGGAGAGGAGAAGCGAUCGCUCCAGAACUCUUGAAAGCCAUCGAAGAAUCAAGGUCUUCCGUAAUUGUUUUCUCUGAAAACUAUGCUGGUUCGAGAUGGUGUUUGGAUGAGUUGGUAAAGAUCAUGGAGUGCCACAAAGAUCUGGGACAUGUUUUCCCAAUUUUCUAUCAUGUGGAUCCAUCCCAUGUACGAAACCAAGAAGGAAGUUUUGGAAAGGCCUUUGCCGGUUAUGAAGAAAACUGGAAGGACAAGAUACCAAGGUGGAGGACGGCCUUGACGGAAGCAGCCAAUCUUUCUGGAUGGCAUAUACUAGAUGGGUAACUAUAAUUUCCUUUCAACUAUUUGUAAGUAUAGGAAUGAGUAGUUUUGCAUUUAUAGAGUGAUGAUAAGCUCAAAUUUUUUAUUUGGAGGUCUACUACUUAAGCACAAAUUUCUCCUCAAAAUGCUUUUAGUUGAAGUCUUUUAUGUGUAAAUGUGUUUAAUAUUCUUUUAUAGGAAAUGUUUUCACUAUAAGUGUUUUCUAGAAAAUCAGCUAUCUUUUCCACGAAUUUAUUUUUUCUAACCUUUUUAUAAGUGUUUUUUUCCUUUUUCUUUACUUUUUAUAAAAAGAAUAGUAGAAUAACAAUUAUAUUGAGUUAGAAUUCAUGAUAAAUGGUAGAAUGAACUUAUUAAAACCCAAUUAAUGAGUUUUACUAUUUUAGGUCAAUUUAUGAGAAUCUAUAUCUAAACUAAUUUAAUCAAAAUUUAUUACUAAUUUUUCAAUUGUCAAGAUUCAAUCCACAUUAAUGUUACAAAAAUUAAUCAAUUUAUUUGAAAUUUUGUUUGAAUAAUUAUAUAACAGGUAACAAUAAAAUUAAUGACUAUUACUAUCUGUUGAAGAGCUUCAAAAUUUUCAAUUAACCAAUCUCUUGUGUAUUCAUAGAACAACUUAAUCAAAUUAUGUAACAAGUAACAAUAACAAAAUUAUUUGACCAAAUAGUUUGAUUAAUUAUGUGACAAUUACUAAUAACAAAAUUAUGUGACGUAAAUUAUUUAGUAGGAAUUCAACUUCCCUGAGAGUUUGUGUGUGUGUAUAUAUAUAGACAAUAAAGAACAAUGGUUAGGCACUUAAUUUUCUUACAGAUGAUGCUGAAGAAAUCAACUCAAAAUAAAGAUAAAUGAAUAACUUUUUUGCAAGCCUUUAAUUUUUUUUUUUUAUUAUACAAAUCAAUAAUAAGGAGAUGAUCUUGCAGGAUAGAUAAGUUUUGAAGCUUGAGGAAUUGAAAAUGGGGUCUUUAAACUAAAAACUUCUUAUAUUAAGAGGUUGAGUACUAUAUCUACAACGAGGCUUCAGGCAUUACAAGAUAUAAAACGAAUGUCAAAGAAUAAAAUAUUUGCUCCUGCAAGGUUUCUAAUUGCCAUGGGCUGUUAAAGCGUUUUGGAAAUGUGCAUAAAUGAUAAUGCCACACAAGGAGCACAACUAACAAAAUUCAAAAUUUAUGUUUUAUUUUUUAUUCUCAUGAAUACUUGAUACAAAGAAAAAUGUCCUAAAAAUGUAAAUGAACUAAUAUCUUUGAUAGGUAUUGUUCUACUUUAAUUUAUUUCUCGUAAAUUUGUCAAACUUAAUGUGUUUUAUUUACCAUUGUGGCUUAUUGCUUAAAAUGUUGUACUCUUAUAAUUGGCAGGUACGAGUCCAAUCAAGUUAAAGAAAUAACUGCUAGCAUAUACCGUCGAUUGAAAUGUAAGAGGCUUGAUGCUGGUGACAAUUUAGUUGGUAUGGAUUCCCAUGUAAAAGAGAUGAUUUUGCGGUUGCAUAUGGAAUCAAGUGAUGUUCGUAUUGUUGGGAUAUAUGGAGUUGGUGGGAUAGGUAAGACUGCCAUUGCAAAGGUUAUAUAUAAUAAACUUUCUUGCGAAUUUGAAUGGACGAGUGUGGACCCCGCAUUUCGAUUGCUCGAUGUGUUUCCCACUCGAUGGCGAGCUCGAUUUUUAUUUGAAAUAUUGAUUUUUAUUGAUUAUUUGAAAAUGACUUGGAGUCGCCACUUAUUUUUGUUUUAUUUUUUAAAGGGUAAACAAAAUAAGAAAGAAAAACCCUAAGUGUGACUCCUUAUUUUGGAAAAGGCGGUCUGUGAAAAACCGGAUCGGGUUCGGGGGUCAGGUUACUUAUCGGGAAGGUACGGUACGGACCGUAGCACCCCUCUAAGUCCCUAAUGUCGGGUCUCUACUAAUAGAAUGAAGAUGAUGUGACAGUCAACAAGAAAAUCGAUGAAUACUCAAAUCGAUCAUGCACAAUAUGAGAAGCAAAGCAUGUAUAAAGAAUGAGCAAAAUAUGAAUAGAUGCGUACCUGGGCGGUAAUCACGAAUGCGCUAUCAUGAAACAUGGUUAGUGAACAAUGAACAUAUAUAAUAAAGCGCAUAUCAAGGAAUAAAGUAAAUCAAUCACAUGUGGCCAAUGAAGCAAACAAUCAGUUAAUCAAUCUUGAAAUCUCAUAUGUAGGCCCCCACCAAAGCCCAUUUAUUUUGCAUGAACCAAAUCUGUAAAUUCCAUCACUAAGAAUUACAAAAUUUGAUUUUUGCUUAUUUUAAAACAUUUAAAAAAAAAAAAAACAAAGAAAAUGAAAAAGGAUUGCCAAAGAGAAAAUGGCAACCAAUGUUAUUGGAAAAACGGAAUUUUUGAUGAAGGAACAUAUAGAGUUGCGAUUAUUUAAAAAGAUUAAAAUCCGAAAAAAUUAUUUGAAUGAAGGGAUUUGGAAAAUUAUUUUCAAAACUAGGGAUGGUGACAUGAGAGAAGUAAAAGGAGAUGUCAUGUGGCCACUAAGAUUUGCAUGGUGAACAGGGCCAUGCAAAGAAAAUCCCUUUCUUAGCCCAUUUGAAAAAAACAGGUCAAUUUCUGAAUCUGUGGCUUCUCAGCAAUCCUUGACCUGGGCAGGUAUGUCAAGACCAUGAACGUACCUCUCCCCUAUAUUUUGCCCCAGCAACCAAAGCACCCAUAUCCAAUGCCAUAGGUCUCACUUCAGCGAGAUUACUAGGAACGCCCCCCUCUUACAAUUUUCUGAGCUAAUCUUUCAACAACAGCAGUCUUACCCACACCUGGUUCUUCAAUAAGAACAGGGUCGUUCUUAGUUUCCCUUGGAAGAAUCCUGAUGACCCUCCAAAUCUCUUCGUCUCGGCUAAUGACAGGAUCAAGCUUUCCAGUUUACUCAACAAGGCCACACCCAUAAGUCUUCAAUGCUUGGAAUGCAGUGUUCCCAAAAGCACUUUCCUCUCCGGACAUUGGCGUCUUGUGAAGCUACUGGCACAAUGCCAUUUUGAAGGAUCACAACAACACUACGAUACACUGGUCCAUAAUCUAACCUCCUUAUUGUAGUGGCUGUUCAAACGGGAUCACUAAACAUGACUGGCGCAUUCUUGUCAUUCAACUAAAACGGUUCAUACUCCCCACAGUAAUUAUCAUAUCCAAAACCUGGACUUUUAUAUCCAGAAGCAACACUUGGAGAUUGGCCCAUGGGUCCUGAAACACCAGCAUCGACCAGAGCAUCCUGAGGACCUGUAGCUCCAUAGGUUGCAUUUGAAACGAAGUCUGCAGCACCAUAUCCAGAAGGAGUUUGGUUGUUCCCAUAAACAUGAUGUGGCGACAAUUUCUGCUGCUCAUCCGAUAUAUAGCUACUGCCGGCAGAGAACCUCGAGGUUCCAGUACUAUUAUGUAAAGAUAAACCAGCCAAGAAGAGACCCAGCGCCCAAGGUACAUCUUUUCCCGUGACCUUUCUUUAGAACCAUUUCCACGUAAACAUCUUGACUAUGUUUUAAGCUUCCAUCAGGUAAGUGUAGCUGAGGUGAUCUUGAAUCUUUUGAAGGCUAGGUACAACACGUCAUGUCUUGGAGGUGUAUGGAUCAAAGGUAUCGUGACUUUGCAUCUUCAAACCAGAGGAUGAUCCCUUAGGUUGACAGUAAACCCCUGUAUUCGUGCCGAUCACCUUCAGGUAAAAGCUUCCUUUGGCGUCAACAGUGGUCAAGGCCACGACCAUGGCAGAUUCGGUGAUGAUGCCCAUCGACGGUGCUACGCAAGGCAUUGAGAGAUAGACAUUGCGGCUGAAUUUAGUACCCAGCUGGACUGAGUCGACAGUGAAGUGGUGAUGGUGGAGGCGUUUCGCCGCCGGCGGCUUGCCGCCGGCGUCGUUCGAGGGCAGCUUUGCUUGUUACAGUCCAUUGGAGAUUCAAAAGUUAAACACCAUGCACAAACAGGUAGGCAACAAAAAUACACCCGCAUAUGAUUCACGCACUAUCCGAGACUGUAUAGGUGCCACGGCCUGACGUUCUUUUCGUGCUCUUUGAAUAAAUCAUAUGAUGCACAAUCCAAUGCAUGAGAAAACCGGUGCAUGCAUGAGGGUUGGUGUCAUGUGGAGUAAAGAGAGAAACUAUAAUAAUGAGAUGGAAAUAUUAGAAAAUGGGUAUGAAGAAUGAGUGAGUCAAAUGGGUUGUAUAGUGGUAUGAAGAUGAGCUUGGAGCAUGAAGAUAAAGGUUAAGAGAUGGGUGCAAUAGGUAGCAGAAACUGGUGAGAGAAAAGGGGUAUGUAUAGGGGCAUGGUGGGUAUGGGCAUGAAAUGUACGUUGAAGGAUAGCCCUAAGUGCAUGCAUGAUAAGAGACAAAUGAUAUGGGAGGAUAUUUGAACUCUGUACAUGUGGAUAUCAUGCAUUUCAUCCCCUUAAAGUUGCACCGAAAUUCCUUACUCAUCAUCCCAUUGAUAUAAGCAAAACAGAGUCCAAUGAAAACACUGCUUCCUAAAGAAAAAUGGUGCCUAGCACCAGAACCUGAAAGCAGACCUCUCAAAUCGCAAGCAGCUCCAUCCGCAGCAUCUCAGAAUAUCGAGCAGGGCUCAGAUUGUUUGUAUACCUAAACUCAUCCUCACAAAAGAGAGUUGAUAUCUGAGGCCAAUGGAUCCACUCAAAGUACAGAUCUUCCAAGCUUUCUGGUAAACAAAGACCAUGACCAAUUGGAAUGAGCUCCAGCUGACCAUACGUCUCAAUUCCAUCAAAUUUUCUGACCAGAAAGUUUCCUGUUUGAUGAAUUCUAUAGCUUCAGGACUUUCCUUUGAAAAGGAUGCGGCACUGUCACCAUUCACAAACUGAGAAAGCAAGCUUUGGAAGGAGUAAUGAUGUUGGAUAUCAAAAGGAGUAGAUGUUAAAUGGAGGGUACAAAACUGAUGAAGCAGACAUGAUGCUUUUUCGAAACCUUCUACAGACUGCAUCUUAAAAAAAACACUGUGAUAUUCCGGGGCAUAGUUACUUAGCAUCUUUCAUUCCAUUCAUCAACGGUCAUUUUACCUCAAUCUCCACUGAUUCAUGUUUCAUCUCUGUUCAUCUUCAAAUCUUAUUCAGUCUUUUCCCUCUGGAAGCAAUUCUAUAAUGCAAACACCAACACCCCACGUUCUGCUCAUUUCAUUGACAUUCCCCCGUGAGCUUCCAUUCACUAUUAGCAAAUAGCCAUCCUAUACCACGAUGAUUCCAUCAACACUGUUGGCUACUCAGAGGCCAUCAAAUGAACCCGAAACUGGAGAUUCUCAAUCAGUAAGGGCACACUGAGAUAGAAUAGACCUGAGUUGACCCACUGACAACUCUUAUAUGGCUUCCUCAGGCAGAGAUGAGAAAUCAGAUGUGUGCCAUGGAUGAAUACCAAGAACAGAGAAAGAUAGCCAAGACAGAGUACAAUGGAUAGGAACCAAAUGAAUCCAUACAAGCCCCCUUUCCCAUAACCAUCAAUGAGCCCAGAUGUAAAAAUGGAUUAAAGCAAAUUUCAAACAAGUUUUUAAACAAAGAAAACAGAGGUGGGAAUACUGAUAUCUCAUAAGAGAUCUCAAAAUAGGGGAUACGAAACAAGUUAGAGAUCAAGCAGCAUGUGAGAACAAGCAAGUACAAAUUCCAUGAGAAAAAAAUAAAUAAAUAAAUAAAUAAAUAAAAAGAAUAAACGAGAAGCAUACCACCAAUCACCUUCAAACACUAAAGCAGAGUUUCAUGAUGCCUAAAAAAAAAUUGAGACGGCCAGAACAUGGAAGAACUAACCCAUAGAAAUAAUACCUGAACCUUCUUCUUUUCAGUUUGCCCUUCUUCUCUCCAAAACGGCCAGGUCCCCUCCACUGCAGCUGCCUCACCUCUCUAAAAAAUAUCUCCUCACUGCAACCGGAAUCCCCCCAUCUCCUAAAAUCUCUCCUCCACGACCCCAAAAAUCCUCUCUGAAAAGCCCCACCACUCUGCCUGUAGGAGACGCUCCUCUAACCGUCUGCAGCUUUUUUUUUUUUUUUUUUUGCAGAUUCUUUGGACACGUGUCGACCUCUGGUUGGCCAUCAAAAACACCACUCUGGUGCCCCAACAGCCAACCAUGCAUGGACAAGUGGCUCCUUGAGAUCGUGACACUUGGCAAAAUCAAGCUGCAGAAAAUGAGCCCCAAAUGGGGGUCAGGGGAGUCAAAAUAUAAAUGGUGUUGCUCGUAGAGCAGGUAUGAUAAAGGACAUUCUCUUAUCUAAAAGAGUUUUUAUGGUUCUUGAUGAUGUUGAUGAUCCAAGUCAAUUAGAAUAUUUACUUGGACAUCGUGAAUGGCUUGGAGAAGGAAGUAGAGUCAUCGUAACUACUAGAAAUAAACAUGUGUUAGCUGUACAAGAAGUGGAUGACUUAUAUGAGGUUAAGGGAUUGAAUUUUGAAGAAGCUUGUGAACUUUUCAGUUUGUAUGCCUUUAAACAAAAUCUUCCCAAAUCAGAUUAUAGAAACCUCUCACAUCGUGUUGUAGGCUAUUGUCAAGGGCUUCCAUUAGCUCUAAAAGUUCUAGGUUCUCUCUUAUUCAAGAAGACAAUACCUCAGUGGGAAAGUGAAUUGCGUAAAUUGGAUAGAGAACCUGAAGCGGGAAUUCACAAGGUGCUUAGACGAAGCUAUGAUGGAUUAGAUCGUACAGAACAAAAUAUAUUUCUUGAUGUUGCAUGUUUUUUUAAAGGUGAAGAUAGAGAUUUUGUGUCAAGAAUAUUAGAUGCUUGUGAUUUCCCUGCAGAAAUUGGAAUAAAAAAUCUAAAUGACAAGUGUCUUAUAACUCUCCCAUACAACCGUAUAGCUAUGCAUGAUUUGAUACAACAUAUGGGUUGUGAAAUUGUUCGUGAAAAAUUUCCUGAUGAGCCAAACCAAUGGAGCAGAUUGUGGGAUCCCCAUGAUAUUCAACAGGCACUUAGAACAUCUAAGGUAAGAGCCAAGUGCAUAAAUUCACAUAAACUUCAAUAAUAUCAUUCUUGUAUAAGAACUUACAUAUCCAUAUAAGUUGAGUUAGUUUGUAUUUAUGUUUACCUUAUCCUUGUUAUUUUUCAGGAAAUACCAAAAGCUCAAACAAUAUCCUUGGACUUGUCUAAGUUAAAAAGAGUAUGCUUCGAUUCAAAUGUUUUUGCAAAGAUGACUAGUCUUCGAUUGCUCAAAGUUCAUUCAGGUGUCUAUUAUCAUCAUUUUGAAGGUAUUCACGAGAAGGAUUAUUAUGCUAUAAUAAAAAAUACUUCUAAAAUGCGACUUGACAUGAAAUUCGAAUUUCCUUAUGAGUUAAGGUAUCUUUAUUGGGAUGGAUAUCCUUUAGAUUUUUUACCAUCAAACUUUGAUGGAGAGAAGCUUGUUGAACUUCACUUGAAGUGUAGCAACAUAAAACAGUUGUGGCAAGGGCAUAAGGUAUUAUUAUCAUUUAAUAAUGACUUCUUUAUCUUUGUAUUGAUUUUGAAAUUUAUGAUUGUUAUGUCUUUAUUGAAACCAAUUUUCGUUUGGCACAGGAUCUUGAAAGGUUAAAGGUCAUUGAUCUAAGUUGCUCAAGGAAUCUCAUUCAAAUGUCAGAAUUCUCAAGCAUGCCAAAUUUGGAGAGACUAAUUCUUGAAGGUUGUGUAAGCUUGAUCGAUAUUCACCCAUCUGUUGGAAAUAUGAAGAAGCUUACUACCUUAAGUUUGAGAUUCUGUGAUCAGCUUAAGAAUCUGCCAGAUAGCAUUGGAUACUUGGAGUCUCUCGAGUCUCUUGAUCUCUCUGAUUGCUCAAAGUUUGUGAAAUUUCCGGAGAAGGGAGGGAACAUGAAAAGUUUAAUGAAGCUUGAUUUAAGAUUUACUGCUAUUAAGGAUCUGCCUGAUAGCAUUGGAGACUUGGAAUCUCUUGAGUCUCUUAAUCUCUCAUUUUGCUCAAAGUUUGAGAAAUUUCCGGAGAAGGGAGGGAACAUGAAAAGUUUAAGGCACCUUUGUUUAAGAAAUACUGCUAUUAAGGAUCUGCCUGAUAGCAUUGGAGACUUGGAAUCUCUUAUGUUUCUUAAUCUCUCUGGUUGCUCAAAGUUUGAGAAAUUUCCGGAGAAGGGAGGGAACAUGAAAAGUUUAAUGGAGCUUGAUUUAAGAUAUACUGCUAUUAAGGAUCUGCCUGAUAGCAUUGGAGACUUGGAAUCUCUUAGGCUUCUUGAUCUCUCUGGUUGCUCAAAGUUUGAGAAAUUUCCGGAGAAGGGAGGGAACAUGAAAAGUUUAGUGGAGCUUGAUUUAAAAAAUACUGCUAUUAAGGAUCUGCCUGAUAGCAUUGGAGACUUGGAAUCUCUUGAGUCUCUUGAUCUCUCUGAUUGCUCAAAGUUUGAGAAAUUUCCGGAGAAGGGAGGGAACAUGAAAAGCUUAAAGUGGCUUUAUUUAACAAAUACUGCUAUUAAGGAUCUGCCUGAUAGCAUUGGAGACUUGGAAUCUCUUUUGUCUCUUCAUCUCUCUGAUUGCUCAAAGUUUGAGAAAUUUCCGGAGAAGGGAGGGAACAUGAAAAGUUUAAUGAAGCUUGAUUUAAGAUAUACUGCUAUUAAGGAUCUGCCUGAUAGCAUUGGAGACUUGGAAUCUCUUAGGCUUCUUGAUCUCUCUGAUUGCUCAAAGUUUGAGAAAUUUCCGGAGAAGGGAGGGAACAUGAAAAGCUUAAAGAAGCUUUUUUUAAGAAAUACUGCUAUUAAGGAUCUGCCUGAUAGCAUUGGAGACUUGGAAUCUCUUGAGUCUCUUGAUCUCUCUGAUUGCUCAAAGUUUGAGAAAUUUCCGGAGAAGGGAGGGAACAUGAAAAGUUUAAUGGACCUUGAUUUAACAAAUACUGCUAUUAAGGAUCUGCCUGAUAGCAUUGGAGACUUGGAAUCUCUUAAGUUUCUUGUUCUCUCUGAUUGCUCAAAGUUUGAGAAAUUUCCAGAGAAGGGAGGGAACAUGAAAAGUUUAAUUCAUCUUGAUUUAAAAAAUACUGCUAUUAAGGAUCUUCCCACCAACAUUUCUAGGUUGAAAAAUCUUGAAAGACUUAUGCUCGGUGGCUGCUCAGACCUGUGGGAAGGAUUAAUAAGCAAUCAGCUUUGCAAUCUGCAAAAACUUAAUAUCAGUCAAUGCAAAAUGGCUGGACAAAUUCUGGUGCUUCCUUCAAGUCUACAAGAAAUAGACGCAUACCCUUGCACAAGCAAGGAAGAUUUAUCAGGUCUGCUCUGGCUUUGCCACCUCAACUGGUUGAAAUCCACAACGGAGGUAAUUUAAUAUAUAUAUAUAUAUAUAUAUAUAUAUAUAUAUAUAUAUAUUUUAAUUAUGCCACUUAAACCUUUUUUUAUUUUAUUUGAAGUCAAUAUUUACAUAAUAAUUUGUGCAGGAGUUGAAAUGCUGGAAACUCGGUGCUGUUAUUCCUGAAAGUAAUGGAAUUCCAGAGUGGAUAAGGUAUCAGAACAUGGGAAGUGAAGUAACAACAGAGCUUCCAACGAAUUGGUAUGAAGAUCCUGACUUCCUAGGAUUUGUUGUAUCAUGUGUUUAUCGGCAUAUUCCUACAUCUGAUUUUGAUGAACCUUAUCUUUUUCUCGAGUGUGAAUUGAAUUUACAUGGCAAUGGAUUUGAAUUCAAGGAUGAAUGCUGUCAUGGAUACUCGUGUGAUUUUAAAGAUUUGAUGGUAUGGGUUUGGUGCUAUCCUAAGAUUGCUAUUCCGAAAGAGCAUCACCAUAAAUACACACAUAUUAAUGCUUCAUUUGAGAGUUAUUUGAUAAACAUAAAAAAAUGCGGCAUCAAUCUUAUAUUUGCGGGAGAUCAACAAAAUCAUAUGCCCAUGUUGGAGCAUCCUCAGAAUUCUGGUGACAAUGGAUCAGCAUUACAAGAUACCGAUGGUAAUGUUCAUGGGGCUAAUCAAGAUGAUGAACACUACCAUAUUCCCAUCGUGUUAGAUCUUCUUGGGAAUUUUGGUGACAUUGGAUCAGUAAUACUUGAAGGCACUGAUGGAAACCGUAAGAGAAGACGUGAUGAUUCCUUACCCGAUGUAGUGGAGGAGCCACAUUAUAAAAGAUUGGGAGCACCCAACACCCAUCUCUCGCUUUGAACUCCAUCAGUAAGUGCAUUAUCAACCCUUUUUCAUGUAUUCUAACUUCUCUCCUUUUUAAAUUAUUUUUAAAGUUAAUAAACUAUUUUUGUAUAUUUCUUUAAACUCAUUUCACUUAUUUUUCUCCAUUAUAUAAAAAUUAAAUAAUUUAAAAAUGUAUACAUCUCUAAUCAAUUUUAAAUAUAUUUUAUUUUCUUUCAUAUUUUCUAUAGAAAAACCAAGCAUAAAAAAUAAUUUUUCUCAGUGUUUUUUUUAUUUCCUAAGUACUCUCUAAGAUUCAAACAUAGUUUAUAGUGAUUGAUAUCAUAACUAUGCAUGUACCACGUUUUAUAGAAUUUCUUCAUUUUCAAAAAAUAUGAAAAAUAACUUCAACUAACUUUGAAAGUCAUCAUUAGUUUAAAAACAUGUAUAGUUUUUUUUAUUUUUUUAUUUUUUUUUAUUUUUUGUACAUAUAUAGCAUAGAUAUGGUAGAGUGAAUUGCUUUUCUUUUCUUUUUUUUCAUUAUUUAUUUAUUUAAUUAGUUAUAUAAAAACCUCUACAAAGUGAUUAUGAAGCUCUAGGGAUUCUUCAUUACCUUAUUAGAGAUAGCAUUAAUUAAUUAUUUGUUUAAUUAAUUUUUUUUAUACUUGUUUUUAAGAUAAAAUUUGAAUAAGUUAUCAAAAUUAGUUAGAGAAGAUCAUGUACACAAAUUAGAAGUUAAAUUUGAAUGUAUUAUGAGGUAGAUAUAUGUAAAAACUUAUAGUGUGUUUGGUAGUAAUUCUGGAAAAUGUUUUUAGUAUUUUUAACAUUUGAAUGAUAAAAUUUUUCAAACGUUAAAAAAGUUAGAAGUGCUUUCUAAAAUCACUGUCAAACAGGAUCUAACGUACUCUUAAUAUUUUUAAUAUUUGAAAAUUUUUAUCAUUCAAUUGUUAGAAAUAUUAUAAAUGCUUUCUAGAAUCACUUUCAAACACACUCUUACUUGAUGGCAGUAAAUAAUGAAACUCCCAUAUAUUGAUUUUAAUAGUUUUAAGAGUCAAAUUGUUUAUAGUUUUUGUAUUGAAGAAUUAAAUUUCUUUAAGUAUGCUAAAACAUUUUUAAACAUGCAUACUUAUUGUCUAUUUCUUGAGAUGGAAGUCUUGGAUUAAUCUUAUAUUUACUUAUGUGAAAUUUGUGAUAUGCUCGUGAAGUUUACUUAACAAAUGAUCAUACUAAUCUUAAGUGAAAUUUGUGAUAGUACCGAUCAGAACGAAAUCACAUGUGGUAGCUGCAGGUGGACUUCAUGUUUUUUCCUAACAACUGAUUGGUAAGUCAUUUUGUUCAUUUAUCCUUUUAGUACGUGUAGAAAAUUGAUUAAAGCCUCUUCAACUUCUUUACUAUUUUCUCUUUCCCUUGAUCCCUGUUUUGUGCGAUUAUGUUUGGUUUUUGGAAAACUUAAAGGAAAAUAUAAGGAAAAGAAAAUAGAGAAAAAAAAUUAAAAGGAAAUAAAAAGUGAAAAAGAAUAAAAACAAGAUUUAAAGUCAAUCAAUUAUUUUCAUAUGUUUCUUCAAUCUUAUUUCAAUUAUUUUGCUUCAUUAUAUAAAAAUUAAAUAAUUUUAAAAUGUAUAUAGUUCAAACAUAAGUUUUAAAAUGUAUAACUAAUUUUAAUUAUAUUUAAUUUUUCCAUAUUUUUUACAAUGAAACCAAACAUUUAUCAUUUUUCUUGACAUUUUUUUAUUGUUUCCUUGGUACUCACUAAAGUCAAACAUAAGUUUAAACCCACUAGAGUGAUCCAAUUGGUGAAGGCAAAUAUUGAGAAGUGUGGUCCCACUAAGUGACACAUGGUCCUGAGUUUGAAUCCUACCACUAAUGAUACUUUGAAUUUAUCUAGUGCUAGUUAUUGUGACGCGAUUAACACUUUGAGGUUUGGUUCCCCAUAGAGUCCUAUAGGCUUAGCCAAGGAAGGUUUUUCAAUUAUUAAAAAAUAAAAUAAAACAUAAGUUUAAUGUUUUAGGAGGUAAAAAAAAAAAGUGGUAGCGCAAUUGACAAUUAACUAGGAUAUAUAUUUUUUCUCAUGUGCUUGGUAUAAGGCACUAAGUAUCAUUAUAUUAAAUCCUCCAUCUACCGCAUGAUAGUUAGUUAUAAAUUCCUUACUAUUAUUAUAGGUAAACAAUAAUUUAUAUAUGUUUAAAUUAAUUCUUAAGUUAAUGGUUAAUAUCUAUUAAUUAUGUUUUUAGUUCCUUUGAUGAUUAUGUUAUAUUUGAACAUUUUAGGGGUAUGAUUUUAGCUUCAUUAGCAUGAAGUGUAUCUAAUGAUAUGUGAUUCCCUAUCACUAUGUUUGAUUUCAAGAAAGUAUAAGGAAAGAAAAAUCCUCAUGAAAAUUAUUUUCUCAUGAAAAAAUCCAAGUACGAAGGAACAUGAAAAUGAAUUUUGGAAAUCAGACACAACCUUGUGAAAUAUACUUGUGUUAAUAAUUACAGUGUGUUUGUUGUACUAUGUUAAUGACAUUGAAAUGUUGUGUUUUAUUCUUUAGCUUUAGGUGGAAACAAGGACAAUGAGGAGAAGUUAAUCUCAAGAUGCAAAUGAGAUUCCAAAUGUUGCUAAGGUGGUCUACUCUUGCACAUGAUUAGUCUCUUACAAUCAUGACCAUCAAGAAAGAUGGUACAAUUUGUGUAUUGAAAGUGUGAAUUAGGAAUGUUAAAAAAUGAAAACUUGAAUUGAUAUAUGUUUUUGCCCAUAAGAUGUGUGGUUAUGGUCAAUUCUUGUGGGUAUGUAAUUGACCUUGAUGUUGCAUAUGAAGCAUGUCACCCUCUCUGUAUCUUCAAGUUAGUGGUUGGAGCUUCUAUAGAUGGUGGAAGACAAGUGUCACCAAUUUAAGUAUUUCUUAAGCUCUCAUGUGGCACUUAGACAAUUCAAGUCUAUUGAAGUUGUUGCUAAGUCUUUCAUGUUGUGACAAAGGUUUUUCACAUUUCACACAUUAUAAUCAUCACAUUUUAACUCAAGUUUUUAAAAGUAUUAAAUUAAUACCAUUCCCUAAUCUUACUCGGCUUGGUUUGUCAACUUCGGUGGUUUAUUACUUUUUAGAGCCAACUUUCAACUUAAUCAAUCCAACGUAAUUGUUAUUGAUUCAUGGUUAAUAAUUCUCGAUCUAAUGUUAUGAUUGUUUUUUAAAAAAUUUGAGGAAAAUAAAAUAAAGAGAAAAAGUACAAGGAAAGGAAAUGUGGAGAAACAUAAAAGAAUUAUAUUUAAAAUUAAUAAAUUAUUUUUAUUUGUUAUUUCAAACCUAUUUUACACACAAAAUUAUAAUAAUAUUUAAUUUUUUCUCUAUUUUCCAUGAGAUACCAAAUAUAAAACAAAUAUUUUUUUUAACAUUUUUUUUAAUGCUUUUUGGAAACUAAACAUAACUUAAUACUUGUCUUUGUGUUUCAAGAUACCAAUAAUACUUCUUGAUAAAAUCAUAUCUAUUAAUGUGGCAUGUAUACAUGUGUGGGAUAUUCAUGGUUCAAUACUAUCACUAUCUUACAAUUGUGGAUUCUAAUUGAAUUUUAUGAAUUAAUGAUAUGAUCUUUCUUCAAACAAAAUGUCUUUGUGAGUUGAAUUAUUUCAAUUGGUCAAACCUCUAUAUUCCAAAUAUUUCUACUUUGAUUAAUCAAGGUCUUUGUGAGUUGACUUUAAUUUGCUUUUAAAUAUCAUCUAUUAAAGUAUUUUAGAUGCUUCUUUGUUUUGUGUAGUAUUGUAAUAGAUUAUGAGAUAAUUGUAGACCAAAUGAUAUACAAAUUAUCUCCUUUAUAGAUGUUUUUUCACUUGCUUUAAAGCUAAGAUUUUGUAAACUAGCUUUUGUCUUUUCUUAGCUUUAAUUUUUUUACUCUAAAACACCCAAAUAAAGUCAUUUAGUUUUGUAUGUGCUAUUUUCUUUAAAAGAGAAACUAAAAAGGGAUGCAUCCUAGUAUAUAGUUGAAGCAGAGAAGGAUUUUAUUCUAAAAUUAAUAUAAAAAAUAUACUUUGAUAAUAUAAUUUUAAACCUCUUUUAGAUGGUGUUUGGUAAACCAACUUAAUAAUUUAAUAUAACAUAAUAACUUAAUUUGUUAUUAAAUAGAUUAAUUAUUUUUGGUAAAAUAAUUUAAUAUUAUAAUAUAAACAUAGUAUUAAGUCAAAAUAGUUAACUUAAGGGUAUUUGGCAAAUCAACUUAAUGACUUAAUAUGAUUUAAUAAUUUAAUUUAAGUCAUUAAAGAGAUUAAACAUGUUUGAUAAAAUAACUUAAUAUUACGACUUAAAGUUAUUUUUAACUUCAAGUAAUAAGUCAAAAGGGUUAAUUUCAUUGAGACCCCUUGAGGUUUGAUAUAAAUAUACUCAAUUACUGUUGUUUUCAAAUUUCAUCAAUUAGCACCCUUAUGAAUUUAUUUUGUUUAAAAAAUUUAUUUUUUUAAGAGAUUUCAAGUAAAAAUAUUUUUGAUAGGAGUGUUUAAUAAUUCACUAAAAACUAAAUUUUAUUUGUUAAAAAAUAAAAUUUAUAUACAUAAUACAUUUAUAGGGAUGUUAAUUGAUGAAAUUGAAAUUUGAAACUUAUGAUGACUUAAUGUAUUUACACUAAACAUGAAGAGUCUCAAUAAAAUUAACUUUAAGUUAAAAUAGUUAACUUAUUCUUAAUCUCAAAUCUUUUUUACCUUAUUUGUCUACAUUUAUUACUUAUUUUUUAUGAUUGUACUUGUAUCUUUAAUACUUUAAAUAUGAAUAUUUAACAAAUAAAUUUAUUAUUUAGGAUUAGUGAAAAUAUAAUUAUUAGUUAAAAUUAAUAAGGAUGAAUAUGUCAAUUUGACAAUUUAAAAUAAAAGUUUUAAGUUUACAGUUUAAGAACCAUUUAACUUAAAAUCAAUUUAAAUCAUUAAGUAAUAAGUAAUAAGUAAUAAGUUUUACCAAAUGCCCACUUAAAUAUAGCUUUUAAAUGAAUUAUUUAAUCAAAAGACAAAUAUAAAAAAAUAAAAAAUAAAAUAAAAAGGAACACACUAAACAGGCAUCAUAAAAUCUUUCACAUGAUUUCUUUACUUUUUUAUUCACCUUCUUAGAAGACGAUUUUAAUAUUUCCUAAGAAAAUUAUGAAAACACAAAAUUGGUGUUUCCAGAUUUUCUAUUUUUAUAAAACUCUAUUUUCUGAAAUAUUGAUUUAUGUUUUCUUUACAAAUGAAAACAAUUUAAACAAAAAAGUGAUUUAUAGUUUCCAUUUUUAAAAUUGAUUUUCACUUCUUUUGACUUAAGGCAUUUUCAAGAUAAGAAAAAAAAAGGAAUAAAAGCUAUUUUUAGAGAAUAAAAAUAAAUGAAAAACAUUUUCCAACCGAAACCCAUUGUUAAUGUUUUCAUCUCAUUGUGCCUUUUUCUAAUCUCCAUCCCGCACUUUGAUGGGCUAAACUCGAAAAUGGAAAGUUAUAUCUUGGCACUUGCUUUAAUUUACAUUUGUUAAAUUGGUUUUGACAUACAUUUUUCAUAAUAAAUGCAAAACAAUAGCCUGAGUUACAAACAUGAUUUCCAUGGUUUUUUAGGUCUCUAAUCACAUAAAGUAUUGAUUCCCAAAUUAAUGAUGCUCUAAAUUUAGUGCAUAGGGCAUUCAGACUCUCAGUUCCAUCAACAUCCAUUUUCAUUUUCUCACCUGCCAAAACCUUAUUGUACAAAUUUCCAUUCAACCUUCAGAUCCAUCCCAUGUUCCAUUUUCAAUCCUAGCCACAUUGUUACCAUAGGGCAAGUUGCUAGUACCAAAUAUUUAAGACAAGUAUACAUACAAUGCAAAUCAGUCCAUUACCCUAAAAGAAAAGGAAAAAGAAAAAGAACUUGUGUCACAGAAAGGAAUAAUCUAUUGGGUCAGUGGCUUGUAUCCAAAGUGAUACCAAACUGUGCUGACAAGGAGCCUUUGUAAGAAUCUGAUACAGCUCCUGCUGUUUCUGAAAGGUUGCUCUUCAUCUCUGAAAUUUUUGAUACCAUGGGCUCUUUGUAUUUCGAAACUGAGUCAACCAAAGCAUAGAGUUCCCAAGCACAUAUCUGAAUUUCAUCCUCAUUUUGCUUGAUUGCUUCCUGCAACUUCAAUUUGGACAUCUUCAUGACGACAUCAAAGUCUAGUCAGAAUCCCUUGAAUUUUUCGAUAAUAUUCACAUUAAUCAAGAACAAUUAUAAAGCCAGGUAGAAAUUUUUAGCUCUGAAAAGGGAAACCAACUUAUGUUAAAAUAAGUUUCUUUCAGGUUUACGAGAUCCACCCUGGCAAUAUUGAUAUCCUUAACUAACUAUUUAAGAGAAGAAAAACAAAAUUAUACCUCCAGAACAUCUGCCACUUCUCUUUCCACAAUAUCUACAUUAUGGGUUUCUAUCUCAACAUCCUCCACCAACUUCUUAGCUUCCAUUGCACAUCUGGAGGUGUAGUUUUGCGUUUCCUUCUUCAAAAAAUUUAAUUGAGCUUCCACCUGACAAAUUGAUCAUUCAUCCAUGGUUAACCUCAUACAACAAUAGCCUAAAAAGAAUUCAUUCUGAUGCCUUGUCAAAAAUCAACCAGAAGAUAAAUAUCCAUGAACGAAAAACAAUUAGAUUAAACAAUGUGUAACCCAAUAAUUUAUGUUGCAAAAUCAAGUUAAACAUCAGAUCCAUCAGAAACAACGAGAUGCAUGAUACUAUUCGAUAGCUUAUUAAUAAAAUCACAUUAUUAGGAAGACACUACUCAAUAGCUCGACACUAAUAAUGGAGUUCUUUAAUAAUGGAAUAACCUUACAUGGCAUAGUUAUGCAAGCAUUGUUUAAGCUAAUGUCAAAUAUAGUCAAAGCCUUGACAAUAAUUUCCAAUCAGCAAGUUGGAAAAUUACUUGCUAAAAAAUAUACUUGGAAAAGGAAUCAAAUGUAGUCAAUCCUUUGUAGGGACUAAUUAUCAUCCAAAAAUAAUUUUUCUUAAGUGUUUUAUAAGCCAUCAAAGCUACUUUGAAAAUUUGGGGCCUGACAAUCUAUGUGCAAUAACAAUUGACAUCUCCAACAGAUUAUUUUUUCUUUUUUAAUCCAAAACAAAUCAUUCAUUGAUAUGAAUUUAAUUACAAACCAAGGAUGAGAAACCCUUUCAAAAUAUAAAGGAUGAUUAAAAAUUGAGGAAAAAUCUAACAAAAGUAGCAAGAUAGCUAUACUAAUCAAGGACGAUACAAGAACUUGAAUAUAGCGACAAUGUACACUUGAAGGGGGUAAAACAUACCUUACAGAAGAGUCCAUUUGCAUGGCUCCACAUUUAGCCAAUCAAUCUGCAACCUGAUUCACUAAAUGAGGGGACCAAUAGAAGGAACAACCCAAGCUACUAGCUAGAUCCAGGGUUUUAGGGAGCUACAUGUCAUACAUCCCAAGACAUGUGAUGGGGGAAAGCCUUUCAAAGUAUAUUCAAAAAGGAAAGGAAGGCACAAAUAAACUUUAAGUGGGAUUAGUAUUAGUUAGAAUAAAAUUAGAAUUAGUAUUUAUUGGAAUCAAAUUAGGAAUAGCUAAAUAAUUUAGAGGAGACUUAGAGUCAUAAUAGGUUAUAUUAGAAUCCUAGUAGGCUUUGAAUUUCUUAGAGAAGCCUAUAAAUAAAGCUAAUUGAUGUAAAUCAAAGUAAUGGAUCGAUAAUUAAUAAUAUAACGUUUCCUUGCAUACUUUGCAAUUUUGAAUGGUAAGACUCUUGAUUUUCUUCUAGGUGAGACUCUUAGAAGGCCUUAGUGAGACUCAAAGCUUUCUAGCUCUUCUUCUCCGUAUCUUCUUUCUCAAUGUUUUUUCAUUUUAUUUUUCUUUACCAUAAACUUUAUCCUUUAUUCCUCACCUUAAAUGGUUAAACCCUAAAAAAUAAAAACCGUAGCCCACUUAUUUGAUUGUAGGCAACCAUCAUAGGGUUGUCUUACGUCAAUAUGUCCAACAAUUUAAUCAUCCCUUUUAAUCCAAUUUGAAAAUAGCACCUAUUCUUAACUGAAUUAUACUAAAGCAUAUUUGGGUCACUUUUCUAAAGCACAUGUCUGGUUUCCAAAAGUGGACACAAUUCUAGAAUUAUGCAAUUGGAGUAUGUGCAUCUAGGGCAUCCUGAAGAUAUGUGCAUUCUGAAAAUGAACACGUAUUCCUAUUUCUUCUCCCUCUUCUCCCUCUUCCCUAUAUUUAUUAUUUAUCAUAUCUUUACAUCACCUAGGUACCAUAUCAAAACCAUACAACAAGCUGGCCCUUGAUCAGCAUCCAUCUGACCCUGAUCAAUGGACUUCAGAAACAAUGGCAUGCACCCUACAUUUAACUUCCAAGUCCUCUGGACCAAUUUGACAUAACUAUGGUAGCACACUUUUUGGGUCACCCUUUGUAUUAGUUCAAAGGAACAUUACAACCUGAGCUGUCCAUUGAUGCCAAAAAGCUGUAAUGUGGGUAAUACAUGCUUUGCUCAUAUACAAUAAUUGUUUUUAGCAAUGGAUACAAAAUGGAUGUCUAUCUAAGGCAUCCAAAAGCUAAGAUUUUAUCUACAACCAGAAGAGUACAACCCCUAAAGUUGAAUGGAUACAAAAUGCCCAUGAUUGUCCCUUAAUAAUAACCCCUAACCCACAACCGGCUCCGAUUUCCCAAAAAGCAAC
rnacentral:lncRNA from 1 species